rnacentral:lncRNA from 1 species
CAAGACCUGGUGUCACAAGUGUAUGAGCAUCAACUAGGAAUAUAAAAUAAAAUACAGCGUCCGUCCGGAAUACAAAUUGGACAGGAACAGUAUAAAUACUCUGAGGGAGACUCUGUUGGCUACGGGUCGUGCUAUGGAAUGCAGCUCACCUAAGUCUCCGCAUGCCUACACGUCUCUGCUCCCACGAGGCCACUAGACAUAUAUGUACCUGCACAAAAGUGUGCAGCAAGUGUAGUAUGAGUACGUAAAUCAACGCAUACCUAGUAAUUAUCCCGCCUAACCUCGAAGAAGCAGUGACGAGGGGUCGACUUCGACACUUACUAUGGGCUAUAAUAAAAUAUCAAUGAUAUAACUAAGCAUGGAUUACGUAUAUCGUUUAUCAAUUUGUAUCUCAGGCCAAUGAAGCAAUAUAAAUUAUCAUAAAUUUUAAGCAACCAAUUAAAUCAUGCGCAAAUCAUGCCCAGGUCGUACGACCCGAUCUAACAUAAUAUUUAAAAUGUGCACUGCCGAGGGUCGAAUGACACGAACUAUAGAUGCAUCUAUCUUCUACCGAGGCAUUUGGCCUGCUCCACAAAAGAGAAAAUAUUAAACAACCAAUUCGAGAUUUAUUAAGGGGCAAAUAUUCCAGAAUUUCAAAUUCUCAUUUAACGGUCAAGUAAAUGAAGUUUAACCUUUUUACAAUUCCUUUAUCGAGUUUCUAAAUAUCUUAAACAAUUAAAUUAACAAGUAGGGCGCAAACAUCGCAAGUACAAUAUGAUAUGGGUCCUAGACUACCCAGACAAAAGCAUAAUAGUAGCUACGCACGGACUCUCGUCACCUCGUGCGUACGUAGCCCCCACAAAUAGAAGCACAUAAUGAUUUGAUUCACCUAUGGGGUUAAUUCCCCCUUACAAGUUUAGAAAGGUGACUUACCUCGCUCCAAAAUUCCACAACCGGCUCCCAAGCCCUUCCAACAACUCAAACCGAUGCCCAACACUCCAAAACUAGUCAAUAAAUGUGCAAACCAAUAAAUAUAUACUCUAAUACCCAUUAUAGUUCAAUUUACAACAAUUCCUAACUCCGCUUGAAAAGUCGAUAAAAAUCACCCUCGGACCCACGUGCCGGAUUCCGAAAAUUUUCGAAGAUAAGCUUUACCCAUAACCUCACGAACUCAAAUAUAUAAUUUAUUCUCAAUUCAAUGUCCAAAUUCGUGGUCAAAGUCCAAAAAUACCAAAUUCUAGGUUUUCUACAAAACAUCCCACAAUUUCUACUAAUUUUCAUGUUUAAAUCCUUAUACAAACCAUGUAUUUAACCUAUAAUAAGUGGGAAUCACUUACCUUGUGUUGCUUGAUGAAAAAUCUUCAAAAUCGCCCAAGAACUGAGCUCAAAAAAUCCCAAAUGAAAAUGAAGAAAUGACCAAGUUCGAUCGCUUAUGUUCUGCCUAGUUUCCGCUUUUGCGAAUUACUUGACUGCAUUUAUGGUCCCGCUUCUGUGGAUCUCCCAUCGCUUCUGCGAUCCAGGGCUUCCAGCCCAUUUCUGCAUAUGCGGUCUCCCAUGCGCAGAUGCGCAUCCGCAUCUGCGGAUAUGCUUCCGCACCUGCGCCCCCAGGCUCUUCUCUCAUUCUCGCAGCUGCGAAGCACCUCCGCUUCUGCGACCUCGCAGGUGCAGACAACCUUUCGCACCUGCUGUCACGAACCUGUGGUCAAACUUGUGCAGGUGUGAUUACACCAGAACUGGUUGCACUUCAGCCAUUCCUUAAGUCCAAAACUUGCUCCUUUAACCAUCCAGGACCCACCCGAGGCCCCCCGAACCUUAACCAAAUAUACCAACAUGUCCCAAAAUACAUUACGAACUUAGUUGAGCUUUCAAAUUACAUCAAACAAUGCUAAAAGCACGAAUCACCCUCCAAUUCAAAUUUAAUGAACUUUGAAACUUCAAACUUCUACAAUCGAUGCCGAAACCUGUCAAAUCACGUCCGAUUGACCUCAAAUUUCGCACACAAGUCACAUUCGACAUUACAGACCAAUUACAACUUCUGUAAUCAGAAUCCAACCCAGAUAUCAAAAAGUCUACUCCCGGUCAAACUUCUUAAAAUUAUCCAAAUUUCCAACUUUCGCCCAAAUGACCCCAAAAUGACCUACGGACCUCCAAAUCUACUUCCGGAUGUGCUCCUAAGACCGAAAUCAUCAUACGGAGCUAUUCCCAGACUCAGAAUCCCAAACGGACGUCGAUAUCAUUGAAAUGCACUUCAACCCAAAUGUAUGAAAUUCUUCCAAAAUGCCAACUUCUACAAUAGGCGCUGAAACGCUCCCGGGUCAUCCAAAACCCAAUCUGGACAUACGCCCAAGUCCAAAAUCAUCAUACAAACCUGUAGGAACAUUCAAAUCCCGAUUUCGAGGUCGUUUACUUAAAAAUCAAACCUUAGUGAAUUCUUCCAACUUAAAGCUUCCGAAAUUAGAAUUUUAUUUCCAAAUCAACUCCGAACUUCCCGAAAUUUAAUUCCGACCAUACGCACCAGUCAUAAUACCUGAAGUGAAGCUGCUCAGGGUCUGAAACCGCUGAAUGAUGUGCUAGAGCUCAAAACGACCGGUCGGGUCGUUAUAUUCUCUCCCACUUAAACAUACGUUCAUCCUCGAGCGUGCUAAGAACUGCUCUGGAGUUGUCCGAAAUCAUUGUUUAACACCUCAUGCACCUACCCGUGCUACCACAACCCAGUUGAGCACAUUUGCGCGAGAAAACCUGAAAAUCCUCCCUUUUAUCUAGUCAAAUAAGCCUUAGAGCCAAAUUCCAACAUCUGAAAUUCUCUACCAGGUCUGUUUCCAACAUACGAACACCGUAUCCAUCACUACACGAUGCACCAAUACAUGAUUGCAUACCUUUACUGAAUUCAUACCAUGCAUCGUGUAACCCACAUGACCAUAAUAACAUCCUCUGACAACGAUAGUCAAAAUCCUAUGAAUCUGAUGCCCACACGCACCUCGCGAAUCAUAUAAGUCCCGUUUCAACUCUCACAAUACUGCCAUAACAGAAAGGAUGUGUAGAAAUUCAUAACCAACUUCCGAGUCAACAAAUCAUUGAGUCCCUCCUCCUGACAAGGACCAUUACCCCAUUAUGAACCAAAUAACGAUAUUUACUUUUUUUUAUGCCUCAUGUAGUCCAAUCGCACUGAUCCCAGGUCCAAUAAUCUCGUCUCACCCAGUAUAAGCUGUUCCAGCAAGAAGCCACCACAACACUACCAAAAGGUCUCAUAUGAUGCCAUCAUGCGCCAACAAUCCACAAACUCGCAUGUGAUACAUAAGGAAAAACGAACUCUGGAAAAAACUACUCAACCCACGUAACUAAUUAAAUAACCGAAAGGAUGUUAUGAACCUUCCUCAAGAAAUGAGAAGCAAAACACGCAAUAAUAGGUAUGGGAAACUGUACUCAAUAACACACUGUUGCGGUGUGCAACCCGAUCCACACAUGAUACCGUUGCGGCGUGCAACCCGAUCCAACCAUGAUACCUGUGGUGGCGUGCCACCCGAUCCAAAUAACGUACCCGUGGUAGCGUGCCACCCGAUCCACACAUAGUAAUCCAAAUAAAACACACCUCGAGCCGUAAUGCUCAUACUCACGAAAUGCUCGAAUAUCAACCCUAAGCAUGCCAAGUCAUAAUACAAAUCUUGGGGAGACGGGUAGCGUCAUACGCUAUAAAACCCAAGCACAACUAAGGUGCGAUAUAUGAUCUGCAUCUCGAGAGCAAUCCUGCUCACAUAACACCACUGCUAUGCGGGACCUCAACACAUUGUACAAAUAAUCAAGCCGUCUCACUACCCACAUGGCACAAUAGAGUAUUACAUGAAGUAGCUGAUGACGAAAAUAAUAUCCAACGCCCGAAUACUCCUCCAUAAGGAAUGCUAUGCUGAAUGAACACACCCAGGUUGGUGUAAAGUACACAUCCACCUUUGGACCCAUCAACGGACCCCAAACCAAUUCGGAUCAUACCAUGCUUGGGCAUAUACCCUCUCAAGGAUUCACAAUGACCUUUUUCCCAUGACACAAGAACAACCGUCGAAUCUGGAACAAACUUCCACAAUUCACAACCAACAGAAUAGAGCGCCAUUCAGGCCUAAACUCUCACAUUAGUGAUAGUACCAAAUAUCCAUACUUGGUUUCAAUCUUUAAUCAAUCAAGUGACUACAUGUCACACCUAUACAAUCUUCCUGCGGGAUACGCUCCCACGACCUUCCGCACCAGGUAACAUGUCACGACCCAACAUCUAUUAAAGGUCAUGAUGGCGCCGGACACCGCUGUCAGGCAAGCCAAAAAUAAAUACUUAAUUUGGUUCUCAUUUUAAUAUUUUUGAAAUCAUAUUUCCUUCAAUUAAAAAGUAAAAGAUGAAAUUUACAGAAUAAAUAAUAAUAUAUUUUUCUUAACAAUUUCAAUAUAGGACAACCCAUAAUCACUCCAAACCCCGGUGUCAAAAAUGCAUGAGCCUCAACUAGGAAUGUAAAAUAAAAUACAACAUCUGUCCGGAAUACAAAUUUGGACAGGAGAAAUAUAAAUACUCUGAAGGAGACUCUGCUGGCUGCAGAAAGUAUUAUAGAAUGUAGCUUAUCUAAGUCCCCGCCAUAACCGCGCCUCUGCGCCCACAAGGCCACUAAACAUAUAUGUACCUCCACAAAAUGUGCAGCAAGUGUAGUAUGAGUACGUAAAUCAAUGCGUACCUAGUAAGUAUCCCACCUAACCUCGAAGAAAUAGUGACUAGGGAUCGACUUCGACACUUACUAUGGGCUAUAAAUAAAAUAUCAAUGAUAUAAUUAAGCAUGGAUUAUAUAAAACGGUUGCAAGCUCAAUACUUUGAAGUAAGCAAGCAAUUCUUUUAUAAUUAAGAAAUCUCCAAAAUUAUUUCCCAUUAUUUAACAAUUUAUCUCAAGCCAAGAAGGCAAUAUUAUUUAUUGUAAAUUCCAAAGCAAUCAAAUUCAAUCAUGCGCAAAUCAUGCCGAGGUCGUACGGCCCGCUCCAACAUAAAUGUUUAAACUGUGCAUUGCCGAGGGUCGAACGGCGCGAACCAUAGAUGCAUCUAUUAAAUCUGCCGAGGCAUUCGGCCCGCUCUACAAAACGAUAAACACAUUCAAACAACCAAGUCAAGAAUUUAUUAAGGGGAAAUUAUUCAAGGAAAUGCCAAAUUCUCAUUUAACAAUCAAGAGAACGAAUUUUAUCCUUUUUAAAAUUCCUUUACCAAAUUUCAAUGUGAUCUAAGCAAAUCAAAUUAACAAGAAGGUUGCAACAUCGCAAGUAUAGCAUGAUUUGGAUCCUAGACUACCCGAACUUAAGCAUAAUAGUAGCUACACACGGAUUCUCGUCACCUCGUGCGUAUGUAGCCCUCAACAACAGGAGCACAUAUUGAAUUAUUUCACCUAUGGGACUAAUUCCCUCUUACAAGGUUAGAAAGGAGACUUACAUUGCUCCGAAAUUCCAUAGUCGGCUCCCAAGCCUUUCUAACAACUCAAACCGAUGNCCNAUGNNNNNNNNNNNNNNNNNNNNNNNNNNNNNNNNNNNNNNNNNNNNNNNNNNNNNNNNNNNNNNNNNNNNNNNNNNNNNNNNNNNNNCACAACAAUUCAAUUUAAGCAAAUUCCCAACUCCGCUCGAAAAGUUGAUAAAAUCACCCUCGGUCCCACGUGCCUGGAUUACGAAACGUUUCGAAGAUAAACAUUACCCAUAACCCCACGAACUCAAAUAUAUAAUUCAUUCCAAAUUCCAUGCCCCAAUUCGUGGUCAAAAUCCAAAGAUAUAAAUUUCUAGGUUUUUCUUCAAAAUCCCAAAUUUCUACGAAUUUUCAUGCUUGAAUCCAUAUAAAAACCAUGUAUUUAACUUGAAAUGGAUGGGAAUAACUUACCUUGGCUUAGAUGAUGAAAAAACCCCACUUGAAGCUCUCCAAAAAUCGCCCAACCAAGAGAGAAUGGAAGAAAAUAGGCCAAUUCCCCGUUCUUAAAGAAACAGACAGCCGAGCGAUCUCUCGCACCUGCGGUCACUUGACCGCUUCUGCGGUCCCGCAGGUGCGGCCAAAAUACCGCUUCUGCGGUCCUCCUUCAUGCCCCUCAACUCUACAUCUGCGGCUCCAUCCGCGCUUUUGCGCCUUUGUUUCUGCGGCACCACAUGCGCAAGUGCGGUCCCGCUUCUGCGGAACUCGACCGCAUCUGCGGUCCCAGCCUUCCCCAGCCAGAACCUCUGCUGCGACCCUUAUGGUCGCUUCUUCGGAUCUGCACCUGCGGCCAUAACCCCGCAGGUGCGGUUACACCAGAAGACAACAGCCUCAGCACACUUCCAAGUCCAAAUUCGAUCCGUUAACCAUCCGGAAUCCACCCGAGGCCCUCGGGACCUCAACUAAAUAUACCAGCACGUCCCAAAACAAAACACAAACAUGCUCGAGGCCUCAAAUCACAUCAAACAAUGUCGAAAUCAUGAAUCACACUCCAAUUCAAGCUUAAUGAACUUUAGAACUUUGAACUUCUAUUUUCGAUGUCGAAACCUAUCAAAUCACGUCCGAUUGACCUCAAAUUUUGCACACAAGUCACAUUCGACAUUACGGACCUACUCCAACUUCCGGAAUCGGAGUCCGACCCUGAUAUCAAAAGUCCACUCUCGGCCAAACUUCUCAAAAACCUUCAAAUUUUCAACUUUCGCCAAAUGACCCCAAAAUGACCCACGGGCCUCCAAAUCCACAUCCAGACGCGCUCCCAAUACCAGAAUCACCAUACGGAGCUACUCCCAGGCUCAGAAUCCCAAAUGGACAUCGAUAGCAUUGAAAUGCACUUCAACCCAAAUUUAUGAAUUCCUUCCAAAAAUGCCAACUUCCACAAUAGGCGCCGAAACGCUCCCGGAUCAUCCAAAACCCGAUCCGGACAUACGCCCAAGUCCAAAAUCAUCAUACGAACCUGUUGGAACCUUUCAAUCCCGAUUCCGAGGUCGUUUACUCAAAAAUCAAACCUUAGUCAAUUCUUCCAACUCAAAGCUUCCGAAAUUAGAAUUUUCUUUCUAAAUUAACUCCGAACUUUCCGAAAUUCAAUUCCGACCAUGCACACAAGUCAUAAUACCUGAAGUGAAGCUGCUCAGGGCCUCAAACCGCUGAACGACGUGCUAGGGCUCAAAACGACCAGUCGGGUCGUUACAUUCUCUCCCACUUAAACAUACGUUCAUCCUCGAACGUGCUAAGAACUGCUCUGGAAUUGUCUGAAAUCACUGUUUAACACCUCGUGCACCUACUCGUGCUACCACAACUCAGUUGAGCACAUUAGAUCGAGCAAAUCUUAAGAUUCUCCCCUUUAUUUAGGAAAAUAAGCCUUAGAACCAAAUUCCAACAUCCUAAAUUCUUUACUAGGCCUGCUUCCAACAUACGAACACCGUUUCAAUCACUACACGAUGUACCAAUACAUGAUUGUAUACUCUCACUAAAUUCACACCAUGCACCGCAUUAUUCACAUGACUAUGAUAACAUCCUCUGACGACAAUAACCGAAAUCCCACGAACCUGAUGCUCAAAACACACCUCAUGACACAUAUAAGUCUUGUUCCAAUUCUCGAAAUGCCAUGACAGAUAAGAUGUGCAGAACUCAUAGCCACCUGCCGAAUUACAAUUCAUGGAGUCUCUCCUCCCGAAAAGAACCAUGACCUCAUUCUGGACUGAAUAACAAUAUUUACUCUUUAAUAUGCUUUAUAUAAAUCUGAUUGCACUGAUCCCAGGUCCAAUAAUCUCGUCUCACCCAGUAUAAGCUGUUCCGGCAAUAAGCCACCACAACACUACCAAAAGGUCUCAUAUGAUGCCAUCAUGCGCCAACAAUCCACAAACUCGAAUGUGAUACAUAAGGAAAAAUGAACCUUGGAAAUAAUUACUCAACCCACGUAACUAAUUAAGCAACCGAAAGGAUGUUAGGAACCUUCCUCAGAAACGAGAAACAAAACACACAAGAAUAGAUAUGGGAAACUGUACUCAAUAUCAUACUGUUGUGGCGUGCAACCCGAUCCACACAUGAUACCGUUGCGGCGUGCAACCCGAUCCAACCAUGAUACCCGUGGCGGCGUGCCACCUGAUCCAAACAACAUAUCCGUGGAGGCGUACCACCCGACCCAUACAUAAUAUACCCGAACAUCAACCACCAGCACGCGAAGUGCAUAAUACAAAUUAUGGGGAGACGGAUAGUGCUAUACGCUGCGAAACUCAAGCACAAAUAAGGUGCAAUAAAUGACUUGUAUCUUGAGAGCCUUCUUGCUCUCACAACACCACAAAUUUCCCGGGAUCUCAAUACGAGUGCGAAUAAUCAAACUACCUCACAACCCACUUGGAAUAAUAUAGAUUACAUGGAAUAGCUGAUGACAGAAAUAACAUCUAAGGCCCGAAAACCCAUCCGAAAACAAUGCUAUGCUGAAAUGAACACAUCCGUCCUAAUAUAGGGCCCGCAUUCACAUUUAGAUCCAUCCAUGGACCUCAAACCGAUUCUGAUCAUACCAUGCUUGGCUAAAUAGCCCCUCAAGGGCACGCAAUGGCCUAUUCACGACACAUAAGAACAACCGUCAAAUCUGAAACAAACUCACAUGGUCCAAAGCCCAAGGAAUAAAAUGCCUCUCGGGCAUAAACUCUCGCACUUGCGAUAUUACCAUGACCUCCAUAUUCGGUCUCAAUCUUUAACAAUCAAGUGACUGACAUGUCACACUUAUACAAAUCUCCCUGUGGGGCAUGCUCCCACGACCAUUCCGCUCAGAUAGCAAGUCCGCACCUCCAUACUGCCAGCCACAUUAAUGCUGUAAAGCAAAUCAAAAUUCGUAAAUCAGUACACAGAGCCUCUUACACAGGAUACCGAUCUCAGGUGACGCUAAAGACAAUACCAGCUUACUCUAAACAUCUGAAUUCUUUCCUGCUCAUUCGAGCUCGUGACAUUCCUGUCAACACCAAACCACAACCUUGAUCCUCAGCUUCCAAUUUCCCAUGCCGCUCAUUGCACCUAACAUGCCAAUACGUGAGAGUACCAGAAUUCCAUAAUAACCCUUGAUCCACUAAUAGAAUAAAUACUUCAUCAUAUAGAAACCUUUUACUUAGCUCAUUUUAGAAGAACCAAUGCAACACACAACUAAAUUCCCAAACCGCAGAAAAUACAACCUCAUGUCGUGAUUUAAACUACCGUAACUCUUUCGGAAAUCCCUUUACACAACAAAGCCAUACGAAUCGAAUACCUCCCAAAUCAACCAAGUUGUGGUGGCACUCAAGCCCAAGUGUACAACCAUAAACCACAUGUAUAACUUCACGCUGGAGAAAUUGGUCUCUGCCAUAACCGUGCUGAUUCAACCAUUACCCUAGAAAUAAUAAUAGCUCCAUUCAAAAUAUCAUGAACCCAAAUCUGCACUCAUCCUGAGUGACCUUAUUUCACGAGACUACGUUGUCUCCAAAACCCACGAACCAUUUCAUACCCCCCUAAUGCGCAUAUUCGUAUCUUCAACUGGUGCACCCAUUCUGAAAAUCCCUCUAUGAAUCCGAAGUUAUUUUCUCCCAUGCCUCCAAUGCCACACCGCAUACCGAAGAUAAUGUAGAACACUCCAAGCCACUUUUCAUAAUCCACUACAAAAGCUCAAUACUUAACCAUACUACUGGCUCGAAAUCCUUAGGCACCGCACUUUGAACCCACUAGAACCAUUGUUGAGAGUCACUCACUCUGACUUGUUCCCAAUUAUGAUCAAACUCCAAGGCCCUGCUGGCAAAUGAACACCCUCUCAAAGAAGCAACCGGCUGAAUUCCUUUCCUUGUACAUCAUAUCCACAUGAAGAAUAGACUCUAAGUCUUCCCAAAACCUGAACAUGAACCGAUAAAAUAUAAGACACAUUCCUCAAAUCCUUGGCUCAAAUCACCACUGAUGUUCUCUUUCCUUAGUCGUAGCAACCCAUCAACAUGCCGAUAACCAGAAACCUCACAAGUAGACAACCAUGCAAUCCAAUCGUAGGCGGUGGGGCUCUCCCACUUAAGCUUGAAGCUACCAUUACAUGACCCUGGAACCUAUCAAGAUUCCUUCUUCCUUACUGACAUGACCUUGCACAAUCGACCCGCCAAAUUCCUCGGAAUCUUCUUGUUAACCAUUUCAUGAACGCUUUGAAUCACUAGCCAUAUUUACAUAUUCGACCUCUUACCGGAUAGCCAGUAAAAUUCUUCAUAGGAGCUUCAUCAACACAAUGCAACAGUUAACCUGCUCAUCAGAAAUAACCCAUAUGUGAAAAUUCCAUGCCGACAUCUUCUAACAAUGCUGCACCGAGUACAAUUACCACGAAACCAAUAACCCAUCCUAAGCCCGUGCUCGUUCACCAGCCGUACAAGUCCGUUCACUUCUCAUGGACAUCAACUAAAUGUGCGACAAUACAUUCCAAUCCAAAGUCAUGUUGUAUCCUUCUUCAUAUCAUGCAACUCCUUUCCCUCGUAUCCAACCCUUCUUCGUAUAGCAGCCAAUAUUCCCAAUUAAAUUCGUAGACUUAGUCAUUGUCCACCAUGAGUUCCAAAUCACUCUAAACUUUCCUCGACACGUAUAGCUAUCCUACCACAGAACCCAUCUGAUACUCUGCCACUCUCCCACUUUGGUCAAACCCUCUCCUUUAAGCAACUACUCGACUUCUUCUUCUCAUACUUGGCCUUCUAGAAACUUAACCACGACAAGACACCUGCCACAUGUCUUUCCUCAUCCUUCGCUGCCCAGUUGUUGCCUUAAAUCAAAAUCUAUCUCUGUAGCACUUGACCCAAUCGAUCUCUACCAACUUUAAACCUCUCCAAAGAUCAUCCGUCGCGAUCCAUCAAUACUAGGAACACUGAUUCGAUCCUAAACCACUACACACCGCGAUCUCUGACAGUCGCUUCUCUGACACCGUUUCACAAUACCCUGCCCCGAAGGAGAAUUGGAGAAGACCAUAACACCAGCGAACGUAACGCAUUCAACAAGGACGACGACACCAUAUCACAGAUGAAAAUUUCACCACGCUCGAAAAUUAUAAGUCUCGUUACUCCAUCAACCCAAACCUGAACAUUCUUAGUGUGAUUGCCUUUCCUCUGCCGGAAAUAAAAUACUGAACCUCUGAAUCACGCAUUGAGAAAAAAAACCUCCUUUCAAUUUAUUCACUGCCCUUACACAUAGACAAGUAUCCUACUAUUACCUUAAUACUGUGUGAUAACAACUCAUGAACAUCAUAGCAAUUGGUUCAUAGCCCCAAAACCAUCAGAAAUAUAACUAUUGAGCUGAGAUGACAAAACAUCCUUCCACAAGGCGACGCCAUUAGCCCAAUUGAAUACGCAGGGAGAAACAUCCUGCUCUACAUCAGUAGUGCCAUUAAAAAUUCCUCGAUUCCAAAUUUAUAACAAGCGCUUCUUGUCGCAUAAGAUUGAAUAGGAAAGAAAUGAAGGCAUAAUCCUCAAAGAAAUCAAAUCGCACGAUGAGGAAUCAAGAAGAGAAGUGCUCCUAUCAGCCCGGUAGCCUCUCGAAGAUAAGUACAGACGUCUCCGUACCGAUCCACAAGACUCUACUAGACUCGCUCAUGAUUCUUGAGACCUAAGUGAACCUAGUGUUCUGAUACCAUGCUGUCACGACCCAAAAUCCAUUAAAGGUCGUGAUGGCGCCGGACACCACUGUCAGGAAAGCCAAAAAUAAAUACUUAAUUUGGUUCUCAUUUUAAUAUUUUUGUAAUCAUAUUUCCUUCAAUUAAAAAGUAAGAGAUGGAAUUUACAGAAUAAAUAAUACUAUUUUUUUAAAUAAUUUCAAUACAUGACAACCCAUAAUCACCCCAAAAUCUGGUGUCACAAGUGCAUGAGCCUCAACUAGGAAUGUAAAAUAAAAUACAACAUCUGUCCGGAAUACAAAUUUGGAUAGGAUAAAUAUAAAUACUCUGAAGGAGACUCUGCUGGCUGCGGAUCAUAGAAUAGAAUGCAGCUCACCUUAAUCCCUGCCAUAACCUUGCCUCUGCGCCCACAAGGCCACUAAACAUAUAUGUACCUGCACAAAUAUGUGCAGCAAGUGUAGUAUGAGUACGUAAAUCAAUGCGUACCCAGUAAGUAUCCCACCUAACCUCAAAGAAGUAGUGAUGAGGGAUCGACUUCGACACUUACUAUGGGCUAUAAAUAAAAUAUCAAUGAUAUAAUUAAGCAUGGGUUAUAUAAAACGGUUGCAAGCUCAAUACUUUGAAGUAAGUAAGCAAUUCUUUUAUAAUUAAGAAAUCUCCAAAUUUAUUUUCCAUUAUUUAACAAUUUAUCUCAGGCCAAGGAGGCAAUAUCAUUUAUUGUAAAUUCCAAAGAAAUCAAAUUUAAUCAUGCGCAAAUCAUGCCGAGGUCGUACGACCCGCUCCAACAUAAAUAUUUAAACAGUGCACUACAGAGGUUCGAACGGCGCGAAACAUAGAUGCAUCUAUUAAAUCUGCCGAGGAGUUCGGCCCGCUCCACAAAACGAUAAACACAUUCAAACAACCAAGUCAAGAAUUUAUUAAGGGGCGAUUAUUCAAGGAAAUACCAAAUUCUCAUUUAACGGUCAAGAGAACGAAUUUUAUCCUUUUUAAAAUUCCUUUACCAAAUUUCAAUGUGAUCUAAGCAAAUCAAAUUAACAAGAAGGUUGCAACAUCGCAAGUAUAGCAUAAUUUGGAUCCUAGACUACCUGGACUUAAGCAUAAUAGUAUCUAUGCACGGACUCUCGUCGCCUCGUGCGUACGUAGCCCCCACAAAUAGGAGGACAUAUUAAAUUAUUUCACCUAUGGGGUUAAUUCCCUCUUACAAGGUAAGAAAGGAGACAUACCUCGCUUCGAAGUUCCAUAGCCGCCUCCCAAGCCUUUCCAACAACUCAAACCUAUGCCCAACGCUCCAAAACUAGACAAUAAAUGUGCAAACCCAUAAAAAUAUACUCUAAUACUCACAACAAUUCGAUUUAAGCAAAUUCCCAACUCCGCUCGAAAAGUUGAUAAAAUCACCCUCGGUCCCACGUGCCCGGAUUACGAAACGUUUCAAAGAUAAACAUUACUCAUAACCCCACGAACUCAAAUAUAUAAUUCAUUCCAAAUUUCAUGUCCAAAUUCGUGGUCAAAAUCCAAAGAUAUAAAUUUCUAGGUUUUCCUUUAAAAUCCCAAAUUUCUAUGAAUUUUCAUGCUUGAAUCCAUAUAAAAACCAUGUAUUUAUCUUGAAAUGGAUGGGAAUAACUUACCUUGGCUUAGAUGAUAAAAAACCUCCACUUAAAGCUCUUCAAAAAUCGCCCAAUCAAGAGAGAAUGGAAGAAAAUAGGCCAAUUCCCCGUUCUUAAAGAAACACACAGACGAGCGAUCUCUCGCACCUGCGGUCACUUGACCGCUUCUGUGGUCCCACAGGUGCGGCCAAAAUACCGCUUCUGCGGUCCUCGUUCAUGCCCCUCAACUCUGCAUCUGCGGCUCCAUCCGCACUUUUGCGCCUUCGCUUCUGCGGCACCACGUGCGUAGGUGCGGUCCCGCUUCUGCGGAACUCGACCGUAUCUUCGGUCCUAGCCUUCUCCAGCCAGAACCACUCCUGCGACCCUCAUGGUCGCUUCUUCUGCUCCGCACCUGAGGCCAUAACCCCGCAGGUGCGGUUAGACUAGAAGACAACAACCUCAGCACACUUCCAAGUUCAAAUUCGAUCCGUUAACCAUCAGGAAUUCACCCGAGGCCCUCGGGACCUCAACCAAAUAUACCAACACGUCCCAAACCACAACACAAGCUUGCUCGAGGUCUCAAAUCACAUCAAACAACGUCGAAAUCAUGAAUCACCCUCCAAUUCAAGCUUAAUGAACUUUAGAACUUUGAACUUCUAUAUUCGAUGCCGAAACCUAUCAAAUCACGUCCGAUUGACCUCAUAUUUUGCACACAAGUCACAUUCGACAUUACAGACCUACUCUAACUUCCGGAAUCGGAGUCCGACCCCGAUAUCAAAAGUUCACUCCCGGCCAAACUUCUCAAAAACUUUCAAAUUUCCAACUUUCGCCAAGUGACCCCGAAAUGACCUAUGUGCCUCUAAAUCCACAUCCGGACGCGCUCCCAAUACACGAAUCACCAUACGGAGCUAUUCCUAGACUCAGAAUCCCAAACAGACAUCGAUAUAAUUAAAAUGCACUUCAACCCAAAUUUAUGAAAUCCUUCCAAAAAUGCCAACUUCCACAAUAGGCGCCGAAACGCUCCCGGGUCAUCUAAAAUCCGAUCCGGAUAUACGCCCAAGUCCAAAAUCAUCAUACGAGCCUGCUGGAACCUUCUAAUCCCGAUUCCGAGGCCGUUUACUCAAAAGUCAAAUCUUAGUAAAUUCUUCCAACUUAAAGCUUCCGAAAUUAGAAUUUUCUUUCCAAAUCAACUCCGAACUUCCCAAAAUUCAAUUCCGACCACGCGCACAAGUCAUAAUACUUGAAGUGAAGCUGCUCAGGGCCUCAAACUGCUGAAAGACGCGCUAGGGCUUAAAAUGACCGGUCGGGUCAUUACAUAACAAGUCUGCACAUCCAUACCACCGGCCACACUAAUGCUGCAAAGCAAAUCAAGAAGCCGCAAAUCAGUACACAAAGCCUCUUACACAGGACACCAAUCUUAGGUGACGCUAACGACAAUGCCAGCUGAUUCCAACCAUCUGAAUUCUUCCCUGAUCAUCCGAGCUCGUGACAUUCUUGUCAACACCGACCCGCAACCUUGAUCCUCAGCUUCCAAUUCCCCAUGCCGCUCACUGCACCUAACAUGCCAAUACGUGCGAGUACCAGAAUUUCCAUAAUAACCCCUGAUCCACUAAUAUGAUAAACACUUCAUCAUAUAGAAGCCUUUUACUUAGUUCAUUUCAGAAGAACCAAUUCAACACGCAACUAAAUUCCCAAACUGCAGAAAAUACAACCUCAUUACGUAAUCUAAACUGCCAUAACUCUUCCGGAAAUCCCUUUACAUAACAAAGCCAUACGAAUCAAAUACCUCCCAUAUCAACCAAGUUGUGGUGGCACUCAAGCCCAAUUGUACAACCACAAACUACAUGUAUAACUUCACGCUGUAGAAACUAGUCACUGCCAUAACCGUGCUGAUUCAACCAUUACCAACCGAGACACUUCUUCUAAUUUACUUCGGACUUGCCUUCAGAAUAAUAAUAGCUCCAUUCAAAACAUCAUGAACCCAAAUUCGCACUCAUCCUGAGUGACCUUAUUUCACGAGACCACGUUGUCUCCAAAACCCACGAACCAUCUCAUACCCUCCUUAUGCGCAUAUUCUCCUCUUCAACUGGUACACCCAUUUUGAAAAUCCCUCUAUGAAUCCGAAGUUAUUGUCUCCCAUUCCUCUAAUGCCACACCGCAGACCGAAGAUAACGUAGAACACGCCAAGCCACUUUUCAUAAUCCACUGCAAAAACUCAAUACUUAACCAUACUACUGGCUCAAAAUUCUUAGGCACCGCACUUUGAACCCACUAGAACCAUUGUUGAGAGUUACCCACUCUUACUUGUUCCCAAUUAUGAUCAAAUUCCAAGGCCCUGCUGGCACAUGAACACCCUCUCAAAUAAGCACCCAGAUUAAUCACGUUCCUUGUAACUUACCUCUACACGAAGCAUAAAUCCUGAAUCUUCCCAAAGCCUGAACACGAAUCGAUAAGGCCAAUUAUAACGUACAUUCCUCAAAUCCUUUGCUCAAAUUGCCACUGAUGUUUUCUUUCCUUAGUCUUAAUAACCUAUCAAUAUGUUAACUAUGCAAAUUGCCAGAACCCUCACAAGUAGAUAACUAUGCAAUCAAAUUGUAGGUGGUGGGGCUCUCCCACUUAAGCCUGAAGAUACCAUUACAUGACCAUGGAACCUACCAAGAUUCCUUCUUCCUUACUGACAUGACCUUGCGCAAUCGACCCGCCAAAUUCCUCGAAAUCCUUAUGUUAACCAUUUCAUGAACGCUCCUAAUCACUACCAAUGUUUACAUAUUUGACCUCUUACUGGAUAGCUAGUAAAAUCCUUCAUAGAGGCUUCAUCAAAACCACACGACCGCUAACCUGAUCACAGGAGAUAACCCACCUGUGGAAAUUAUAUGCCGACAUCUUCCAACAACGCUGCACCGAGUAUAGUUACUACGAAAUCAAUAAACCACCCUGAGCCUAUGCUCAUUCAGCAGCUGUACAACUCCUUUCACUCCCCAUGGACAUCAACUAAAGGUGCGAAAAUACAUUCCAAUCCAAAGUCAUGUUGUAUCCUUCUUCAUAUCAUGCAACUCCUUUNNNNNNNNNNNNNNNNNNNNNNNNNCCUGAACAUUCAUAGUCUGAUUGCCUUUCCUUCGCCGGAAAUAAAAUACCAGAUCUCUGAAUUAUGCACAGAGUAAACCUCCUUCCAAGUCAUUCACUGCUUCGACACAUAGACAAGCAUCCUACCAUUACACAAACACGGUGCGAUAGAAAUGCAAGAAUCGUCAUAACAAUCAAUGCCAAGCCUCAAAACCUUAGGUAAUACUGAUACUGAGCUGCAACGAUAGAAUGGCCUUUCGCAAGACGAUGACAAUAGCCCAAUCAAAUACGCAGGGAGAAACACCCUGCACCAUAUCUGUAGUACCAUUAAAAUUCCUCGAUUUCCAAUUUAAAACAAGUGCUUCAUGUCGCAUAAGACUGAAUAGGAAGGGAACGAAAGCAUAAGCCUCAAAGGAAUCAAAUCGCACGAUGAUGAAUCAAGAAGAGAAGUGCUCCUAACAGUCCUGUAGCCUCUCGAAGAUAAGUACAGACCUCUCCGUACCGAUCUGCAAGACUCUACUAGACUCGCUCAUGAAUCGUGAGACCUAAGUGAACCUAGUGCUCUGAUACCAUGUUGUCACGACCCAAAAUCUAUUAAAGGUCGUGAUGGCGCUGGACCCCGCUGUCAGGCAAGCCAAAAAUAAAUACUUAAUUUGGUUCUCAUUUUAAUAAUUUUGAAAUCAUAUUUCCUUCAAUUAAAUAGUAAAAGGCGGAAUUUACAGUGUAAAUAAUAGUAUUUUACCACAAUUUCAAUACAGGACAACCCAAAUCACCCAAAGACCCGGUGUCACAAGUGCAUGAGCAUCAACUAGGAAUAUAAAAUAAAAUACAGCGUCCGUCCGAAAUACAAAUUGGAUAGGAACAGUAUAAAUACUCUGAGGGAGACUCUGUUGGUUGCGGGUCAUGCUAUGGAAUACAGCUCACCUAAGUCUCUGCAUGCCUACACGCCUCUGCACCCACAAGGCUACUAAACAUAUAUGUACCUGCACAAAAAUGUGCAGCAAGUGUAGUAUGAGUACGUAAAUCAAUGCAUACCCAGUAAGUAUCCCGCCUAACCUCAAAGAAGUAGUGACAAGGGGUCGACUUCGACACUUACUAUGGGCUAUAAGAAAAUAUCAAUGAUAUAACAAAGCAUGGAUUAUGUAGAACGAAUGUAAGCUUAAUAUCAUGAAAUAAGUGAAUAAUUCUUUUGCUAAUAAGAAAUUUCCAAAUUUAUUUUUCAUCAUUUAUCAAUUUGUAUCUCAGGACAAUGAAGCAAUAUAAAUUAUCAUAAAUUUCAAGCAACCAAAUAAAUCAUGCGCAAAUCAUGCAGAGGUCGUACGACCCGAUCCAACAUAAUAUUUAAACUGUGCACUGCCGAGGGUCGAACGACAUGAACCAUAGAUGCAUCUAUCUGCUACCGAGGUGUUCGGCCCGCUCCACAAAAGAGAAAAACACAUUAAACAACUAAUUCAAGAUUUAUUAAGGGGCAAAUAUUCCAGAAUUUCAAAUUCUCAUUUAACGGUCAAGUAAAUGAAGUUUAACCUUUUUACAAUUCCUUUAUCGAGUUUCUAAAUAUCUUAAACAAUUAAAUUAACAAGUAGGGCGCAAACAUCGCAAGUACAAUAUGAUAUGGGUCCUAGACUACCCAAACAUAAGCACAAUAGUAGCUAUGCACGAACUCUCGUCACCUCGUGCGUACGUAGCACCCACAAAUAGAAGCACAUAAUGAUUUGAUUCACCUAUGGGGUUAAUUCCCUCUUACAAAGUUAGAAAGGAGACUUGCCUCGCCCUGAAAUUCCACAACCGGCUCCCAAGCCCUUCUAACAACUCAAACCGAUGCCCAACGCUCCAAAACUAGUCAAUAAAUGUGCAAACCCAUAAAUAUAUACUCUAAUACCCAUAACUUCAUGAACUCAAAUAUAUAAUUUAUUCUCAAUUCAAUGCCCAAAUUCGUGGUCAAAAUACAAAAAUACCAAAUUCAAGGUUUUCUACCAAAAAUCUCACAAUUUCUACUAAUUUUCAUAUUUAAAUCCUUAUACAAACCAUGUAUUUAACCUAUAAUAAGUGGGAAUCACUUACCUUGUGUUGCCCGAUGAAAACUCCUCAAAAUCGCAUAAGAACCGAGCUCCACAAAUCCCAAAUGAAAAUGAAGAAAUGACCAAGUUCUAUCCCUUAUGUUCUGCCCAGUUUUCGCUUCUGCAGAUUACUGGACCGCAUUUACGGUCCCGCUUCUGCGGAUCUCCCAUUGCUUCUGCGAUCCAUAGCUUCCAGCCCAUUUCCGCAUAUGCGGUCUCCCACAUGCAGAUGCGCAUCCGCAUCUGCGGAUAUGCUUCCGCACCUGCGCCCCCAGGCCUUUCUCUCAUUCUCGCACCUGCGACUCACCUCCGCAUGUGCGACCUCGCAGGUGCGGACAACCUUUCGUACCUGCGGUCGCUGCCCAGCUUUGCCCAAACUGCACCUGCGACCAUUUCCUCGCUUCUGCGGUCACGCACCUGCGGUCAAACUUGCGCAUGUGUGAUUACACCAGAACUGGUGCACUUCAGCCAUUCCUUAAGUCCAAAACUUGCUCCGUUAACCAUCCGGGACCCACCCAGGCCUUCGGAACCUUAAUUAAAUAUACCAACAUGUCCCAAAACACAUUACAAACUUAGUCGAGCCUUCAAAUCACAUCAAUCAGAACUAAAAACCCGAAUCACCCUCGAAUUCAAACUUAAUAAACUUUGAAACUUCAAACUUCUACAAUCGAUGCCGUAACCUAUCAAAUCACGUCCGAUUGACGUCAAAUUUCGCACACAAGUCAUAUUCGACAUUACAGAUCUAUUCCAACUUCCGGAAUAGGAAUCCAAUCCGGAUAUCAAAAAGUCUACUCCCGGUCAAACUUCUUAAAAUUAUCCAAAUUUCCAACUUUCGCCCAAAUGACCCCAAAAUGACCAAUGCACCUCCAAAUCCACUUCCGGAUGUACUCCUAAGACCAGAAUCAUCAUACGAAACUAUUCCCAGACUCGGAAUCCCAAACAGACAUCGAUAUCAUUGAAAUGCACUUCAACCCAAAUUUAUGAAAUUCUUCCAAAAUGCCAACUUCUACAAUAGGCACCGAAACGCUCCCGGGUCAUCCAAAACCCGAUCCGGACAUACGCCCAAGUCCAAAAUUAUCAUACGAACCUGUAGGAACCUUCAAAUCCCGAUUUUGAGGUCGUUUAGUUAAACAUCAAACCUUAGUCAAUUCUUCCAACUUAAAGCUUUUGAAAUUAGAAAUUUCUUUCCAAAUCAACUCCGAACUUCUCGAAAUUCAAUUCCGACCAUACGCACCAGUCAUAAUACCUGAAGUGAAGCUGCUCAGGGACUCAAACAACUGAAUAACGCGCUAGAGCUCAAAACGACCGGUCGGGUCGUUACAACCAAGCUGCGCGAGGACCGCACCUGCGAUGAAUUUUCCGCAGGUGCGGCGUCGCAGGUGCGCCCCAGGAUCCGCAGAAGCAAAAAUCGCUAGGGCAGUGAGGUUCAUUUAAUGUCAGGACUUAGGCUAUUUUGGUUCAUUUCUUUCACUUCUUGGACAAUUUAAGAGCUCUUUUGGGGUUUUCACCGAACACUUUGAGGUAAGUAAUUUCUAUACAAGAUGAGUUUAAUACAUCUAUUUUGGGUAGAUUCUUAACAAAUAAGUUGUAGAAAUUGUGGGUUUAGUUGAAUAACCUAGGAUUUGAUAAAAAUGAGAUUUAACCACAAAAAUAAUUAUGGAAUUGGGUAGAAAUUAUAUAUUUGAGUUCGUGAGGUUAUGGGUAACAUUUAUCUUCAAACAUUUCCGGAAUCCGAGCACGUGGGCCUGGGGUGAUUUUAGGAAUCUUCCGAUUUGGGUUGGGUAAUCUCUCUAAUAGCUAAAUUAUGAACUUGUGGGUGUAUAUUGAUUGAUUUGUAUAAUAUUUGAUUAGCUUCGGAUUGUUCGGCACCAAGUUGCGGCCUUAGAGUGAAUUUGUGGGCCGGAAAGUGAGCUUUGAGACGAGGUAAGUCUCUUGUCUAACCUUAUAAGAGGAAAUUUACCCCAUAGGUAUUUUAAAUUACUAUUUUCUUAUAAUUGUGGAGGCUACGUACGCACGAGGUGACGAGAGUCCAUGUGUAGCUACUAAUCAUGCUUAAGUUCGGGUAGAUUUAGGACCCAAAUCAUGAAAUACUUGUAUUGUUUGUACUCUACUUGUUAAUUUAAGUGCCUAAAUUAUAUUGAAACUUGAUAAAGGAUUCGUAAAGACCGAAUUUCACUUACUUUGAGUUUUGACAGGUUACUAUACUAUUAAUAGAAAUUGUGCUUCCUUGUGUAUUAGUCUUGUGAUAGCUUUUAAAUCAGAUGUUCAUAGAUUAUUCUCUCUUCUUGUGGAGCGGGCCGAACGCCUCAGUAGUAUAAUAGAUGCAUCUAUGGUUCAUUCCGCUCGACCCUCGGCAGUGUACACAUUAUUCUGGAUUGGGCCGUACAACCUCGGCAUAAAAUCGUGCAUGCUAAUGCUUGGAGCUCGAAUACACUUGAUAUUAUUUUCAUGACUUGAGAGGUUAUCAUUUAUUUAUUGGCCGAAGUUGAUUUGGAGAUUUUUGUGGAAGUUACUAUCAGUCAAUGAAUCAUUUAAUCACUACUUACUAUUAUGUUAUUAUUAUAUUAUUCACAUAUUCCAUGCCUAUUUAGUUUUUCUAUAUUUUUAUUGUUGGCUCCUAGUAAGUAUCGACGUCGACCCCUCGUCACAACUUUUUCGAGAUUAGACUGGAUACUUACUGGGUACAUGUUAUUUAUGUACUCACGCUACACUUCUGCACUAAUCGUGCAGGAUCCGAGGUAGGUGCAUCAAGUGUUCAUUCAGGCGUGCACUCCCGUUAUCCUGAGGCAUAGCAGUGAGCUACUCUCUGAGUCCUUUUUGCAGCACCCGUCGUCUCUCUCUUUUAUAUUUACUUUCUGUCUAUCUUAUUUCAGACAGUAGCUAAGGUGUUUUGUAUAUUCUACAAGUUGCUCAUACACUUGUGACACCAGGUCUUGAAAACAUGCUAGUAGACACUUGAUGGAUUUUUAGUAUUUAUUUCACCAUACUUGUUCUUUUAUUUGUUUACACUUUACUUUAUUAAAUUUUCCACUUCUCAUUUAUUUAAUAAAUAAAAAUCAACUACUUUGAAAUUAUUAAAAGAAUAAAUACAUGGUUAGUUCACCGUUGGCUUUUCUAGCGGCAACGUUAGGAGCCAUCACGGCCUAUAGGAGAAAUUUGGUCGUGACAGUCUAGAAUUUCGAUUAUGUCCUUUUAUUGUGAGUUAUUAUACUUAAUAUUAUAAGGUUAUUUUGUAAUUUGAUUUUGUAUUCAUGCUUUUAUAAUAAAUAUAGAUAGAUAGAUAGAUAUAGAUAUAGAUAGAUUAAUUUAUUAAAUUUCAUUUUCAUAAAGACAAAGAUUAAUUAUCGUUGAUUUCCUUUUCAUCUUGUAAUAAAUUAAAAGGUACUGAUCAAAAGCAUCACGACCUUUUUGGAUGAGCCAAAACUUAAUUUGUAAGACGACACAACAUUUUUAAUAGGAAAUAUUAUGUUACAAUCUUUUGCUAAGACCCAAUAGUACUCCAAUUUAGUUAACCAAAAUACUAAAAGAAAAUAUAACGUGUUUCUAAAGGUAUUAGGUUUACAUGCUAACAUGUAGUAUUAUAUGUCUAUGCCCCAAAGUAAGUAUACUAAUAGGACUCCUAAAGGUAAUUAUGUAGGAUUUCUAACGUGUGGUAUAUGUCUUAAAAUUAAUAGGAUUAUAAGGCUAAUGUCUAGAAUUUCGGUUAUGUCCUUUUAUUGCGANNNNNNNNNNNNNNNNNNNNNNNNNNNNNNNNNNNNNNNNNNNNNNNNNNNNNNNNNNNNNNNNNNNNNNNNNNNNNNNNNNNNNNNNNNNNNNNNNNNNNNNNNNNNNNNNNNNNNNNNNNNNNNNNNNNNNNNNNNNNNNNNNNNNNNNNNNNNNNNNNNNNNNNNNNNNNNNNNNNNNNNNNNNNNNNNNNNNNNNNNNNNNNNNNNNNNNNNNNNNNNNNNNNNNNNNNNNNNNNNNNNNNNNNNNNNNNNNNNNNNNNNNNNNNNNNNNNNNNNNNNNNNNNNNNNNNNNNNNNNNNNNNNNNNNNNNNNNNNNNNNNNNNNNNNNNNNNNNNNNNNNNNNNNNNNNNNNNNNNNNNNNNNNNNNNNNNNNNNNNNNNNNNNNNNNNNNNNNNNNNNNNNNNNNNNNNNNNNNNNNNNNNNNNNNNNNNNNNNNNNNNNNNNNNNNNNNNNNNNNNNNNNNNNNNNNNNNNNNNNNNNNNNNNNNNNNNNNNNNNNNNNNNNNNNNNNNNNNNNNNNNNNNNNNNNNNNNNNNNNNNNNNNNNNNNNNNNNNNNNNNNNNNNNNNNNNNNNNNNNNNNNNNNNNNNNNNNNNNNNNNNNNNNNNNNNNNNNNNNNNNNNNNNNNNNNNNNNNNNNNNNNNNNNNNNNNNNNNNNNNNNNNNNNNNNNNNNNNNNNNNNNNNNNNNNNNNNNNNNNNNNNNNNNNNNNNNNNNNNNNNNNNNNNNNNNNNNNNNNNNNNNNNNNNNNNNNNNNNNNNNNNNNNNNNNNNNNNNNNNNNNNNNNNNNNNNNNNNNNNNNNNNNNNNNNNNNNNNNNNNNNNNNNNNNNNNNNNNNNNNNNNNNNNNNNNNNNNNNNNNNNNNNNNNNNNNNNNNNNNNNNNNNNNNNNNNNNNNNNNNNNNNNNNNNNNNNNNNNNNNNNNNNNNNNNNNNNNNNNNNNNNNUGUGUGUGUGUGUGUGUGUGUGUGUGUGUGUGUGUGUGUGUGUGUGUGUGGUGUUGAACGCGUUACAGUUUAAUGCAUGUGUCUUGAUGAUUUAUUUUUAGAGGAAGAUUUAGAUACUUGGGAGUUGUUAAUUAAUCAAUUGAAGUGUUUCAAUACGAUGAAUACAGUAUUUUAAAAGAUUUUUUUUAGGCGAGCCCCGAAGCGAGGCAUAUAAAAAACGCACUAAGGCAUACUGACAGGGCAUAAGUAUCAUGGGGCAUAAGUCUCGGCGUUAUGGGUUUCGUUUGGGGCGUAAUCCCUGAUAACUUUUCCGAAAUUGAGCUAAAAUCACUUAAUAAAUUCUUUUUUUAAAACUUAAAUAUAUAAAAGUUAACUAAUAGUAAAUUCUCAAACUAAAAAUCUCAAAAGUCAAAGAUUUUUUAAAUUGAUUAUAUUAAUUUCAUAAUCUAUCUCAAAAGUCAAAGAUCUUUUUAAUCGUUUAUAUUAAUUUCAUAAUCUAUUUGCUUGUCAUUUGAUGAGUAACAAAUAUAGACCUUUGCCUGCAAAGUGCAAACUACAAAGCAAAUAAUAACAAUAAAAGAAGAAAGAAGAGUAUUACAGAGCAAAGUAGAGAGAGAAUUCUUAUUGAUUUGGGAUAAAUUAUAAUAAAAUUAUCACGAUCCAAAAUCCAACUAGCCGUGAUGCAUCUAACCCAGCCCACUAGGUAAGCCAAUUAAUAAUAAACAAAUUCCAAUGAGAUUCAUUAGGAGAAGUAAUGAUAAUAGAAUUGUGCUUUUAUACAAAGAAUUCCCAAGGGCUGGUAGUACAAAUCAUGAGCUUCUAAGAUUUAGAGUUUACAAAGUUGAUAUGAAAUAAAAUGCAUCAUCUAUUUGAAAUAUACAUUAACAUAUUAAAAAUUCUAAAGCUACCAAGAUCAAGAGUCAGCUAUGACCGGAAUGCAGGUACAUCUUCAAAUACAGCUCCCGCCAUAUACAACAACAUCAGUAUCCAACAUCUGCACGCAAGGUGAAGAAGUGUAGUAUGAGUACAACCUACCCCAUGCACUCAAUAAGUAACAAACCUAACCUUAGGUUGAAAGUAGUGAUGAGCUGGGACAAAGGUCAGAGUCCAACACCAAUAGCCAACAAUAGCUCAUAACAAUUGUAAUGACCCAGCCAGUUGUUUUGAGAGUAUUAGCCCCGAACCCCUAUUUAUUGCUCCCUCUAUUUCAUUUUUGGGUUUUGUGACCCGCUGGGAGGUUUGGUUUUUGGUUUCGAAGUGAAAUGGGACACGUAAUCCCUAAAAUAGAAGUUUAAGUCGUAGGAAUUGACCGUAGUUUGAAUUGUGUGAAGACGACUCUGGAAUGGAGUUUCGACAGUUCCAAUAGCUCUGUAGGGUGAUUUUGGUCAUAGGAGCGUGUCCGUAUGUUGAUUUAUAGUUUCGAUGUGCAAUUCGUGUUUAAUAUUGUUUGAUGUGAUUUAAAGGCUCGACUAAAUCCGUAUAAUAUUUUAGGACUAGUUGGUAUACUCGGACGGGGUCCCGGGGGCCCCGAGUGUGAUUCAGACUUGAAUCCGGAAUAAAAUUGGACUUGGUGCAUAGCUGAAGCAUUGUUGUGUCUGGUGCAAUCACACCUGUGCAUUUUGGGCCGCAGGUGCGGCGCCGCAGAAGCAGCCAUCGAGCUGCAGCAGUGGAUUUGGGACUGCCCAGCUGAGACCGCAUAUGCGGUCAUGACCCCGCAGAAGCGAGCUCGCAGAAGCAUGAGGCCAAACACAGAAGAAGAACUGAAGGGGGUGGUUAGUGGUCGCAGGUGCGACAUGAAGGCCGCAGAAGAGAAGCCGCUUCUACGGUAGGAUGAUCGCAGAAGCGAAGAGUGAGGGAACUGAGGUGGUAAGGGUUUCCGCUGAAGCGCUUCCACAUAUGCGGAUGGUUGUGCGCAGUUGCGAUAUCUGGAAGUUUAAGUGAGCUCCACAGAAGCUAAUUUUGGACGCAAAAGCGGAAAGUGGUGGGCAGUGUUUAAAACUGAAGGGUUUCGUGAUUUCUCUCAUUUGGACUUUGCAAACUCGGUCUAAGGUGAUUUCUGAGAGGACUUUCUAGGGAUUUCUUGAGGUAAGCCACUUGUGAAUAUUUUUAUUCAAUAAUCUUGUUUCCGCAUUGAAUUUCCCAUCUAGUUUGUGUGUAUUUUAGGUGGAAUUUGGGAGUUUGAGGCUAGGGAUUUGGAGAGUUUAAUUUGGGGAUUUGAGUGGCGAUUUGGUGUCGGAUUUGAGUAAUUUUAGUAUGGAUGAACUCGAUAUUGAAUGGAUAUUUAUAUUUUAUGACUUUUACCCAAUUCUGAGACGUGGACCCAGGUAGACGUUUUGUGGCAAUUUUCUAAUUCCUUGUGAAAGUCAUAAUUUCAUUAUUUAGAGUAAUUUUUUAUAGUUAUAUUCAUAGUAUGUAAUUUCUUUUGGCUAGAUUUGGGCCGUUCGGAGUUGGAAAGUCAAGGGAAAGGUAUUCUUAUCGAUUGAUUUAACGAGAUUUGAGGUAAGUGACUUGUCUAACCUUGUGAGGAGGAAACUCCCCCUAGAUUUUGGUACUAUUAUGAUAUUUUCAAUACGUGAAGGCCAUGUAUGCGAGGUGACGAGUGCGUACUCGAUUUAAAUAUUGAAAAAUCCGAUUCUUGUUGAGUAGUUUUCUUUUAAUUCCUUAACUGAGUUGCUCUAGCAUGUGUAGUCAUCAUGUUUAGCCUAUUGUCGCAUGUCUAUGUGUCUUAAAUCUUACUUGCAAUUUGUGUAACAUGCUUAAUUGAAGUACCUGCUUCCUUGAUUUCGUAUUUAGCCUUUAACUGUAGUAUUCUUCCUUGAAGUAAAUUCAUUGUUCCAUAGGUUAUGAGUUGUGUAUUUACUUUUGGGACUGCGUGCCGAUACCUCGGGAGUGCCCCUAUUUCAUAUUUACUUUUAGGACUAUGAGGCGGUACCUCGGGAGCUCCCCUAUUGUGUCUUUACUUUUGGGACUACGAGGCGGUACCUCGGGAGCGCCCCUGUUGCAUAUUUACUUUUGGGACUACGAGGCGGUACCUCGGGAGCUCCCCUGUUAUGCCUUUACUUUUAGGACUACGAGGCGGUACCUCGGGAGCGCCCCUGUUGCAUAUUUACUUUUGGGACUACGAGGUGGUGCCUCGGGAGAUCCCCUAUUAUGUCUUUACUUUUAGGACUACGAGGCAGUACCUCGGGAGCACCCGUGUUGUUUACCUCUAUUUGCGGUGUUGUUACCUUUUUGUACUUUCUCAUUUUUCAAUUCUCAAUCAUUUAAUUAUAUUAUUAUAUCUUCUGACUUGUUUCCUUUUAUUCUAGUAGGGCCUUGACCCGACCUCGUCACUACUCUACCGAGGUUAGGCUUGGCACUUACUGGGUACCGUUAUGGUGUACUUAUACUAUACUUCUACACAUUUUUAUGCAGAUCCAGGUACUAGUGAGCUAGGCCGUACGUGGAGACUUCAAGGUACAUCUGCCAGCGUCCGUAGACCUCGGAGUCCCCCUCUAUAUUUAUGAUGUUGUUUUCUUUAUUUUCAUUAGACUCUGAUGUAUAGAGACACUUAGUAUUUUCUCUUUAGAGCUUGUGACUUAUUUCUACUGGGUUUUAGGAGUUGUAACUAUUUUUAAUAGCAGUUCUUCUUUUUUUAGAUGUUGAGGAUGAAUUUUACCUUUAUAUUCAGUUAUUCCGCAUAAUUGUUAGGCUUAUCUACUCUUAGAGACUAAGUUCCAUCACGACAUCUUACGGAGUAAAAUUGGGUCGUGACAAGUUGGUAAUAGAGCACUAGGUUCAUAGGUGUUAUGAGUCACAAGCAGGUUUAGUAGAGUCUCGCGGAUCGCUAAGGAGAAGUCUGUACUUAUCUUCGGGAGGUUAUGGAACUGUUAGGAAAAACAUCACUUCUUUGAUUCCUUAUCGUGCGAGAUUUUGACUUUGGAUCUAAAUUUCUGUCUUUCUAUUCUCUCAAAAAUGGUGAGGACACGUAUAUCUAGAUCAGAUGACCAGACACCCGCGCCCCCUGCUAGAGUCGCGAGAGGCCAGGGCCGGGGCCCGGGUAGAGGCCGAGGACAUCCACGUGGUAUAGCCAGAGCACCCGCACAUGAUGCUAUAGAGGAGCCACCAUUAGCUCUAGUUGGAGGGCAGGCACCUGAGACGCCUGUUACUGCACCAGCCCUCUAGGAGACUCUCGCCCAGUUUCUGAGCAUGUUUAGCAUGUUGGCUCAGGCAGGGAUGAUACCACUUACUCCUUCCAUAUCUCAGACUGGGGGAGGAGCACAAAUUCCUGCCGCCCAUUCCCAGAGUAGCGGGUCCAGGUCGAGCAAGUUCUCGAGGUCAUACCGAUGCAGCCGGUUGCUCCAGUUUAGCCAGAGGUUAGGGCAGUAGUUUCUAAGGGGAGCAGCUCAGGCUCGAGAGGUACAAGAAGUACCAUUCUUCUACGUUCAGUGGCUUGGCGUCAGAGGAUGCUUGGGGUUUUCUUGAGCAUUGCCACCGUAUCCUCCGUACUAUGGGUGUUGCAGAGUCUAGUGGGUUUCUUUCACUACGUUCCAUCUUAGAGGAGCGGCUUAUCAGUGGUGGCGAGCAUAUGAGUUGGGUAGUCCGGCCGAGGAAGCUUCACUCACUUGGACUAAGUUCUCAGAAAUAUUCUUGAGGGAGUAUGUUCCCUAGAGUCUCAGAGAUGCAUAGUGUACGGAGUUUGAACAGUUACGCCAGGGUUCUAUGACCGUGUCAGAAUAUACGGUCCGGUUCAGUGAUUUGGCCAGGCAUGCACCAGCCUUGGUUGCUACUAUUCGGGAGUGGGUUCGUCGAUUUAUUGAGGGGCUCAACCCCAGUAUCAGAUUUAGCAUGGCCCGAGAGUUGGAGAUGGACAUUGCAUACCAGCAGGUGGUGGAAAUUUCCAGGAGAUUGGAGGAUAUGUUGACUCGGGAGAGAGAGGAAAGGGAGGCCAAGAGGUCUUGAGAGUCUGGCACAUAUAGUAGUACUCGUGCCCCAGCUGCAGCUUGUCAGGGUAGGGGCUAUGUGGGUCUCCCUGUUCAUUCAGCACUUCCAGCCGCCAGCGGUGCUCCGGCCACUCCUAGGCCCCAGGCUCCUUAUUAUGCACCACCAUUGUCUAGUGUACCUCUUGCAUGGGGUGCUUUCAGCGGUCAGUCCAGCUGAUUAGGCCCGAGCCAGUUGCAACAACGACGUCCUCCGAGAGCUUGUUUUGAGUGUGGUGACACUCGUUAUGUGGUAAGGUAUUGCCCCAAACUCAGGAGGGGUGCACCUCCACAGACCACUCAGGCAUCGCGUGCUCCACCGGGUCCUCAAGCUAUGGUUACAGCACCAACUGCUACCCCACCUGCAUAGCCAGCACGAGGUGGAGGUCAAACAGGUAGAGGUCACCCUAGAGGAGGAGGCCAGGCCAGAUAUUAUUCCCUUCCUGCUAGGACGGAGGCUGUUGUAUCCGAUUUUGUCAUCACAGGUAUUGUUCCGAUCUUUCAUAGAGAUGCAUCAGUCUUAUUUAAUCCAGGCUCCACUUAUUCCUACGCGUCCUCUUAUUUUGCCCCGUAUUUGGGUAUAUCCCGUGAUUCUCUGAGUUCUCCUAUCUAUGUGUCUACACCCGUGGGUGAUUCUAUUAUUGUUGUCCAUGUGUAUCGCUCGUGUUUGAUUGUUCUUAGUGGUUUUGAGACCAGAGCUGAUUUAUUAUUGCUCAGUAUGGUAGAUUUCGAUGUUAUUUUAUGCAUGGACUGGCUGUCGCCCUAUCACGCUAUCCUUGAUUGUCACUCCAAGAUGGUGACGUUGGCUAUGCUAGGUCUACCGCGGAUAGAGUGGAGAGGUACCUUAGAUCAUGUUCCCAGCAGGGUUGCCUCAUUUCUAAAGGAUCAACAGAUGGUUGAGAAGGCGUGUGAUGCGUAUCUGGCAUAUGUGAGGGAUGUUAGUGUUGAUACUCCUACUGUCGAGUCAGUUCUAGUAGUGAGGUACUAUUCAGAUGUAUUCCCGGCGGAUCUUCUGGGCAUGCCGCCCGACAGGGAUAUCGACUUUGGUAUUGAUUUGUUACCGGGCACUUAGCCUAUUUCUAUUCCACCUUAUCAUAUGGCCCCAGUAUAGUUGAAAGAAUUAAAGGAACAAUUGCAAGAGUUACUAGAUAAGGGCUUCAUUCGGCCCAGUGUGUCGCCUUGGGGUGCUCCUGUCUUGUUUGUAAAGAAGAAGGAUGGUUCAAUGUGAAUAUGUAUUGAUUAUCGCCAACUGAACAAGGUUACAGUGAAGAACAGAUAUCCAUUUUCACGUAUUGAUGACCUAUUUGAUCAGUUUCAGAGUGCCAGAGUGUUCUCUAAGAUCGACUUGCAUUCAGGCUAUCAUCAGUUGAAGAUUCAGGAGCCAGAUAUCCUGAAGACUGCUUUAAAGGCUCAGUGUGGUCAUUACAAGUUCCUUGUGAUGUCUUUUGGGCUGAUAAACUCCCCAGCAGCAUUCAUGCACUUGAUGAAUAAUGUAUUUCUGCCCUAUCUUGACUCUUUUGUCAUUGUGUUUGUUGACUACAUUCUAGUGUACUCCUGGAGUCGGGAGGAUCAUAAGCAGUACCUGAGGACUGUGCUUCAGACCUUGAGAGAAAAGAAGUUAUAUGUAAAAUUUUUGAAGUGUGAAUUCUGGCUAGAGUCAGUGAUAUUUUUGGGUCAUGUAGUAUCGAAUGAGGGGAUCAAGAUAGAUCCGAAGAAGAUUGAAGCAGUGUAGAGUUGGCCCAGAACAUCCUCAGCCACGGAGAUCUGGAGUUUUCUUGGCUUGGCAGGGUAUUAUCGUCGAUUCGUAGAGGGUUUCUCAUCUAUUGCAGCACCUAUGACCAGAUUGACCCAGAAGGGUGCUCCGUUCUGCUGGACCGAAGAGUGUGAGGAGAUCUUUCAAAGGCUCAAGACUGCUUUGACUAUAACCCCAUUGUUGGUGUUGCCGACUGGUUCGGGGUCCUAUACGGUGUACUGUGAUGCAUCGCACAUCGGUCUCGGUGCGGUGUUGAUGCAGGACAAUAGGGUGUUUGCCUACGCGUCUAGACAGUUGAAGGUGCAUGAGAAGAACUAUCCUGUCCAUGACCUCGAGCUAGCAGAUAUUGUUCAUGCCUUGAUGAUCUGGCGGCACUAUUUGUAUGGUGUCCCUUAUGAGGUCUACACCGAUCACCAGAGUCUUCAACAUCUGUUUAAAUAGAAGGAUCUUAACUUGCGGCAGCAGAGAUGGUUGGAGCUGCUUAAGGAAUAUGAUAUCACCAUUCUCUAUCAUCCCGGGAAGGCCAAUAUAGUGGCCGAUGCCUUGAGUCGCAAUGCGGAGAGUUUGGGCAGUUUAGCAUAUCUACCAGUAGCAGAGAGGCCUUUAGCCUUGGAUGUUCAGUCCUUGGCCAACCAGUUUGUUAGAUUGGAUGUUUCCAAACUGAGUCGAGUUUUGGCUUGUGUGGUUUCUCAAUAUUCUCUUUAUGAUCAUAUUAGAGAGCGUCAAUAUGAUGACCCCCAUCUGCUUGUAUUUAAGGACACGGUUCAGCACGGUGAUGCCAAGGAAGUCACUAUUGGAGAUGACAGUGUAUUAUAGAUGUAGGACAGGCUAUGUUUGCCCAAUGUAGAUGGUUUGCAUGAGUUAAUUCUCUAAGAGGCUCACAGUUCGCAGUAUUCCAUUCAUCCAGGUGCCGUGAAGAUGUAUCAGGACAUGAGGCAACAUUAUUGGUGGAGGAGAAUGAAGAAAGACAUAGUGGAAUAUGUUGCUCGGUGCCUAAAUUGUCAACAGGUGAAGUAUGAGCAUUAGUGACCGUGGAUUGCUUCAUAAGUUAGAGAUUCGAGAGUGAAAAUGGGAGCGGAUCACUAUGGAUUUUGUUGUUGGGCUCUCACAGACUCAAAGGAAGUUCGAUGCAGUUUGGGUGAUUGUGGAUAGAUUGACCAAGUCAGCUCAUUUCAUUCCAGUGAUUACUACUUACUCUUCGGAGCAGCUAACCCAGGUUUACAUUCGCGAGAUUGUCAGGCUUCAUGGCGUGCCGGUAUCUAUCAUCUCUGACUGGGAUACGCAGUUUACAUCGCGGUUCUGGAGAGCCGUACAACAUGAGUUGGGUACUCGAGUGGAGUUGAGUACAACAUUUCACCCUCGGACGGAUGGACAGUCCGAGCGUACUAUUCAAAUAUUUGAGGAUAUGCUUCGUGCGUGUGUGAUGGAUUUUGGGGGUUCUUGGGAUCAGUUCUUGCCACUUGCGGAGUUUGCCUACAACAUUAGUUAUCAGUCAAGCAUUCAAAUGGCACCGUAUAAGGCUUUGUGUGGUAGGCGAUGCCGGUGUUCAGUGGGUUGGUUUGAGCCGGGUAAGGCUAGACUAUUAGGUACAAAUUUGGUUCGGGAUGCUUUGAAAAGGUUAAAUUGAUUCAAGAUCGACUUUGUACAGCCCAAUCCAGGCAGAAGAGUUAUGCAUAUCAGAAGGUUCGCGACGUUGCAUUCAUGGUUGGGGAGCGGGUCUUGCUCCGUGUUUCGCCUAUGAAGGAUGUUAUGAGGUUCGAGAGGAAGGGCAAGUUGAGCCCUAGGUAUAUCGGGCCUUUUGAGAUUCUUGAGAGGGUUGGAGAGGCGGUUUACAAACUUGCACUACCACCUAGCCUCUCUGCAGUUCAUCCAGUGUUCCAUGUUUCCAUGCUCUGGAAGUAUCACGACGACCCAUCCCAUGUGUUAGAUUUCAGCUCAGUCCAGUUGGACAUAGAUCUAUCUUAUGUUGAGGAGCCGGUGGCCAUUUUGGACAGGCAGGUUCGAAAGUUGAGGUCAAAGAACAUCGCGUUAGUGAAGGUGUAGUGGAGGGGACAUCUGGUCGACGAGGCGACUUGGGAGACUGAGCAUAAUAUGCGCAACCGUUAUCCUCUUCUUUUCAACACUUCAGGUAUGUCUCUAUACUCGUUCGAGGAUGAACGUUUGUUUUAAGAGGGGGAGGAUGUAAUGAACCGGCCGGUCAUUUUGAGAGUAUUAGCCCCGAACCCCUAUUUAUUGCUCCCUCUAUUUCAUUUUUGGGGUUUGUGACCCGUCGGGAGGUUUGGUUUUUGGUUUCGGAGUGAAAUGGGACACUGAGUCCCUAAAAUGGAAAUUUAACUCGUAGGAAUUGACCGUAGUUCAAAUUGUAUGAAGACGACUCCGGAAUGGAGUUUUGACGGUCCCAAUAGCUUCGUAGGGUAAUUUUGGUCUUAGGAGCGUGUCCAAAUGUUAAUUUGGAGGUCCGUAGGUCAUUUCAGCGUUAAUUGGCGAAAGUUAGAAAAUUGGAUGAUUUUUGGAUAGUUUGACCGGGAGUAGACUUUUUGAUAUUGGGGUCGGAUUCCGAUUCCAAUUUUGAAGUUGGAGUAGGUCCGUAAUGUCAAUUAUGACUUGUGUCCAAAAUAUGAGGUCAAUCGGACUUGAUUUGAUAGGUUUCAGUGUUGAAUGUAGAAGUUUGAAGUUCUAAACUUCAUUAGGCUUAAAUCGAUGUGCAAUUCAUGUUUUUAGCGUUGUUUGAUGUGAUUUAAAGGCUCGACUAAGUCCGUAUAAUGUUUUAGGACUUGUUGGUAUACUCGGACGGGGUCCUGGGGGCCCCGGGUAAGAUUCAGACUUGAAUCCGGAACAAAAUUGGACUUGGUGCAUAGCUGAAGCAUUGUUGUGUCUGGUGCAAUCACACCUGCACAUUUUGGGCCGUAGGUGCAACACUGCAGAAGCGGCCAUCAAGCUACAGAAGUGGAUUUGGGACUGCCCAAUUGAGACUGCAGAUGCGGUCAUGGCCCCGCAGAAGGGAGCUCGUAGAAGCGUGAGGCCAAGCGCAGAAGAGAAACUGAAUGGGGUGGUCAGUGGUCACAGGUGCGACGUGAAGGCCGCAGAAGUGGAGCCGCUUAUGUGGUAGGAUGAUCACAGAAAUGGAGAGUGAGGGAACUGAGGUGGACAAGGUUUCCUUAGAAGCAGAUGAGUGGGCACAGAAGCGCUUCCGCAGAUGCGGAUGGAUGUGCGUAGGUGCGAUAUCUGGGAGUUUAAGUGAGCUCCACAGAUGCGGAUAUUUCACCUCAAAAGCAGUCUCGCUGAAGCUGACUUUGGACCGCAAAAGCGAAAAGUGGUGGGCAGUGUUUAAAACCGAAGGGUUUCAUGAUUUCUCUCAUUUUGGACUUUGCAAACUCGGUAAGUGACUUGUCUAACCUUGUGUGGGGAAAACACCCCUUAGUUUUUGGUACUGUUAUGAUAUUUACAAUACGCGAAGGCCGUGUUCACAAAGUGACGAGUGCGUACUCAGGUUAAAUAUUGAAAAAUCUGGUUCUUGCUGAGUAGUUUUCUUUUAAUUCCUUAACUGAGUUGCUCCAGCAUGUGUAGUCAUCAUGUUUAGCCUAUUCUCACAUGUCUACGUGUCUUAACUCUUACUUGAAAUUUUUGCAACAUGCUUAGUUAAAUUACUUGCUUCCUUGAUUUUGUAUUCAACCUUUAACUGUAGGAUUCUUCCUUGCUGUAAAUUCAUUUUUCCAUAGGUUAUGAGUUGUGUAUUUACUUUUGGGAUUGCGAGGCGGUGCCUCGGGAGUGCCCCUGUUGCAUAUUUACUUUUGGGACUAGGAGGCGGUACCUCGGGAGCUCCCCUGUUGUGUCUUUACUUUUGGGACUACGAGACAGUACCCUGAGAGCGUCCCUAUUGCAUAUUUAUUUUUGGGACUACGUGGAGGUACCUCGGGAGCUCCCCUAUUGUGUCUUUACUUUUAGGACUACGAGGCAGUACCUCGGGAGAGCCCCUAUUGCAUAUUUACUUUUGGGACUACGAGGCGGUACCUCGGGAGCUCCCCUGUUGUGUAUUUACGUUUGGGACUACGAGGCGAUACUUCGGGAGCGCCCCUGUUGUUUACCUCUAUUUGCUGUGUUGUUACCUUUCUGUACUUUCUCAUUGUUUAAUUCUCAAAUAUUUCAUUAUAUUAUUAUAUCUUCUGCCUUGUUUCCUUUUAUGCCAGUAGGGCCCUGACCCGACCUUGUCACUACUCUACUGAGGUUAGGUUUGGCACUUACUGGGUACCGUUGUGGUGUACUCAUACUACACUUCUGCACAUCUUUUUGUAUAGAUCCAGGUACUGCUUACCAAACCAGGUACUAGUGAGCUAGGCCGUAUGUGGAGACUUCAAGGUACGUCUGCCAGUGUUUGCAGACCUCGGAGUUCCCCUCUAUCUUUAUGAUGUCGUGUUCUUUAUUUUUAUUAGACUCUGAUGUAUAGAGACACUUAGCAUUUUCUCUUUAGAGCUUGUGACUUAUUUCUACCGAGUUUUGGGAGUUGUAACUAUUUUUAAUCGCAGUUCUUUAUUUCAAAUCUUGAUGUUGAGUUUUACCUUUAUAUUCAGUUAUUCCGUAUAAUUGUUAGGCUUACCUAGUCUUAUAGACUAGGUGCCGUCACGACAUCCUACAGAGGGAAAUUGGGUCAUGACAACAAUAUAAUAAAAGUGGUACAAGAAAUAACUUAGAGAUAUAAUGCUCAGCUCGUUUACAGUUCUGGAAAAUAGGCAUGCUUUUCAAGUAUAUCACUGAAAACCCAAAUCUUUUACUGAAACCACCAAAAUAUGAGUAAGUUUGAAAAACUGUGAUUUUUUCCCAAAAAAAAUUCAACAACAGGUAAGAUGUUUCAUUAUCAAAUGGCAUGAGGAAGGUACAUCUUUAUGCCUAUAUGUCAAUGUGUAUGUGAAGUCAUGAAUGACGUAAUACCGUACAACAUGAGAAAAAUUCAUCUCUAUGCCCGUAUGUCAACUGUGCAUGUCGAAUGCAAUACAACCUAGUGAUAAAACCAUAUGCAUACUCUCAGAGUAUCAAUUCACUCAGUCCUCCCAGUCACUCAGUCCUCACAGUCACUCAGUCUUCACAAUCACUCACUCCUCACAGUCACCCAGUCCUUCCAAUCACUCGGCACUCGCGCUCGACACUCGCACUCAGUAGGCACUUGCGCUCACUGUGGGUGUGCAGACUCCGGAGGGGCAUAUCCAGCCCAAGCGCUAUAAUAAGCCAAUCAUGGUAUAGGUCAAUAAAGUCUGCUGCGGCGUGCAACCCGAUCCCAUAAACAUCCUCACAAUUAGGCCCUCGGCCUCACUCAGUCAUCAAUCUCUCCAGUCACUCGGCCUCACAAAUCUCAUGCCAAUCGGCCCAAACAAUGAUAAUAAGAUGUGAGACAAAUGAUAACAAAGACUGAGAUAUGAUAUGCAAUGAAUGAGUAUGACUGAGUAUGUAAUUGCAAUUUAAGCAAAUAACUCAACAACAUAAAUGACCUCAGUGGGUCCCAACAUAAGCAUAUAGCCUAAACAUGGUUUCUAACAUGGAUCACAGCUCAAUUACACUAGCAUGUAGAAAUCUCAUGGAUAAAGACAAGAUUAGGUAUCUACACAGUAUCACAGAAACAACCGAGUCAUAAUUCACACGAUGCACGCCCACAUGCCCCUCACCUAGCAUGUACGCCAGCUCAACACCAACCACAUAACACGUAUAUUCAGGGGUUCAUACCCUCAGCACCAAGUUUGGAAGUGUUACUUACCUCGAACAAGCCAAAUCUAAUACCGAGCAAGCCAAACGAUACUCUAAAAAUGCCAUCUCGUGCGUACCGACCUUGAACGGCUCGAAACUAGCAAAAAGCAACUCAAAUACAUCAAAUAAUGCAUAAGGAAACAAACCCAAUUGAUAAAGCUCGAAUCUUUAAUCAAAAUCCCAAAGUCAACCAAAAAGUCAAACCCAGGUCCGCAUCUCGGAACCCGACAAAACUCACCAAAUCCAAUAAUCCAUUCAAUUAAGAGUCAAACCAUACUAGUUUCACUCAAAUCCGACUUCGUAUCAAUGUUCAAAAAUCAAAAAUUCACUCUAUGAAACUUUAGACAAAACCUCCCAAUUUUCUCUUUUGAACUUCUCAAUCAAAUGCCAAACAAAAGAAGAUAGAUUCAUAAAAUAUAAUAAAAAAUGAGUAGAUAACACUUACCCCAAUCCACAUGGUGAAAAUUGCUUCAAAUAUCAUCUCAAUCCGAGCUGCAUAGCUCCAAAUAUGCAAAAUUGUCCGAACCCUCAGAAAUUAGAGUACUUAUAAUUACUGGGCGAAUCUAUGAAUCGCAAUCGCGAAAACACCCUCACGAUCGCGAAGAAGAAAAUGCACUGACUCUGAAAAUGCACUACGCGAUCGCAGAACAAGCUUUGUAAUCGCAAAGCACAAACUGCUCUGCCUCGAAAAGAACCUUCGCGAACGCGGCCCCAGGCUCGCGAACGCGAUGAAGAAGCCAUGAAGACCUGCCCAGCUCAGCUCUACAAUGUGAAUGCAUGCACACUUGUGCAAACGCGAUUCUCGUAUGCGAAUGCGAAGAAGAAACACUCCGCUCUAAUUUUUCCCUUACACGAUUGCAUCCCUCAAUCCACGAUCGCGAAGAACACUUGGUGCGCCAGACAUCAGCAGAACUAGCAGUGCGAUUAUGAAGCAAAUGGUCCGAGAACAAUCCGAAUCACACCUGAGCCCCUCGGGACCUUGUCUGAACAUUCCAACAAGUCCCAUAACAUAACACGGACCUACUCAAGGCCUCAAAUCACGCAUAAAAAUAUCGAAAUGACGAAUCGCAUCUCAAAUCAAACUUAUGAACUUUUGAACUUUCAACUUUCAAAACUUGCGCCGAAACAUAUCAAAUCAACCCAGAAUGAACACAAAUUUUACACACAAGUCUUAAAUGACAUAACGAAGCUAUUUCAAAUUCCCGAAACCACAAUCCGAAUCCUAUAUACUCAAAGUCAACUCUCAGUCAAACUUUUGAACUUUUCAAACCUUCGAAUUUUCAACUUUUGCCAAUUAGUGCCGAAACCUUCUAGAAUUAUCCAAAUGCAAAUCCGGGCAUACUCCCGAGUCCAAAAUCACCAUCCGAACCUAACAGAACCCUCAAAACUCCGAUCCGAGGUUGAAUACUAAAAAGUCAAACUUGGUCAACUCUUUCAUCGUAAUGCUUCAACUAUGAAAUUCAUUUUUCCAAACUAAUUCCGAAACACCUGAAAACCAAUACUGACGAUUCACACAUGUCAUAAUACAUCAUAUGAAGCUACUCAAGACUUCAAGUAGCUGAACGCAAUGCAAAUGGUCAAAAUGACCGGUCGGGUCGUUAUAUUCUUCCCCCCUUAAACAUACGUUUGUCCUCGAAUGUGCCAAGAGUAGUUCCUAAGCCUUCAAAUCAUUAUGCCACCUUACCACGCACAUACCCAAGGGUGAUCCCACAUCACCCUAUUCUAUAUAGGCCUGACCACACAACAUUACUGAAGAUCAUUACUUUAACCUUAGACCGUAAACCUUAGAACCCAAUUUCCAACAUCUAGAAUUCCUUAUAAGACCCGAAUCUAGCAUCUAUAUAUUGUAUAAGUCUGAACAAGCCAUAUCAAGCCUUAACCAUAACCCAAGAUGUAAUCACAUGACAUACCACACAACUCGCAUACUCGUAGCAAAAUUUUCGAUCACCGUAACUGCUCAAAACAAACCUGGUACCGGUAAUAAACCUCAUAUCAAAUAAAACCUCGUUCAAAACCUUAGUACACUGCUGAUGAUAAAAGAAACACGCAAAAAUUCAUAACCACUCAUCAGAUCAACAAGUCAUGGAGCCCUCUCUUGUCUGACAAGAACCGUAGUCUAAAUUCUAAGCUAACCUCUGAUAUUAUUUCUCCAUACAUACUACAAUCAAAUCUGAUAGUACCCAUUCUAGGUCAAAUGACCCUAUCUCAUCAAACACAACCAUUCUAUUGACAUGUAACACCAAUACAACCUAGAGCCACAAACUGUGCAAUCCGUGCACCAAUAAGCAAUAACUCAAUGUACCCAAAAAUGAAAAAUGACUCAAAUGAGAAAACCAUCCCGCAAGCUCAACAAGUACCACCACAACCGCAAUGCUAUUAGCCCAUCAUACAUAGUAGAACCAAUACACAUGAAUCAAUCACAAAGGAUCAUAUCUCAACAUAACUCCGCUGCAAUGCGUGACCCCAUCCUAACACCGGUCCACAUGAAAUACCUCAAGCCACAAUGCUCAAAAUCAACAUCCACCCGCAAUUUGACAUCAAGUACACGAAGUGCAUGGCCAUAACUAUGGAGAAGAAAAUAACACAAUAUACCACAAUCGGAAAGGGCCAUAACUAAGGCACAAUCAACCAUUCCACACCAUAAUAACUAUUUUGCUGAAUCUGCUACAAGUAGGACUGCUUAUCGGGCGGAUUUGUAUCAGUUUAGCAAUUAUCGGGCGGUUAUCAGGCGAUUUAUCGGCCUAUUUGAAUCUUUAUUAUAGAGUCCUAUAGGUAGUUGGAUAUUGGAUUUUUCUAAAUACUUUACUUUUACUUCUAUUACCCAGUGAAACUUUAUUACAUCAAUUGCAACUAACCAAGGAUUUGAAUAUCACAUUUACACAUUGAAUCUGACUACAUAUAGCAUGUUCUAUGCUCAAUGGAGUAAAUGAUAAAUACAUCUAUGCAACACAUUAGAGAAGCUAAAAUUGUAGCAGAUAUUUUUUUUAAUAUGUUUAUAAUAAUAACUGUACAAUAGCCGCCUUCUUUUGUAUUUGACUAUUACAUGUAUUAAUGAUCUUUAAAUUAGGUACUAAGGAAAAUAGUCAUAUCUAAUAUCUCGUACCAAUAUUUAGUCUUUAUAUAUAAAGCAUAUCCACUUUACCUUCUGUUGCUUUGGCUUUGGCCGUAACUGACGGCUGGGUUAUGAGAUUAGAGAAAACGAGGAAAAGAUUAGAGAAGAGAAUGGGAGGUGAGGCGUUGUGGUGUUGUGGUUGUGUUGACUGUUGCCUCAACCUUCAGAUAGUAGAGGGUCUGAGAAUGAGAGGCGACGUAAGAGGGAGAGGUGAGAGGGCUGGGUUUUGAGAUCUGAGGGAAAUUAGAAAUUAGGAAUUUAGAUUUUAGGAUUUCUAAUAGUGUAUAAGUGGAAGGGAUAUUUAAUAUACAUAUGGAUAAAAAUAUAUAAAUAUAAAAAUUCUUAACGUUAUCUGAUAAGAAAAUUGAAUAAUCCGCCCCCAAACCGAUAAGCUGUUAAUAAUAAAAUUUCAAUCUGUUCCCCACCCGUUAAUCCGAUAACCCGAUACCAAUAAGACAUUAAGCCACUUUUGCGGUUCGAUUUUUAGUUUCGGUUCGGUUUUGAACAUCCCUAGCUACAAGACUCAAACAGAACCGCACCAUGUAUGCGUAUAACCAACAAAUCACCGACCCUCGUAUCAUAGAAGAGUAACUCAUAGAACAUAUCAGAUACAAAUAAGAUCAAUUUUAACCAAAUGGCACAUCCCUCAACUAUAGCAAUACGAAGUCAACUGAUUCGACCCGGUGUAGAAUACACAUCCUCAUUAGGCCUACCAUUGAGCCCCCAAAUCAACCUCGGUCGUCCCCAAUUGGAUAAAUAGCCUUCCAAAAGUCCAUCACGACUAACCAUAGUACGUGCUACCAUAUAGCUAACUUUGGCCACAUCUUCAGUCCGCAACCCCGAAACAAUAUGUUUCUAAAAACUCCCAGUCUCCAAAUCCAUAGAACACAUGAAUCACCAUAGCCAAUCCCAACUCCACCACGCGAACGAUUAAUACAUCUCUCAUACACAAUCAUCCCCACGAGAAAUAUUUCUAUAAUUCAUCCAUCCCACAUAGAAAAAAUUGAACAUCAGCAAUUGAUCAACCAGGCGAGUACCGCAAUAACAAUGAAGCAUCCGUAAUUCAACACAUAGUGCGCCUUCUGAAAUGCGCACCCUUCUCAGGAAUUACCAAGUAGUUAUAACAUUCAUCUAAAUAUCUAAAACUGUCCAUGUUGUCCAAAAUUCAUGACCUUCCCUCCAAAUCUGGAUUGUGACCUUGCACAUGCAAAUCUCAAUCCCACACAACACACCUCAUCUAUCAUGCCAUCAUAUGAAAAAUACGAGAAUCUCAUAAUAAACUCUAAGUCACAAGCAGAAUACCCACCCGGUCAGUCGGAAACCUUCCAUUUGAUCUCACCCAGGAGAAAAUCACAAUACACAACAUGCUCCUCUCACCAGUAGGAAAUAUCCAUCUCAAACCGUGGUAGAAACCAUUGAGAACUCUCCGAAACCCAUUUGCACAUAACCAAACCAUCAGAACUGAAUCUCUCUAACUCAACCAAGCCACGCAGGUCACCAAGUCCAAGAGUAUUGUCGCCGAGCACCUGUAGAGACUCACCACAUCAUAAGUACCCAAAGAACUAAUCAUAUCUAUUACCUUGCUGAUCCAACCUACUACCAAGAUGUACUAUUUCUCUAAGUUCCUUUUGAAUUAUCCUCAAGUUGACACUCCUCCUCGCCAUAAUACCAUGAUCCUCAACCAAAACUUACCCCACGAGAUCCUAGAAUAAAACCACACCGCCCUAAGGCCCAUAAGCUAUUGUAUUCCCUAUCAACCACCCCAAAAGUACCACAAUCAAGACACCCACUCCGAAGAGUCCUUAUGUAAAACUAUUUCCUUUAUCUUCCUGAUACUGAAAUGUAGAAUCCAUAGUGAUAUAGAAAUACCGCGAGUCCUGACACCAUCCGACGCAAAUUUUGGAGUCUAGCCAUAUACAAAUCCGAAUAAAUUCUCAAUUUCUAUAUAUAAAUCUUGAAUCCAUUAGAUCCUUCUAGAGAGUCAUCUACUAUGCUCAAAUCUCGAUUGCACCACCCAAACGAGCUGAAUGAACUGUUUCGCUAUUAGCACGACAACACCCAAAGAAGUAACCUCGCCUUAACACAACCGAGAAAAUUCCUACUCCAAUGCGCACUACAUCUGUCACGAAUAACAACUCAAAUCAUUCCAUGAUUUCCAUAUACCCAUAAAGUGUAAUAUAAUCUGUAUUAAAAAAUUCCCUUACUAGAGUCAUCCUCGAUCUCAACCUCUGCAAGUCAUAACUGAUUCAGAAGUAUGCCUCAAACCAAAACCAGCACAACACAUAACCAUGCAAUCAAAUCGGCGAUAGCAGACUCCCCCACUUGGCUCAAAGCCAUAGAUCAAAACAAAAUUCACAAUACCCAUACUCUAUUACUACCAUAAUACCAUAGGGAGAUUCAACUAAAUCCUCCAUAAGCUCACAUAACACAAACCAUAUAGUACCUCAAAUCAUCUGCUAAGCUCGCAUACAUCCACGUGACGGUCAGGUCAACUAUUACAACUGAUACAAACUCAAAUCACACAAAUAUAACCCACUGGUAGAAAAGAAAGCCUCCACACAACAUCAUAAGGAUCACACAUCCGUAGAUUACCCCAUAUGUUAUAAUCCACCUACUUAGCCUCAAACUGACAUCUCUAUAUACUCUUUCACAGCCACAACUACUACGAAAUCACUUAAUCUUCCUGAGUAUGAACUCAUCAAUAAGACAUGAGAAUCUAAUUUGUUAAACAAUUAAGCAACAUGAAAGAUCCUUCGAUACACUCAUAACUCGAGACUAUACGUCACAUCAAGAUAGAAAUCAAGCACCCAAUAGUCCUUUUUACAUUUCAAGCAAACUCUUCUCGUCACAUCAAACCAUCUGAUCACAUCCCGCAAUCACAUUGUACUCAUCAUAUAGCCAUCCAACCACUCAUCGAGCCACAAACUCCAUUGGACAUAUAAGUCCAAAAGCACAUGUUCACACAACUGAAAUCACCUGCUCACGCUACAGUCAAAACCUGACCUCAAGUUCUCCAGACUGGCCCGUCAUUAGCACACAUAAAUCACAUCUCGCACCUCAUCCAUGGAAUCAUAAGCCGCCGAUGCACAACUGAUACCGAGCGCUCACCUAUGCUUACGAGUGAGUGGAAGGAAUUCAAAGAGUUACACUUCAAGCUAGAAUCAAUGCCGCNNNNNNNNNNNNNNNNNNNNNNNNNGUAGAACAUAUGAACCUAGAGCUCUGAUACCAACUUGUCACGACCCAAAAUCCAACUAGUCGUGAUGGCACCUAACCCAACCCACUAGGUAAGCUAAUUAACAAUAAACCAAUUCCAAUGAGAUUUAUUUGGAGAAGUAAUGAUAAUACAAUUGUGCUUUUAUACAAAGAAUUCCCAAGGACUGGUAGUACAAAUCAUGAGCUUCUAAGAUUUAGAGUUUACAAAGCUGAUAUGAAAUAAAAUGCAUCAUCUGUUUGAAAUAUACAUGAACAGAUUAAAAAUUCUAAAGCUACCAAGAUCAAGAGUCAGCUAUGACCGGAAUGCAGGUACAUCUUCAAAUCCAGCUCCCGCCAUACAUAACAACAUUAACAUCUAACAUCUAUACGCAAGGUGCAGAAGUGUAGUAUGAGUACAACUGACCCCAUGCACUCAAUAAGUAACAAAUCUAACCUUAGGUUGAAAGUAGUGACGAGCUGGGACAAAGGUCAGAGUCUAACACUAAUAGCCAACAACAGCUCAUAACAAUAUAAUAAAAGUAGUACAAGAAAUAACUCAGAGAUAUGAUGCUCAGCUCAUUUACAGUUCCGAAAAAUAGGCAUGUUUUUCAUGUAUAUCAGUAAAAACCUAAAUCUUUUACAGAAAUCACCAAAAUAUGAGUAAAUUUUAAAAACUGUAAUUUUUUCCCAAAAAACUUUCAACAACAAGUAAGAUGUUUCAUUAUCAAAUGGCAUGAGGAAGGUACAUCUCUAUACCUACAUGUCAAUGUGUAUGUGAAGUAAUGAAUGACGUAUACUGUACAACAUGAGGAAAAUGCAUCUCUAUGCCCGUAUGUCAAGUGUGCAUGUCGAAAACAAUGCAACUCAGUGAUAAAACCAUAUGCAUACUCUCAGAGUAUCAAUUCACGUAGUCCUCCCAGUCACUUAGUCCUCACAGUCACUCAGUCCUCACAGUCACCCAGUCAUUUACAGUUCCGAAAAAUAGGCAUGCUUUUCAAGUAUAUUAGUGAAAACCCAAAUCUUUUACCGAACUCACCAAAAUAUGAGUAAGUUCGAAAAAUUGUGAUUUUUUCCCAAAACACUUUCAACAAUAGGUAACAUGUUUCAUUAUCAAAUGGCAUGAGGAAGGUACAUCUCUAUGCCUACAUGUCAAUAUGUAUGUGAAGUCAUGAAUGACGAAAUACUGUACAACAUAAGGAAAAUGUAUCUUUAUGCCCAUAUGUCAAGUGUGCAUAUCGAAUACAAUGCAACUCAAUGAUAAAACCAUAUGCAUACUCUCAGAGUAUCAAUUCACGCUGUCCUCCUAGUCACUCAGUCCUCACAGUCACCCAGUCCUCCCAAUCACUCGGCAUUCGCACUCGUCACUCGCACUCAGUAGGUACCUGCGCUCACUAUGGAUGUGCAGACUCCGGAAGGGAAUAUCCAGCCCAAGCGUUAUAAUAAGCCAAUAAUGGCAUAAAUCAAUAAAGCCUGUUGCGGCAUGCAACCCAAUCCCAUAAACAUCCUCACAAUCAGGCCUUCAGCCUCACUUAGUCAUCAAUCUCUCCAGUCUCUCGGCCUCACAAAUCUCAUGCCAAUCGGCCCAAACAAUGAUAAUAUGAUGUGAGACAAAUGAUAAUAGAAACUGAGAUAUGAUAUGCAAUGACUGAGUAUGUAAUUGCAAUUUAAGCAAAUAACUCAAUAACAGAAAUUACCUCACUGGGUCCCAACAGGAUAAGCAUAUAGCCUAAACAUGGAUCACAGCUCAAUUACACUAGCACGUAGAAAUCUCAUGGAUAAAGACAAGAUUAGGUAACUACACAGUACCAUAGAAACAACCGAGUCAUAAUUCAUACGGUGCACGCCCACACGCCCUUCACCUAGCACGUGUGUUACCUCAACACCAACUACAUAACACGCUUAUUCAGGGGUUCAUACCCUUAGCACCAAGUUUAGAAGUGUUACUUACCUCGAACAAGCCAAAUCCAAUACCGAGCAAGCCAAACGAUACUCAAAAAAUGCCAUCUCGUGCGUACCGACCUUCGAACGACUCGAAACUAGCCAAAAGCAACUCAAAUACAUCAAAUGAUGCAUAAGGAAACUAACCUAAUUGAGAAAGGUCGAAUCUUUAAUCAAAAGCCCAAAGUCAACCAAAACAUCAAACCUGGGCCCGCACCUCGGAACUCGAUAAAACUUACAAAAUCCGAUAAAUCAUUCAAUUAUGGGUCUAACUAUACUAGUUUUACUCAAAUCCGACUCCGAAUCGAUGUACAAAACUCGAAAAUUCACUCUAUGAAAUUUUAGACAAACCCCCCCCCCCCAAUUUUCUCUCUUGAAAUCGUGAAUCAAAUGCCAAAAAAAUGAAGACAGAUUCAUUAAAUAUAAUCAAAAUGAGUAGAGAACACUUACCUUAAUUCACAUGGUGAACAUCACUUCAGAAAUCGACUCAAUCCGAGCUCCAUAGCUCCUAAUAUGCAAAAAUGGCCGAAACCCCCGAAAUUAGAGUACUUAUAAUCACUAGGCGAAUCAAUGAAUCGCGAUUGCGGAAAUACCCUCGCGAUCGCGAAAAAGAAAAUGCACUACGCAAUCGCGGAAGAAGCUUUGUGAUCGCGAAGUACAAACUGCUUAGCCUCGUAAAGAACCUACGUGAAAGCGGCCCCAGGCUCGCAACUGCGAUGGAGAAACCAUGAAGACCUGCCCAGCUCUGCUCUACAAUGCGAAUGCCUGCACACUUGCGCGAACCCGAUGCUCCUACGCGAACAUGGACCAGUAUUCACGAACGUGAAUAAGAAACACUCCGCUACAAUAUUUCCCUUGCGCGAUCGCAUCCCUCAAUUCGUGAUCGUGAAGAACACUGGGUGCACCAGACAUCAGCAAAACCAGCAGUGCAAUUAUGAAGAAAAAUGGUCCGAGAACAAUCCGAAUCACGCCCGAGCCCCUCAGGACCUCUUCCAAACAUUCCAACAAGUCUCAUAACAUAACACGGACCUACUUGAGGCCUUAAAUCACGCAUAACAAAAUUGAAACGACGAAUUGCACCUCAAAUCAAACUUAAUGAACUUUUGAACUUUUAACUUUCAAAACCCGCGCUGAAACAUAUCAAAUCAACCCGGAAUGAAUUCAAAUUUUGCACACAAGUCCCAAAUGAUAUAACGAAGAUAUUUCAAAUUUUUGGAACCACAACCCGAAUCCGAUAUCCUCAAAGUCAACUCUCGGUCAAACUUAUGAACUUUCCCAAUCUUCAAAUUUCUAACUUUCACCAAUUAGUGCCGAAACCUUCUAGAAAUAUCCAAAUGCAAAUCCGGGUAUAAGACCAAGUCCAAAAUCACCAUUCGGACCUAACGAAACAACCAAAACUCUGAUCCGAGGUCGAAUACUAAAAGUAAAAUUUGGUCAAUUCUUCCAACUUAAAGCUUUAACUAUGAAAUUCAUUCUUCCAAACUAACUCCGAAAUACCUAAAAACCAAUGCCGACGAUUCACACACGUCAUAAUACAUCAUAUGAAGCUACUCAAGACUUCAAAUAGCUGAACGAAAUGCAAAUGCUCAAAAUGACCGAUCGGGUCGUUACAAAAAUAGAAUCUCUCUAUUUAUAGGAAAAACGUGACUUGGCCACAAAGUAACAAAACCUAAAAUCUCUCUAAAAUAUAAACAUUCACCUUAAAUACAAUUCUAUUUAUAACACUCCCCCUUGAAUGUCUACUCAACAGAUAAUGUGCCUCAUUAAAACUUUAACUAAAGUAAAAUCCAGUGGAAAAAAAUUCUAGUAAAGGAAAAAGAGUACACAUAUUUAGAAAUACACCUUUUAAUUGCCUCGUUAAAAACCUUGCAGAAAAAAUCCAGUGGGACAAAACCUUAUAAGGGAAAAAGAGUACAAUGCGUAUUAACUCCCCUUGAUGAGAGCAUCAAUUCACAUCUUUAAGCGCUCGCAUCUCAAUCUUGUGCACCAUCUUCAAAAGAUCGUUGGUAGAGAUUUGAUAAAACAAUCAGCCAUAUUAACUUGAAUGAAUAUAUUGCACCUUGAAAUCAUCAUUCUUGAUAGAUAUGUAAUGUAUUUGUAAUGACCCGACUGGUCGUUUUGAGUAUUAUAGCCUCAUUCCCCCAUUUAUUGCCUAUUUUGUGUUUGUGUGUUGUUAUGUGACUUUUCAGGGUUGUUGGGUUUGAUUCCGAAGAUGUUUCAGAAUGAAUUGGGACACUUAGUCCCAAGGUUGGAAGCCUAAGUUGAAAGACUUGAACGAAUAUUGACUUAUAUGUAAAUGACUCCAGAAUGGAGUUUGAUGGUUAUGAUGGCUCCGUAUGGUAAUUUUGGACUUAGGGGUGUGUCCGAAUAUUGAUUUGGAGGUCCAUAGAUGAUUUUGGCUUGAAUUGGUGAAAGUUGGAAAAGUUGAAGUUUGGGGAGUUGAGAAGUCAUCUACGAGUCCGCAGAAGCGGAAGGUUGGUCGCGGAUGCAGAGAUUUGAAACUUGCUCUGGGCGCACAGGUGCGUACGCGGGGCCGUAAGGGCAGUCUCGUAGGUGCGAGCCUUUGGCGCCAGAAGCGGCAGGUCGGGGGUCGAGUGUAAUUCCACAGGUGUAGAUUUUUAACCGCAAAAGCUGUAUCGUAGAAGCAGCUAAAUGGUCCGCAGAAGCGGAACCACUAGCCGUGACUUAAAUUCGAAGGGUUUCAUGAUUUAUUCCUUUUUGGACUUUGGGAGCUCAUAUUAAGGCGAUUGUUGAAGGAGUUUUCGCUAGAUUUUGAGAGGUAAGCAACUUUUGGUCAUUUUUAUCCAUUAAUAUUAAAUACCCAUUGAAUAUUUCCCAUAGAUUUGGUGUUUUUGAGGUGAAAAUUGGGGAUUUUUGGCCUAUGUAGUGAAGAGUAAUAAUUGGAGAUUUGAGUGACGAUUUGGUGUCAGAAUUUAGUAAUUUUGAUAUGGUUGGACUCGUGGUUGAAUGGGUGUUUGGAUUUUAUUAAUUUUGUCAUAUCUUGAGACGCGGGCCUGGGGUUGACGUUUUGAGUUGACUUUUUGAUUUUGUUUUUUAAAGAACUUAGCUUAUUCAUAUGGAAUUGAUUCCUAUAGCUCGUGUUGAUUUUUGAGUUGUUCGUUGCUAGAUUCGAGUCAUUCGGAGGCCGAUUCGCGAGGCAAAGUCUUGUUGGAGUAGAGAUUUACACGGUUUUGCGGUAAGUAACACUUCUAAACUUGGCUAUGAGGGUAUGAAUCCCUGAAUUACGUGUUAUGUGGUUAGUGUUGAGGUAAUGCACAUGCUAGGUGACGGGCGUGUGGUCGUGCACCAUGAAAUUGUGACUCAAUCCAUUCAGUGGAACUGUGUAGUCAUCUAAUCUUGUUAUUAUUCGUGUACUCUCCAUGUGUUAGAGGAAUUGAGCUAUAAUUCAUGUUAGAAAUCAUGUUUAGGCUAUAUGCUGGUAUGUUGGGACCCACAAAGGUCAUUUUGUUGUGGAAUUAUUUGCUAAUUUGAAAUCAUGUACUCAGUCACAUCUAUCCUUUACAUAUCAUAUCUCAAUCUCUGUUUCCAUUAUUGUUACAUCAUAUUAUCAUUUUUGGGCUGAUUGUUAUGAGAUUCGUGAGCUCGAAAGACUGGAGAGAUUGAUGACUGAGUGAGGCCGAGGUCCUGAUUGUGAGUGAUGUUUAUGGGAUCAGGUUGCACGCCGCAACAUGCUUUAUUGAUUCAUGCCAUGAUCGACUUAUAUUAGCGCUUGGGCAGGAUCCGCCCCUCCAGAGUCUGACAUACCAACAGUGAGCGCAGGUACCCACUGAGUGCGAGUGCCGAGUGCGAGUGCAAGUGCCAAGUGAUUGAGAGGACUGAGUGUCUGGGAGGAGUGAGUGAUUGAGCAUGCUGAGUGAGAUUAAAUACUCCGAGAGUACGCAUAUGACUUUAUCACCGUGUUGCCUUACAAUUGGCAUGAAUAAUUGACAUGUAGAUGUAGAGAUGUACCAUUCCUCAUAUCAGUCACACUUGGCAUAUUUUAUCCGUGUUGAAUAUAAAUUGUUAAACUUGAAAGCAUGUCUACAUUUAUAUACUAUUUAAAUCUAUUUUUGGACUAUACCUCUAUGAGCUCAUUACUGCUUUCAGCCUAAGGUUAGUCUUGUUACUUAUUGAGUAGAUUUUGUCGAUUGUACUCAUAUUACACUCUGCACUUCGUGUGCAGAUCCGGGUAUUUCGGGGCAUGACGGUUGCUAGCUUUGGAGCUUUUUUUAUUGGAGACUUUUGAGGUAGCUGCCUUAGCGUCUGCAGACCUCGACUCUCCUUCUUUUUAGUUUAUUUGCACUAUUCUAUUUUUCUAGACAGUUGUUUUAGCAGUCAGACUGUAUUGACAUAUAGAUGCUCAUGUACUCAGUGACACCCGGAUUUUGGGGGAUUUUGUAUUGAGUCACGGUAUUUUCUUAUCAGUUAAUUAUGAGAUUUUACUAUUUAAGCUUAUUUUAGUAUGAUUUAAAUUAAAGAUGCGUGGCUAAUUGUGAGUUGUCGGCUUACAAAGGAGCCAUCACGACAUGUGAUAUUUUGGGUCGUGACAAGUUGAUAUCAGAGCCUAGGUUACAUAGGUCUCACUAGUCAUGAGCAGGUUUAGUAGAGUCUUGCGGAUCGGUACGGAGACGUCUGUACUUAUCUUCGAGAGGUUGCCUAACCAUUAGGAAAACUUCACUUUCUUGUACUCUUAUCAUGCAAAUUUGUUGAUUAUGAAAAAUAAACUUUUGUUAUUCUAUUCUCUCACAGACGGUGAGGACACUUGCUACCGGAUCGGGCGGACGGCCACCAGUACCAGCAGCUAGGGCCACGAGAGGCCAGGGCUGCAGUAGAGACCGAGGUGCAGCUCGUACAGCAGCACCUGUAGACCCACCAGUUGCUCCAGCUCAGGAGCAGAUUCCAGACGUGGUUGAGCCGGUGGGGCCAGCUCACGCACAAGUUGUGCCCAUUGUGAUUCCAGGCCUUCAGGAGGCUUUGGCCCAAAUAUUUACUGUUUACACUAGCCUUGAUCAGGCGGUUUCAGUUCCGGCUGCGCCAGCCACUUCUCAGGCCGGGGUAGAUGCUCAGACUCCCGCCAAUCGUACUCCAGAGCAGGUGGUGUGGGGACUUCAGACACCAGGGGUACUACCAGCCCAGCCGAUCGUAGUUGCUCAGGCCCAAGUAGGUCCCACUAUGAGUGACGAGGAGCAUAAGAGACUAGAGAGGUUUGGGAGGCUCAAGCCUUCAUCAUUCAGUGGGGCUGAGUUAGAGGAUGCUCAAAACUUCAUGGAUAGGUGCCAGCGGAUUCUUCGCACGUAGGGUAUUCUGGAGACUAGUGGGGUCUCAUAUACUACUUUUCAGUUGUCGGGGGAAGCCUUCAGAUGGUGGGAGGCCUAUGAGCAGAGCAGCCCAGCCGGUGCUGCACCACUAACAUGGAACGAGUUCUCCGUUCUCUUCUUGGAGAAGUUUGUGCCACCGACCCACAAGGAGGAGUUGCGUAGGCAUUUUGAGCAGCUACGCCAGGAGGGUAUGUCUGCGACCCAGUACGAGAUGAGAUUUUUUGAGUUGGCUCGUCACGCGAUCUGGUUGGUUCCCAUAGAGAGGGAGAGGAUUAUGAGGUUCAUAGAUGGCUUCAACUAUGGACUGUGCUUUGUUAUGACUCAGGAGAUUGCAUCAGGUGCUAGGUUCGACGAGGUGGUUGAUAUUGCUAGGCAACUAGAGCAAGUCCGCAGUCAGGAACUUGAGGAGAGGGAGGCCAAGAGGCCUCAUGGUUUGGGUGGUUUUAGCGGUGUUUCUUCUGAAGGGCGGUGCUACCACAACAUGGGUUAUCCUUAUAAGCCUGCUCAAAUGGCUCGUUCGGUUCAUCGUGGUGCAUCAGCUAGCCAUGGUUCGUAUAGUGCUCGUCCGGGUCAGUCAUCUCUUAGUGCCCUCCCAGCUCAUUGUUCAUCUCGUGCUCCAUCUUUUUAGGGUUCAUCUGUGCCAGGUUCUUCUAGUAGUUAUUCUGGUUCUCGGGGUCCGAUUCAGUCCCCACCACCAUCGGGGAGUUGCUUCAAGUGCGUGGAGUUUGGACAUGUCUGGAGGCAGUGUCCCUGUCGCUUUGGAGGUCCAGUUCAGUAGAGGGGUCAGGAUAUGGCUUCCGCACCAGUUACUUCACCACCCGCCCAGCCAACUCGGGGUGGGGCUCAAGUAGCUAGAGGUCGCCCUAGAGGGAGAGGCCGAUUAGGUGGCGGUCAGGCUCGAUUUUAUGCUAUACCUGCCAGGCCAGAGGCCGUUGUUUCAUACGCAGUGAUCACAUGUAUUGUUUCAGUAUGCCAUCGGGAUGCUUCCACAUUAUUUGUCCCUGGUUCUACUUAUUCAUAUGUAUCGUUGUUGUUAUCCAAAUAGUAUAUAUACUUUCAAAAUAUCAUUUUGCAUAAUUACCUAAUUUACAAGGGUUAUACAAGUAUUUUCUAUAAUUUUCCAUAAUUUUUGAAAGAUUCAAAAUUGAUUUUUUUUGCAUUUAAAUUAUUUAAAUACUUAUUAAUUACCCUUUCAAAUUAUUUUAUAAUGACUUAAUCAUCCAGAUUUGUUAUUUACACCCACAUACAUAUUUUAAAAUAUUUUUUACUUCAUUUCACAUAAUCAUAUUUGCAUUGUUUGAGCUAUUUACAUAAGUUUUGCAAUAAUAGCCUAUAUUCUACAAAUAAUUGCGUUUAUCAUAUUAUUUAUGCCAAAAUAGAAUUUUAUAUUUUUUAUAAAGUUGAGUUAUUAUUUUCAAAUAUUUUUUACAACAUUAAUAUUAUUUUUACCAUUUAUUAGACGUUUUAAUAAUUUAUUGUUUUUGUUAAUUUUAAAGGGUUUCAAGAGCUGGCCCAAAACAUGCCAAUUUUUCAGACCAAAUUUGGCCCAAACCAAUUAGCCCAACUAGACAACCCUUUAGAUGACCCGGUCGCGACCCGUCAAAUAACCCGCCCUUUUCCUCUUUGAUCAUGGUCGUUGAUCCUAAAUGAUCAACGACCCAUAAUAAACCCUUCUCUUCUCCUUAUAUCCCCAUAACCCAAACCCUAACCCCAUUUUCAACUAUCAGCCGCCCUUAAACCACUCAACCCCUUCCUCUUCUGAGAAACCCUAAUAGCCGCCUCCCGAUUUCUCUCCGAUUCCAACCUAAAAAUGGAAUCAAUCCGUGAUUCACUUACCUAUUUUGUAAUGCUUUGCUAUUGUAUGCGUCUUUAUGGUGUUACUUAGUUAUCGUCCUAUUUUUGGCAAGAACUACCUUUCAAGAGCAGGCCUGAUUGACUCCGAUUUUGUGAAGAUUUGGGCGAUAAUUCGUCUAUAUACACUCUACAAUGAAUGAUUAUUGCAUUAUCGGUCCGAUUUUUGGCCGUUGGACCCAACUAGGGUUUGAAAUUUCUGUCAUUUCUUUUACCGGCUCUGUUACUGAUUGCAUGUGAUCUUUUCCUUCCUUAUUUACGUUUAUUUGAUUAUUUUUCAUGUUUGUUCUUCCUAAUCUGUCACUAUAUAAACCUCUCCCCAAUUUCCCCUUGACGGGGAUUCUAAUCGCUAAAAAACUACUACUGUCUUUCUUAGUCUCGCCUUACACUAUUCUAAAACUUAAACUCUUGGCCGGCUGAAAGCCAAGGCCACCGGAACUCGAUUAUUUGACCUUUUUCAGUGCGAGCACUGCCCGGGGUUCGUCUGAAACCCUUGGGAACUCUGACGCACUGAGAUUUGGGGUUCUACUGUUCGCUUUGCUACUAACAUUCGAGAUAUUGCUGAAAUUGUUCUUUGUUUACUUACAUGUCAAUUAGUAACUAGUAAGUACCUAUGACCCUUGCAAUUUUAUUCUUUUUUCGUUUGAGUUCCUGUUCUGCAUAUCUAUGUCUCUGAGAUUUAUUUUUAUGAACCAACAUGCUAUUGCAUGCUCUGAAGCUCUUCUUGAGGUUCUACACCUUCUAGUAAUCGAAUUUGCCUAUUUAUUGCCUUGAUUCUGUUUUCUUAAAGCCUGUUUAUUCUAAUGUGCUGCUUAUUCUGGGUUUAGCUUCUUGCCUUGUUCUGUACUCUUGUAAAGAAUCAAAUCAUGCCCAGAACCUGCUCUAAUUCUUGUUGAAUCAUUCAUGUGCAACUUAGUGUUCUAUAGUUAACUCCUGAUUAUGUUAUUAGCCUAAGCAUACUUUCCUUGCUAAUUAUGGAUUAAUGUGUGUUCCCUGUCUUGUCCUGUACCUUUGUGAUAAAUUCAUGCAUGUGUUUCAGACCUGGUUAAGUAGUUCCUGUCCAACCUGCUGAAUUCCUGAUGUUAUACUGGUUAGCUAAAUCCCGUCUUCAUGCCAUUUAAGCUCUAAUAUAUGUUUGGAACUUAUGUAAUCCUAUGCUUUUCAACACUGUCGGGGACCUUAGGAAACCUCAUAACCAGUCCCUCCUCUCCUAGCCUAUCUUGAUUCUGAAGAUUGACAUGCUUCUCGUAUUAUGAUUAGUGUUCUGCAUGCUAAGAUUUCCCUUUUCUAUUAAGGAGUCACUUGAUCAUGAGUUUUGCUCUAUUAAGUUGUUAUUUUCAUUGGUUUUCUAUGAUGAUCAUUCUAUGUGUUGGUUGUACUUUGUUUGCUUCUUGCAUGAAUCUGCUAGACCUUCAUCUAGGGUUCCCUAGAUUGAUUCUGAAUCAUGCCUCCUUAUAGAAACUCUUUAGAAUGGUUUACUAUCCUAUGUAGUCAAAUAGAUCACUCUCAAACUUCUCACUAGAAUUAUGAGCAUAAGUUUGCCUUAUAUGUGUCUUGAAUGGCUUCCAACUUAGCAUGAUUUUGUUUAUAUACCUCGACCAGAGUUGCUGCUAGUUUCACUUUUAAGAACUGAGUGUUUGAGUUGUCCAAUUAAUUUUAUGAGUUGUUUGUUACUCGUUUGGUCGAGUUUGGCAUCCAUUUAGGUAAGUAAAUUAUUUGUUGGGCCUGGAAGGGGGCCAUAUGUGUUGUUGGACUUGGUCACAAGAUUCAGGGGCACUCUAGUUGUUUUCUUGUGAGCCUGUGGUUUGGGCCUGCUGUUGAAAGCCUGGGAUAUCCCCGGGUUACCUUGUAUUGGGCCUGUGAUUGCCUUAGUGAGCUUGUACUUAUUUAGCCUAUAGUUUGUCAUCUUUAAGUAUGUAUUAUUUCCUUCUGGGCCUGUAAUGAUUUGUAAACUGAAUGAUGGGGAGAUUAAUAAAAAGGGAGCUGGGGUAUUAUAAUGCUUGCAUAAAAGGGUAGAAAACAUGUAUAUAGGGUCUAUGUGUUCUAUUUUUCUAUUUCGUUCAGCGUGCCUUAUAUGUAUUUAGUGUGCUGCACACCAAUAGAAUUAUGCCUAUAGGAAUCACGCACACACUGCACUUAACUUGUCAAACAUGUUGGCUCAAGUAAUUGCUAUGCUUGUUACCAUGUGCACUACUAAACGCUUUAGAUGGUAUGCCUAUAGGAUACAAUAACACAUGUUUGCCAAUGUCCAUCUAGAUACUAUGUCUAUAGGGUUUCAAUUAAUCAAUCAAUCAACUGCUUCUAUUCCUCUUAGCACGUUGCUCCUUUAGAUAUCAUGACUAUAGGAUCUUAAUCAACUAAUCGAUUACUUUGUUACUUCAUCGCAUUUCCACACUUAGACAACACGCCUAUAGGGAUAAAGUAUAUAAAAUCAAUUACAGUUGUUCACUGCUAAAAAUCCUGCCUAUAGGACACUGUCACCUACCUAAUAAACAUGUCUGUAAAAUCAGCAUUGGUAAUUCAGAGUUCUGGGAUUGUUUCACUGCCACAUUACGCAGAUCACUAGAGAUCAUGCCUAUAGAUUUGUAAUACCUUUAAUGUGCCCAUACGAUAGUCCAGAAACUGCAAUAUUAACUGUAUAAUGCUGGGAUCCAGAAUCACAUAGAAAUCAUGCUCAUAGGACUUAACGGCUAUAAUGCGUCUUAAUCCUGAAAACUGCCUAUUGCUGAAUCUACCCGCAUACAUUUGUUGUUUAUGUGUGGAGGCUAACUUAGGCCUCUAAUUGUCUUUAUGUGAAGUCUUGAAUGUUUUGAAUGUCGCCUAGUUUUUAUCAUUUUGAGCAACCUAGGAGAAGUCUAGAACCACCCAAAUAGAGGUCCAAAGCCUCCUGGACCAUAGGUAUGGGACGGGUAGCGCACGCAUAGGGUACGACCUAGAAUUGAAUUAGAGCGCCUUUAGGUAAACAACUUUAACAUAGUAAUCGGGUAAUAUGAGAUGAUAGUCUGUGCCCGCUGAAUAAUAUGAGCAACCCCUACCUCAAAGGAGUUGCAAAGUAUUAUUUAUGUUGCACGGGGUAAUCCUUUAGGCUAAAAAACAUAGGACCCCCCCUCCCAUUUCUUUAUUUGUUAUUUACACUUAGUCAUUUAACAUAGAUCAAUGUAGUUAUAUCUCUAUAGUCAUUAAGAUUUGUGUCGAUUCUCACGUGCCCUAAUAAGACUCUUCGACUUCUAAAUUUUCCUUUAUUUAUUUGAUCACCUAGUCUAAUUACAUAAUUCACAUAGUUUAAAGUUCGGUCGGGACCCACAGUUGUGGACCUAGAAGAGUGCCUAAAACAUUCUCUUUGAGGUAAUUUGAGCCCUUACCCGAUCUUUAGUGGCGUUGACUAGUCAAACAGAGUUAUUUGCAAAUAGGUGCCCUAACGCACCUUAAACCGUUAGGUGGCGAAUCUUCUCUUUUAAUACCUAUUUAAAAGAGUUGCCACAUGUCGAAGCCCCCUUUCGCGAGAAAACGGGACGCGACGAUCAUCCUAUUUUACUCGUUAUUUGGAUAUGCCUCGUGAGUCCUUAGUUUCAUCUAUUUCCGUAUUUACGCCGGUGGGCGAUACUAUUAUUGUGGACCAUAUGUAUUGGUCGUGUGUGGUGACCAUUAGAUAGUUGGAGACUAGAGUUGAUCUUUUAUUACUUAGUUGGGUUGAUUUUGACGUGAUUAUGGGUAUGGAUUGGUUGUCCCCACGUCGUGCUAUUCUGGAUUGUCAUGCUAAGAUCGUGACGUUGGCGAUGCUGGGGUUACCGAGGAUCGAGUGGAGAGGUUCUCUGGAUUAUGUUCUCAGCAGGGUGAUUUCAUAUCUGAAGGCCCAAUGGAUGGUUGGGAAGGGGUAUUUGUCAUAUUUGGCCUUUGUGAGGGAUGUUCCUGCCGAUACUCCUACUAUUGAUUCUGUUCCGGUAGUGUGUGUCUUUCUGGAUGUGUUUCUUGCAGACCGGUCGGGCAUGCCACCCGACAAGGAUAUUGAUUUUGCUAUUGACUUGGUGUCGGCCACUCAACCCAUUUCUAUUCCUCCAUAUCGUAUGGCACCAACAGAGUUGAAGGAAUUGAAAGAGCAGCUUCAGGAGCUUCUUGACAAGAGGUUCAUUAGGGCUAGUGUGUCGCCUUGGGGUGCACUGGUUCUAUUUGUAAAGAAGAAGGAUGGUACUAUGCGGAUGUGCAUCGACUAUAGGUAGUUGAACAAAGUUACAAUUAAGAACAAGUAUCCUUUGCCACGCAUUGAUGAUUUAUUUGACCAGCUUUAGGGAGAGAGAGUGUUAUCUAAGAUUGAUUUGAGGUCUGGGUAUCAUCAGUUGAAGAUUCGGGACUCGGAUAUUCUAAAGACUGCAUUCAGGACCCGCUAUGGUCACUAUGAGUUCCUUAUGAUGUCUUUUGGGCUGACCAACACCCCAGCAACAUUCAUGCAUCUGAUGAACAGUGUAUUCCUGCCAUAUCUUGAUUCAUUUUGUCAUAGUAUUUAUUGAUGAUAUCCUGGUGUACUCAUCUAGCUAGGAGAAGUAUGCACAACAUUUGAGGAUUAUACUACAGAGGUUGAAGGAGGAGAAGCUUUAUGUCAAGUUCUCCAAGUGUGAGUUUUGGCUCAGUUCGGUGGCGCUCUUGGGGCACGUGGUGUCCAGUGAGGGGAUUAAGGUGGAUCCAAGGAAGAUAGAGGCGGUUCAGAGCUGGCCCAGACCAUCUACAACUACUGAGAUUCGGAGUUUUCUCGGCUUGGCCGAAUAUUACCGUUGCUUCAUGGAGGGUUUCUCGUCCAUUACAGUGCCUUUGACCGGGUUGACCCAGAAGGGUGCUCCAUGCAGGUGGUCGGACGAGUGUGAGGAGAUAUUUCAGAAGCUCAAGACUGCCUUGACCACAACUCCAGUUCUAGUUUUGCCUUCAGCAUUGUUGACGACCAAUUUAAACCCCCCCUUUUAAAAUUAAUUUACUCAUACUUAAUAAAUUACAAUAAAUAUUUUGAAAGUAUCUUCUAUUAGUAAAUACAUAUUUCUACAAAUUAAUUAAGUAUUAGCUUUAAAAUUAACCACUUAGUGUUAAGUAUUACAUAAUUACAAAUAUGCUUACUAUUUUAAGAUUAUUAAAAUAGCUUUUAUAUACAUCACAUAGUCCUUACGAUUAAUUUAAUGAAUUACUCCUUAAUUUCUAGUUAAUUAGACUACUAUGUUAAUAAUUUAAUGCUAAACAUGAAGUAUUUAUAAGCAAUUAAUCAAAAUAGUUAGUAAUGUACAUAACAAUUCUAAUUUUACUAUAUUUUAUUGAAAAUUAUUAAGCUUGUUUAAUUUAAUUAUAAAGAGGAUAAAAAGAGGCUAAAGGCUAUAAUUGCAAUUCUCAAUUAAAUACAAAUUGGCCAUUCUUUAAAUCAAAACUAGCCAAAGACCCAAGCCCAAUCCGGAAAUACCCAAUCCAAGUCCAUCCCUCUCUUUCCACUAUGGCAAUCCAUGCCAUCAUAUUUGAACCAAUCACAGCGUGCCAUGUCAUCGCUCUCAAACACAUACAAGAAACACACUACAUCCGGACCGUUGAUCCAAAUGAUCAACGGUUCACAAUUAAACUAAUUUUUCCAUCAGUGAUUUAUCUUUGUCAUUGGAUUAAAAGAGAUCCAACGGUCGCCUUUUUUUCAAUAAAUAUUUUUAUCUCCGAAAUAUCAGAACCUUGAUCACAAUGAUCCAACGGCUCCCGUUCCAUCUCCCGUUUUAAACUUGGAGACGACCUCUAACCCUAAUCAUUCUCUCCUAAGACCAGCCGCCCCCCUUUCCCAAAACUCUCUCUUUUCUCUCAUCCCUUUAAACCCCAUCAGUCAUGGAACCUUGCCCAAAUUACUGCAAGGUCAUAAAACCCUUCACCAAAUCGUCCUUUCUUGCUUCCUCAUCCGAUAAUCCUUCUGACCUUUCCCUUUAGCUCUUCAAAUCUGAAGCACCUGAUUUGAAGCACUUGCAGAAUCAUUCGCUUUGUCCCUAGGUUGUGAGGCCAGUGAUUCACUUUCCAUUUUCAUUGAUUAGAUUCAAAACCCCUCAAAUCUGAAACCCUAGCUUGAAGAUGUAACUCUAAAUCGCUUAAAUCUUCUCUCGCUCAGUCAAAUCGGAGCAUGCGUGGAGUUUUUAAGAGGAUUCAUUAUGAGAAUUCUUUACCCAGAGGUCAAACGCAGUGACCUCUGGGUUUUGAGUCUUGACCGAUGGUCUUCUGCCUUCAAAAAUCGAUCUCUCUCCCCUCAGGUAAAAAUUCUCAUUGUUUUCCUCUCCACUCUUCUCUGAUUUCACUUAGUUUGCUCAUACUAUCAGCUCAUCGUCAUAUUUCACUAUCUAAUUUGAAUUUUAUUGAACACUAGAGGCAUUGAAUUCCACUUUAAAAGGAGCCUUCAAUGCUCUCACGUAACAGACGAAAAAAAAGACCAGACUCAACACGAACACAAAAGGCAACAUUAUGAUUUCACAAAAGUUUAGUUUCUCUUACUGAUUUUUGGUUCCUCUCUUUGAUUCUGAGUGCUUUCAUUGCUCAAGCUUGAAGCUUUGGGUCCUAGGCAAUCAGAAAGAAUCUCUGUUCCGUCUUCUGCCCUAGAGAAGGUCAGUACAUCUCUAACUUUUCUCUUUUGAUUGUUUUAUUCAAGUAUCACGAACAUGCUGUUACCUUUUAUUAAUUAUGUUUGUUUAUGAUGUUUGUCAUUAGUGUAUAUAUGUUAUUUUCACUUCAUGAUAAUGUGUUGUUAACUUGUGGUCAUUUGUCAUACUUUUGAGUAUCUCUAAUUGGUAUUGAUUAAGUUGUUAUGGGACCUUAAUGACUUUUAUUCCGGUUUCAAUUAGUCUGUAUGAUUAUGUUUCCUUAAUAUGCCUUAAUGACUUCUCAUGUUUGCCCAAGACUUCAGAUUUUCUUUAAUGAUUAUGUUGUGAUCUAUUUCUCUACCACACUAUUCCCUACAUUUUGUUGUUUAGUAGUCGAUAUUGUUGAUUGAUAAUUCUAACUAGAACAAACCUGAAAGAUCACAGUUUAAUCCUUCACCAUUUAGCUGAAGCAUAUGAAGCUUAAAUGUUUAAAUGAUUUCCUUCUUUAUAUAAGUGUUUGCUGACUCUAAGAGUAGCUUAUGAGUCAUUGCUAUGAAAGUUUUAUGUCUGUAUCUAACUGUUAGUUGCAUCUCUAGGUCUCUAUAUAUGAAACAGUCUCAUUAAGGUGAUCUUUAUGAAUAUCAGUAACUCUUCUGCAUAUAUCCUAUUAUGAUCAAGUUAUCCUUUCAUAAAAAUAGGUUAUAGUCAUGUCUGUUAAACUUGAAUGAUAAUUGUUUUCAAGCUGAGCAUAACUAUCUCGUGUUUAGAUGUAAAUCUUAGUCUGUAUAGCUAAGUUAAACCUAUUUGGUGCAAUACUUUCCUUAUCUCUAAUCCCCUUUAUGAGAUUGCGGACUUGGUCUCAUAAUAGGUGAAACUCACCAUGUCUGUGUAAGAUCAUAACCUCAUUUUAAGUAUCUAUGUAUACCUGAUUAAAAUGUUGCAUGUAGUUUGUCUUCAUGAUCUCAUGUUCUUGUACUUUGUUUUGAAAUUUCACUCAGUCCUCUCUUUCCCUGCUAAUAUGAACUGAACCUGAUCUGUAAAUCCUAAGAGAACUUCUUAUUGCUACUGUUUGGACAUGAUAGAUUACCCAUUUCAAUAUAAGAUUAGUAUUCUUAUGAAGAUGUGGUUCUACCAUAAAUUACAAAUGAAGUAUGAUUGGUAAUCUGUGAUCCUGUCAAACACCUCUAGGAAUUCCAUGUGUGAGUUUGUGAACAUAUAGUCAUGCUAAGAGUUCUGAUUAUGUUUUGGUAUCUUUAAUAACACCCGUAGAGGCUGUUAACUAUGACUGUUUGUCUGAACCUUUAUUGAUGCUUUAUAGAGUUCCAAGUAGUAUUACAUGUGCUGGUGGCAAGACCUGGCUGUGGAUAGUCUGCUAGGACAAAAGCAUCUGUGUUUUCUAGGUUGCUAUGUAUUUGAAUGAUAUUUAUCUAUCCUCAAGAUGGGAUCUCAAGUGUUUGUCUCUUUAGCAGUAAUAUUAUAGUGUUCCUACCUCUAUAUGUGUUUGGAAUCUGGCCUUCAGACUUGUUUAAUAUGUGUUUUAUCCAUUUAGUAUUGGAAACGUAGUCAUAAAAUAAAACCGUUCCUAUGUCCUUAUGUUAUUCUGUCAAGGGAGAAGUAUACUUCUGUGGUAGGUUAUAUUAUGGUAGUUGGUUUACAUUGAAAGAGCCUCAUUGUCACUUAAACCUAUGGAUAAAAAUGAGUCGUUAGUGGUUAGGGGUAUUUAGGAUUAGAGUUUAACUCUAGGUUGGGUUGCUCCCCCCGGCACAAGCAUUGCCCCGGGCCUUGAGAACCUUGAGAACCUUGAAGUGUCAGGGGAUUCAAAGGGAGCAUCGACCUUGAGUGGAACCCUCUUCUUAGCCCUUAAUUCAUUGACACUUGUUAUUCUCUUUGGGUUUAGUGUUUAAUGACAACGAAAGGUUUUCAAUGUAAAUUAUCUACCAUAUACAACUGUCACAUUAGUAUAGGUUCUCAUAGUAUUUGAGUAUUGAUAGCUCGUUAUAUAUUUUGCUCCAAUCAUUUACUUAUGUGUUCCAUGCAUGGUUGACCAUACAAAAUAUGUAUCUAAUGACCUUCUCUUUCUUUUUUUGAAAUUCGAAGUCAGUUGUCGCAGUCCCUAUUACUGCUGGGCCUGCCUCUUUGAGGCCCAAAUACUAGAGUCCAAUCCUCUCAUUUAACUCCUUUAUUACUCAUUGCUUCAUUGCCAUAGUUUUACUGCCUUGUCGCAUUUUGCUGCGUUCUUGUAGUUAUUUUAUUUCACAUGUAUACAACAAUUAUAAAUUGGAUUGACUGCUUUACUUUAUAUCUUAAUUCAUAAAAAACUUAGGCAAGCCUUAAAUAACACAGGACUAAAAGAAGUAUUAGUUAGUAACUAAUCUCCCGUUCGCUAAUUAUAAGUUGUUUAUAUCAUUAAAUUACCAUUUUUUCACUAACUAUUUUUUUCUUAUAGGAUUUUGAAGCCCAAAAGCUUAGAAAGAGACGGCAGAUCCACUUUCAGAAAAGGGAAAAUUAGAUUUGAAACACAAGCUUUAUCUUCAAAAGGGAAAUCAAAUCAUUUAAAAAAAAGGUGUUGUCGCCCAAACGAUUUUCAAAUGGUUUUUCUUCAAGUCUAAAAUCAAGGUAUAUCUUAGGCUUACUCCCAUAGCACCUUCAUCUCAUUAGAACAAUAUACACCUCCAUGCUUUAGGAACAAGUGUUUAAAUUUAAUUCUCCUUUUCACAUACUUUCUUAGAUACAAACAUCCUAUAUAUCUUUCAAAAGCUCUUUUCAAGUAUAUAUGCACUAACAUUAUUCUCCUACAUAAAUUCAUACCAUUUCAAAUUACACUCUCCCUUUGUAAGAAUGAUGUUGUAAUAUACGGUAAGCCAUAUCUUUAGAACACUAGUUAAGGCAUAUUAUAAAUAAUAGAUUCCAAACCUAGUCUAAGUCCUAUGGAGCUACCUCAGGUAGAUUUUAAGGGGUGCCUAACACCUUUCCCUUAGAAGAACAAGAACCCUUACCCAUAAUCUUACCGGUUAGCAGACUAAUAAAGAAUAUGACUUAAUAAUUAAAUAGGUACUCUAGUAUAUCUUUAAAUAUUAGGUGGCAACUCUUUUUCAUCAACAAUAGAGAAAAUACAAGUCGAAUCUUGUUUUGACUAGUGCAAAAUAGGGUGCAACAACAUGGUGAAUCUGCUAGGGAGUUCACACUUAGGUUCUGACCUUAGCAGACUUAGACUAAAUUUGGCAUUUAGAUUUAUUUGUGCAUUGCCUUAAUUGUAGAUAAAAUUGCAAUUACAUGCUUACCUGCUUUGCUUGGUCUUUAUACUUAUUCCUAUACUUAUUGCUGCUACACUCUUAUCUUUUACUGCUUUAUAUAUAAUGUCAUCACAUGUCUUCCUAUCGAGUCUUGGUUGUACACUAUCACACACAAUGGCACGCGAGGGUUGUCUUUUACGCCCAUCUGAACCUUCUUUUCAAAACUCUCUAGUUUCAGAGAAUGGCUUUGUCGGGUCAACUGACAUAACUUCUCGCAGCCUUCAGUCCAAUUCAAAAGUAGGAAACACUCUACUCUAGCAAGCAUAGGUCAUACUGCAUAAACCUUAGGUGAGUCGGUCCUUGGCAUCGACACACGAUUAGGAAAGCCACCGUAAUGUCAACGGGUCAUGCACCUAACAACAUAACUUCUGUGGAAAGACAAACAAAACUGAAAAGACACUUAAAGAUCCGAAGCAAACACUUACCAAACACCUUUCUUUUACCCACCUCAGAAAAUGAAAAUCAACCAAAACAUCCCUAAGAUUAACAUGGUAAUGGGAGCGCCACAAAAGUUUGAAGAAAUGGCGGAAGAACAUUUACCGGGAACACGGAGAUGAGAUUCGGACGCACCUAGGGGCACUAACCGCUUUGCUAAAUAUCCGAGAAGACAGGGUGCUCACUUGCCUAUUGAUAGAGUUUUGGGAUCCGGCUAAGGUAGUAUUCAAGUUUGACGGCUGUGAAUUAGUACCGACAUUGGAGGAAGUCACCAGUUUCAUGGAGCUGCCAUUCAACGGAAGGAAGCCAAUACUACUAGUUACUAUGCCCAGUUACUGGUUUUUGGAUGCUUUAGGCCUAGCCAACAGUCAGAGUCUGAGAAAUAUCGAGGACGGAUUGGUGAGCCUCGGCCAGCUGUUCGACAGGUUUGGGCACCGUGAAAGUUAUGAGUGGUAUUCAGGAGAGUUUUAGUGUGACCAAGCAACGUGGGAGAGUCUCGGGCCUAUCACCUUCUCAAUGGCACUAUUUGGAUUACUGGUCUUCCCGCAGAGAAGAUAAACUCAGCUCGUUUGCGAUAGCUCUCAUGCGAACGCGAAGAACUCUAGCUCGACCUCCGCGAAUGCAACACCAUUUAUGUGAUCGGGUAGAACAAAAAUUCCACCAGUCCACUUAACCCUUCAUGAUCGCGGCCCUCUUUACACGAUCGUGGAAGAGGAAACCAGAUGCCUAGAAACCAGCAAUUCCACAAAGUCCAAUAUUAGUUCGAACUCAAUCUGAGACACACCCAAGGCCAUCGGGACCCCAUCCAAUAAUACCAACAAGUCCCAAAACAUAACACGAACUUAGUCGAAGACUCCAAUCACGCCAAACAACAUCAAAACUAUGAAUCGAUGAUCGAAACCUUUCUUUAAACAUCCAAACAUUCAUACUUUGACGAACGCGUCCGAUUCAUUCUUAAACAUUCUGGAAUGACGCCAAACUUUACGCACAAGUCACAAAUCACGAUACAAACCUAUUCCAAAGCUCAGAAACUCAAACGAGCAUAGAUAACACCAAAGUCCACUUCAAAUCAAACUUAAGAAAUUCUAAAACCUUCAAAAUGUUAACUUUCCAUAUUAAGCGUCGAAAUGCUUCCGGACCACCAGAUGCUCAACCCGAACAUACGCCCAAGUCCGAAAUCAUCAUACGAACCUAUUGGGAACCUUCAAAUUCCGAUUCUGAGAUCGUUUACUUAAAAUUCAAACCUUAGUCUAUUCUUCCAACCUAAAGUUCCGAAAUUGGAAUUGUCCUUCCGAAUCAACUCCGAACAUCCCAAAAUCUAAUUCCGACCACACGUACAAGUCGUAAUACAUGAAGUGAAGAUACUCAAGGCCUCAAACCGCCGAAUGAUGCGCUAGAGCUCAAAACGACCGGUCGGGUCAUUACAACAACAUCUACAUCACUCGGAAUCACUCCUACAAGGCGUAAAACACACAAUAAGUGCAAAACACUCCCAAUUAAAGCUCAAAACAAGUAAAGUGCAACGAAUUAUAGUGCAACAAGCGACUAAAAUACGGGAUUAUAGCCUAUCAUCAACACCACACACUUAAAUUGUUGCUCGUCCUUGAGCAAUCAAACUACACUUCACAUAGACACGACCUUUUUCAACAACUCUCAUAACUCAUCGCACCAAGAAAUUUAAAACAGACUAAGUACAAUACCGUACCAUCCUAGCCUCAAAAUUUGACUCAAAAGCACCACUUAUUAUUUAUAACCCGCUCACUUACUCUAACAUAGAGGUCAAGCAUUACCUUUCCUUCGUAAAUCAAGUGCCCUCACACUACAAUAGAGAGUAGUUCCACACACAAUAAAAGUUUAAGAACAAUUAGGAACUCAAGAUUUAAAGAAUUCACUCACUCUCAGAAACAAAAUUCAUAUGCCACAAAAGACGUACCAUANNNNNNNNNNNNNNNNNNNNNNNNNGGGUUAACUACGAUACAUAACAAUUAGGUGGGUAGAAGUAUAUAACUGACUCAACAAACAAAAUGCCUAUAUCACUUCCAAGACUGAAUACAACUACUAUUUCACUUUGUAAACACACAGAGAAAGUUCUAGACAUCAAAUACAAUGCACAGAAUAACACAAAACCUCACACACACAUGGCACAUAACUCACUAAAAAUUGUAUUAUCAAGACACGCUAGUCAAAGCAGUUAAGCAAAGUUAAGAUCAUACAAUUUAAGGUACUUAUGAAAGAGUCAAAAAUUGAGCCUAGGUGUCACAACUAAAGCACUCACUAUUCUCAAGGUAUAAUAGAGUCAAGAGAUAUUGCCUUCCAUUAAAAUCAUAGCACAAGAUUUCCUACUCCUAACAAAAAUAAAACUAACUACACCCGGUUCAAACAAAAUCCUUGGAAAAGAACCGCGACACAAAGAAAAACCAAGGGGGACUUGUUACACUACCUAACAAAAGAAAAUCUUUCUGUCUUUUUCUUUUGACUUUAAUCCCUCAAGAAACCCGUCGAAUGAUAUCCAUCGUAGGGAAAAAUAAAAAAAUUUAAAAAAAAUUCAAUUUUUAUGUUUUUUCCAAUUAUUUUCUAUCUCUAACUACUACAACUAAAAAAAGAAAACUAAUAUACAUAUAUAAAACUAUCACCCACCCCACACUUUAAGUUGUGGCAUGUCCCCAUGACACACAAUUAAAAAGUAUAAGGUAAAGAAAACUUCCCUAAACAUCUAGUUGGGGUAUGAAUCGAAGUCGGGCUCCAUUCCUCGUGCUCGAACCAAUGCACACAUCUAUGCCGAUAGCUUCUUCUCAGCCUUUUUGGGGUACACCCCACACUUAUCUUUCUUACUCAGUGCAACCUUCUCUUUUGAGCCUUUCACCUUCCAUUCAACACUUCCAGCUGGUCUUUCUUUGUGCACCACCUUUUUUACCUCCAUCUUAAACGUCACAGUCUCCUCACCCACUCUAAGCAUGAGUUUUCUCUCGUGUAUAUCCAAUAUAGCUCUACCCGUUUCUAAGAAUAGUCUUCCUAGGAUGAGGGGGACCUCCUUGUUCUCCUCCAUAUUCACCACUAUAAAAUCCACAGGAAAUACGAACAUAUCCACCCGAACUAACACAUCUUCCACUAUCCCCCCGGGUGUUAUAGUCGUUUGGUCUGCCAGCUGCAAAGAUAUUGGCACCGACCUUAUCUCUCCAAUCUUUUUCUCCAGUUUCCUGUAAAUAGAUAGAGGCAUUAAGUUAAUUGAGGCACCCAAAUCACAUAAAGACUUAUCAAACUUUAUAGUUCCUAAUGAGCAAGGUAUAGUAAAACUCUUUGGAUCUCCACACUUUUGUGGGAGUUUGUUUUGCAAUAUUGUGCUGUAAUGCUCUGUGAGCUUCACCACCGAGGUCUCCUCUAUUUUCCUCUUCUUCGUAAGGAACUCCUUCAAGAAUUUGGUAUAAAAAGGCAUUUGUGAGAGCACUUCUGUGAAUGGCAAAUUUACAUGAACCUGUUUCAGCACAUCCAGAAAUCUCCCAAACUGCAUGUUUAGCUUUUCUCUACUUUGCUUUUGAGGGAAGGGUAAAAUAGGCAUAUACUGGCUCUCCUCAAAUUCCUCCCUUCUUGAUUUUUCUUCCUUUUUCUUCUUCUCGGUUUUAAUAGGGCCUUUCUUAUUUUAAUCAACGUCAUUCUUCAGCUGCUCCCCACUUUCUCUUUCAAGUAUCACAUCAUUUUGGAUCGGAGUGGGAUCUUUCAACACUUGCCCACUUCUCAAAGUUACAACAUUCACUGUUUCUUUGGGAUUCUUUUCUGUAUCAGCGAGGAGAAUGCCUGGGACCCUCUCAGAUAAGAUUGUUGUAAUAUGUCCCACUUGCUUCUCUAAAUUUUGAGUUGCUGCCCCUUUUGUUUCAAAUCUUUCAUCAGUUUUCACAAUGAAGGCCUUCAUAAGAUCUUCUAAACCAGGCUGAUUGGGUUGUUGAUGCUGAAACUGCUGCCUCUACUGAUUUAUAAGACCAGGAGCUCCUUGUCCCUAGAAUUUGGGGUUGUUUUGUUGACACGCAUUUGCAGUACCCCCAGCUGAACUCCAUGAAAAUCUGGGGUGCUUCUGACCCAUUGCAUUAAAGUUGUAAUUUCCUACAUCAUUCACUUCCUCAGUUGAGGCUUGACACUCAUGAGUAGGGUGUCCUCUUCCACAUAUAUCACAAGCUGCGUGAGGCUCAUUUUGUAUCGAGGCUAAGGUUAGCUUCCAUAUUUCUUUANNNNNNNNNNNNNNNNNNNNNNNNNNNNNNNNNNNNNNNNNNNNNNNNNNNNNNNNNNNNNNNNNNNNCCACUAAUUUGCAUCUUCAGAUAACUCCUCAAGGAUUGUGACUAUCUCCUCUGGAGUCUUCUUCAUCAACGGGCCUCCAGCUGCAUUGCUCAAUGUUCUACGCGAGGCCCGUGUCAAUCCAUCCCAAAAGUCCUAGAGUUGCAUCCAGAGUUCAAUUCCACUAUGUUGACACUUUCGAACAAUUUCCGUAAACCUCUCCCAUGUGUCAAAAAUAAUUUCAGUAUCUUUCUUGCAGAAGUUAUGGAUUUCUCUUCUAAACUUGUCCGUCUUAGCUGGGGAGAAAUAUUUAUCAAGGAAUUUUCUGGUCAUCUCCUCCCAAGUUCUAAUUGAUCCUGUGGGCAAGCUUCUAAGCCACUGUUUUGCAUCAUCUUUAAGAGAAAAGGGGAAUGCCCUUAAAUACACUGCAUCAUGUGACACAUCAUUAUAUUGAAAGGUGUUCAUAAUCUCCUUGAAGUCCAUUAGAUGUGUGUUUGGAUCUUCGUUUGCCUUCCCUAUAAAGACACAACAAUUCUGAAGAGUUUGAAGCAACCCUUGCUUCAACUCGAAAGUAUUUGCUGCAAUUUGAGGUGGUCUAACACUUGAUAAACCUUGAUUGUAGACCGAUCUAGCAUAAUCUCCAAGUGGUCUCCCAGGCCUGAGAGCUAUAUUUAUGAACUGAUCUGCAGCCAAGGGUUAAUUUUGAGCAAUUCUUCGACCCCUAUCUUCUUCUUCGAUAAUAUUUGCAUCUCUAAUAGUUGCUUCCUCAUCAUCUCGUGCAGCUUGUUCUCGUCGUUGGGCUGCUUCUCUCGCAGCCAAAUCUACAUUAUCUUCACCAUUUCCAGCAAUUAGUUCCUUUGUUGAGGACUGCCCAACCUUUUCUGAUGUCUCGGUGAGAUUUCUUUCCUUCCUCACCUGUCGCAGUUAUUUUUCAAUUUCUGGCUCGUAUGGUAGCACUUCCUUCGCAGAAGUUCGAGUCAUGCACCAAUCUUAACCUGUAACCUGCGCACAGUCAAAGAACACCAACCGUAAAAAGAGAAAAAUAAAAUUAAAAAAAUCUUGAAUUAGCACUACAAACUAUUUCAAACACUAUUGAUUUCCAAUCCCCAGCAACGGCGCCAAAAUUUGACGAGCGCAAAACACAUACUUAAAUUCUGCUCUCUAAUCAAAUAUAAUAUAGUAUAAUAUCGUAUCCACGGGGAUUGGAUUUAAACAGUAUUCUCGUAGUUUCUAGCUUGAUUGCUAUCCAAGAAGAUCAACACUUGAGAUUUAUAUGAUUUCUAACUAAAAUUAACUAAGAGUCUAAAGUUAUUGACUAAAGACAAUCGAAACAAAGAUAAACAAGGAAGUUAUCAGUGGGAGAAAAUAGGGGUUGAUAGGAUAGGUGCAAGAUAAUUGGUUGGGAUCUAACUCUAGAUAAUUCACUUCUAAUGUUCAAGUGAGUCUCUCGAAUUCACUCAAUUAUCAGUUCAAACGUUCAACAAAAAACUCCUCUCUCGAUUAAGUUUCAACCUCACGAGAUUAACCAAUUUAAGCAUGUAAUGAUAUGCAAGAAUGCGUAGUGGAUUGGUCUUUAGGAAAUCCUCUUUCGAUUACUCUCCUAACAAGGUUUAAUCAAUAAUUCAACUGACCUCUUUCGAUAACUAAGAAGAAUUAAUGACCUCAACAAACAAUAUAAUGCUAAGAUAUCACAAGUUAUGCCUCUCUCGAUUACAUGAACAAGUGAAUAUAGAUGCAACAGUUAAAUCAUCCAAAAAUACUUCAAUACAUAAAACUAGAGUUAUAAUCCACAAACAAUCAUCAAAACACCAAAUCCAUCAAACCUUAAAGGGAACUACUCCAUUGAUAUGGAGAAAUUUAUCACAAAUAAAGUUAAUUAGAGGAAAACAUAUAUUCAAUCCAAACUUGGGUCUUUCGUGAGGAAGGAAUGAUGAAAUCCUUGUGCUCGUGUUCUUCCAACUCCUCCUUAGCCUCCUUAGGUCGCAUAUGUGUCAAAAGUCUCGAAAAUAACGUUUUCCAUGUAUUUAUACCAAGUAGGGUUGAGCCCAGACGAAAUCACCUUUUCCUAGCCGAAAUAGGAUAUUUACUUUGUAAAGGCGCGCCGCAUGGGGCGACGCUCCAUCUGACAGACAGCAGGAAUUUGUACAAGCGCGGCGCCCCACGCGCCGCGAUAGUGGGGAUUUCUCAGAGUACGGAUCAAACUUUGAUUUUUGAUGUCCAGACUUGGUCCUCGACCCCCGAACAUGAUCCCGGCUUAAUCCUUUGGGCUUUUAAUCAGACUUCAAAGCUUCAAAUAGCUCGAAUUAGCUUCACAACAUCUACAUCACUCGGAAUCGCUCCUACAAGGCGUAAAAUCCACAAUAAGUGCAAAACACUCCCAAUCAAAGCUCAAAACAAGUAAAGUGCAGUGAAUUAGAGUGCAAUAAGCGACUAAAAUACGGGAUUAUAUCUAACCAUCAACUAGCCUAGUUAAAGGGUUUGAACUAGAGAUAGAGAAAACUCGACUUGAGCUCAUAUCAACUAUUUAGGUUGAUACCCACUUGGGAUUGAGAAAGCCAAAUUGAAAAAAAUCACUCUUUGACCGAGAGGUAUUGUCACGACCAAAAAUCCAUUAAGAGUCGUGAUGGCGUCGGACACAACUGUCAGGCAAGCCAAAAAUAACUACUUAAUUUGGUUCUCAUUUUAAUAUUUCUGAAAUCAUAUUUUCUUCAAUUAAAUAGUAAAAGAUGGAAUUUAUAGAAUAAAUAAUUAUAUAUUUAACAAUUUCAAUACAGGACAACCCAUACUUACCGCAAAACCCGGUGUCACAAGUGCAUGAGUAUUAAAUAGGAAGUAAAAUAAAAUACAACAUCUGUCUGAAAUACAAAUUGGACAGUAAUAAUAUAAAUACUCUAAAGGAGACUCUGUUGGCUGCGGAUCGUGGUAUAGAGUGCAGCGCUCCUAAGUCCCCGCAAUAACCGUGUCUCUGCGCCCACAAGGCCACUAGACAGAUAUGUACUUGUACAAAAAUGUGCAGUAAGUGUAGCAUGAGUACGUAAAUCAACGCGUACCCAGUAAGUAUCCUGCCUAACCUCGAAGAAGUAGUGACGAGGGGUCAACUUUGACACUUACUAUGGGCUAUAAAUAAAAUAUCAAUAAUAUAAUUAAGCAUGGAUUACAUAGAAUGGUUGUAAGCUCAAUAUUCAUGAAAUAAGUAAACAAUUCUUUUGUUAAUAAGAAAUUUUCAAAUUUAUUUUCGUCAUUUAACAUUUUUGUAUAUCGGGCCAAUGAAAGCAAUAUCAAUUAUUAUCAAUUCCAGAGAUAUAUCAUGUGCAAAUUAUGUCGAAGUCGUACGGCCCGAUCUAACAUAAAUAUUUAAAUUGUGCACUGCCAAGGGUCGAACGACGCGAACUAUAGAUACAUCUAUCUGCUACCGAGGUGUUCGGCCCGCUCCACAAAAGAGAAAAUACAUUAAACAACCAAUUCAAGAUUUAUUAAGGGGCAAAUAUUCCAAGAAUUUCAAAUUCGCAUUUAACGGUCAAGUAAAUGAAGUUUAACCUUUUAACAAUCCCUUUAUUGAGUUUCUAAAUGUUUUAAACAAUUAAAUUAACAAGUAGGGCCCAGACAUCGCAAGUACAACAUGAUAUGGGUCCUAAACUACCCGGACAUAAGCAUAAUAGUAGCUACGCAUGGACUCUCGUCACCUCGUGCAUAUGUAGCCCCCACAAAUAGAAACACAGAAUGAUUUGAUUCAUCUAUGGGGUUAACUCCCUCUUACAAGAUUAGAAAGGAGACUUACCUCGCUCCGAAAUUCCAUAACCGGCUCCCAAGCCCGUCCAACAACUAAAACCGAUGCCCACCACUCCAAAACUAGUCAAUAAAUGUGCAAAUCCAUAAAUAUAUACUCUAAUACUCAUUAUAAAUUAAUUUACAAUAAUUUCGAAAAGUCGAUAAAAAUCACCCUCGGGCCCACGUGCCCGGAUUCCGAAAAUCUUCAAAGACAAACACUACCCAUAGCACUACGAACUCAAAUAUAUAAUUUAUUCCCAAUUCCAUGUCUAAUUUCGUGGUCAAAAUCCAAAAAUACCAAAUUUCUAGGUUUUUCUUCAAAAUCCCAAAUUUUCUACAAAUAUUGCAUGUUUACAUCCAUUUAUAAAUCAAGUAUUUAACUUGCAAUAGGUGCGAAUCACUUACCUUGUCAUAGAUGAUGAAAAUCUCCCCUUGAAGCUCUCCAAAAUUGCCCCAACCAAGUGAAACAUGGGAGAAAAAUGAGCCAAGUCUCGUUCUUAAAUCAAUCUGCCCAGCUGACCUUCCACACCUGCGGUACAUCAGCCGCAUCUGCGGCCUAGCAGGUGUGGCCAAAACCUCGCACCUGCGCAUAUCCUCUGCCCAGCACAGCUCCGCACCUGCGAUGCCAAACGCGCCCCUGCGGUCUCGCACAUGCGGAGACUUUCCGCUUCUGCGACUCCAGCUGCCAGCUCACAUUUCGCUUAUGCGGAGCUUUCCUCGCAUCUGCGGGCUCGCAUAUGCGGAAACAUCCUUGCAUCUGCGGCUAUCCCAGCUCCGUCCAAAUGUCGCUUUUGCAACCUCAUCGCCGCACCUACGGGCUCGCACCUGCGGCCCUUUUCACACAGGUGCGAUUCCACCAGAUAUCAGCUGCCUCAACAUUUCUUCUAAGUCUAAACUCGAUCCGUUAACCAUUCGGAAUCCACAUGAGGCCCUCAGGACCUCAACCAAAUAUACCAACACGUCCCAAAUCACAUUACGAACUAAGUCGCGCCUUCGGAUCACAUCAAACAACGCUAAAACCAUGAAUAGCACUCCAAUUCAAGCUUAAUGAACUUUAGAACUUCAAACUUCUACCUUCGAUGCCGAAACCUAUCAAAUCACGUCCGAUUGACCUCAAAUUUUGCACACAAAUCAUAUUUGACAUUACAGACCUACUCCAACUUCCGAAAUCAGAAUCCGACCCCGAUACCAAAAAGUCCACUCCCGGUCAAACUUCUCAAAAAUCUUCAAAUUCCAACUUUUGCCAAAUGACCUCAAAAUGGCCUACAGACCUCCAAAUCUAUAUCCUGACGCGUUCCUAAUUCUAGAAUCACCAUACGGAACUAUUCCCAGGCUCGGAAUUUCAAACAGAAGUCGAUAACAUUGAAAUACACUUCAACCCAAAUUUAUGAAAUCCUUCAAAAAUGCCAACUUCCAUAAUAUGCGCCGAAAUACUCCCGGGUCAACCAAAACCCGAUCCGGACAUACGCCCAAGUCCAAAAUCAUCAUACAAACCUGUUGGAACCUUCCAAUCUUGAUUCCGAGGUCGUUUACUAAAAAUAACCCUUAGUCAAUUCCUCCAACCUAAAGCUUCUUAAUUUAGAAUUUUCUCUCCAAAUCAACUCCGAACUCCCCGAAAUUCAAUUCCGACCACACGCACAAGUCAUAAUACCUGAAGUGAAACUACUCAAGGCCUCAAACCGCCGAACGACGCGUUAGAGCUCAAAAUGACCGGUCGGGUCGUUACAUACUCUCCCACUUAAACAUAUGUUCGUCCUCGAACGUGCUAAGAUCUGCACUGGAGUUGUCCGAAAUCAUUGUUUAAUACCUCGUGCACCUGUCGUGCUACCACAACCCAGUUGAGCACAUUAGCUCGAGCAAACCUGAAAAUCCUCCCUUUUAUUUAGUCAAGUAAGCCUUAGAGCCAAAUUCCAACAUCUGAAAUCCUCUACCAGGUCUGUUUCCAACAUACGAACACCAUAUACAUCACUACACGAUGCACCAAUACAUGAUUGCAUACCUUUACUGAAUUCAUACCAUGCACCGUUUAACUCACACGACCAUAAUAACAUCCUCUGACAAUGAUAGUCGAAAUCCCAUGAAUCUGAUGCCCACCGCACCUCAUGAAGCAUAUAAGUCCCGUUUCAACUCUCGCAAUACUACCACAACAAAAAGGAUGUGUAGAAAUUCAUAACCAACUUCCGAGUCGACAAAUCAUUGAGUCCCUCCUCUGGACAAGGACCAUUACCCCAUUGUGAACCAAAUAACAAUAUUUGCUUUUUAAUAUGCCUCAUAUAAUCCGAUCGCACUGAUCCCAGGUCCAAUAAUCUUGUCUCACCCAGUACAAGCUGCUUAGGCAAUAAGCCACCUCAGACACUGCAAAAAGUAUCAUAUGAUGCCACAAUGUGCCAACAAGCUACAAACUCGAAGUGAUACAUAAUGGAAAACGAACUCUGGAAAGAACUACUCAACCAACGUAACUAAUCAAACAAUCGAAAGGAUGUUAUGAACCUUCCUCAGAAACGAGAAACAAAACACACAAGAAUAGAUAUGGGAAACUAUACUCAAUAUCAUACUGUUGCGGCGUGCAACCCGAUCCACACAUGAUACCGUUGCGGCGUGCAACCCGAUCCAACUAUGAUACCCGUGGUGGCGUGCCACCCGAUCCAAACAACAUAUCCGUGGCAGCGUGCCACCCGAUCCACACAUAAUAAUCUAAAGAAGACACACAUCGAGUCGUAACGCUUAUACUCACGAAAUGCCUGAAUCUCAACCAUAAGCACACCAAGUGCAUAAUACAAAUCCUAAGGAGACGAAUAGCACCAUACGCUAUGAAACUCAAGCACAACUAAGGUGCAACAAAUGACAUGUAUCUUGAGAGCCUUCCUGCUCUCACAACACCACAAAUUUCCCGGGAUCUCAAUACGAGUGCGAAUAAUCAAACCACCUCACAACCCACCUGGCAUAAUAUAGAUUACACGAAAUAGCUGACGAUAGACAUAACAUCCAAGGCCCGAAGACCCCUCUAAAAUAACGCUAUGCUGAAAUGAACACAUCCGGCCUGAUAUAGGGCCCACAUUCAUAUUUAGAUCCAUCCACGGACCUCAAACCGAUUCUGAUCAUACCAUGCUUGGCUAAAUAGCCCCUCAAGGGCCCACAAUGACCUAUUCAUGACACAUAAGAACAACCGUCAAAUCUGAAAAAAACUCACAUGGUCCACAACCCAAGGAAUAGAAUGCCUCUCAGGCAUAAACUCUCACACUUGCGAUAUUACCAUGACCUCCAUAUUCGGUCUCAAUCUUUAACAAUCGAGUGACUGACAUGUCACACUUAUAAAAAUCUCCCUGUGGGGCAUGCUCCCACGACCAUUCCGCUUAGGUAGCAAGUCUGCACCUCCAUACUGCCGGCCACAAUAAUGCUGUAAAGAAAAUCAAGAAGCCACAAAUCAGUAAACAAAGCCUCUUACACAGGACACCGAUCUCAGGUGACGCUAAAGACAAUACCAGCUUACUCUAAACAUUUGAAUUCUUCCCCGCUCAUCCGAACUCUUGACAUUCUUGUCGACGUCGACUGCAACCUUGAUCCUCAACUUCCAAUUCCCAUGCCGCUCAGUACACCUAACAUACCAAUACGUGAGAGUACAAGAAUUACAUCAUAACUCCUGAUCCACUAAUAGAAUAAACACUCCAUCACAUAGCAAGCUUUUACUUAACUCAUUUUAGGAGAACCAUUGCAACAUGCGACUGAAUUCACAUAACAACAGAAAAUACAAUCCUCAAGUAGUGGUCUAAACCACCAUAACUCUUCCGGGAUCCAUCUACACAUAACAAGCCAAAAUACUCAAAUUCCUCCAAAUAAAAUCAAUUAUGGCGGCCGUCAAGCCUCGCACGCACCGCCACAAAUCACAUGUAUAACUUAACACACUGAAGGAACUGAUCAUUGCUAACAUUAUGCCAAUUCAACUGUUGUUAACCGAUCCGAUUUCUUCUAAUUUACUCUGGUCUUGCCUUAGGAAUAAUAAUAGCUCCAUUCAAAAUGUCAUGAACCACAAUCCGCACUCAUCCUGAGUGACCUUAUUUUAUGCGAUCAUGUUGUCUCCAAAACCCACGAACCAUCUCAUACCCCCCUUAUGCGCAUAUUCGCAUCUUCAACUGGUACAUCCAUUCUGAAAGUCUCUCUAUGAAUCUGAAGUUAUUUUCUCCCAUUCCUCCAAUGCCACACCGCAGACCGAAGAUAACGUAGAACACUCCAAGCCACUUUAAUAAUCCACUGCAAAAACCUCGAUACUUAACCAUACUACGGACUCAAAAUCCUGAGGCACUGCACUUUAACUUUUGAAUCCACUAGGACUGUUGUUGAGAGUCACCCACUCUGGCUUGGUCCCGAAUAUAACCAACUCCAAGGCUCUGCUAGCACAUCUACACCCUCUCAAAGAAGCAAUCGACUAAAUUCUUUCUCCUUAUACAUCACAUCCCCCACGAAGCAUAAACUCUAAGUCUUCCCAAAACCUGAACAUGAAUCGAUAUGGCCAAUUACAACACACAUUCCACAAAUCCUUUGCUCAAAUUACCACUGAUGUUCUCUUUCCUUAGUCAUGAUAACCCGCCAAUACACUGAUAACCAGAAACCGCACAAGUUGACAACUACGCAAUCUAAUCAUAGACGGUGGGGCUCGCCUACUUAGCUUGAAGCUACCAUUGCAUAACUCUGGAACCCACCAAGAUUCCUUAUCCCCUAUUGUCAUGAUCUUGCACAACCAACCUGCCAAAUUUCUCGAAAUCCUUAUGUUAAACAUUUCAUGAACAUUCUGAAUCACUAGCCACAUUCAAAUAUUUGACCUCUUACUGGAUAGCCAGUAAAAUUCUUCAUAGAAGCUUCAUCAACACCAAACGACCGCUAACCUACUCAUAGGAGAUAACCCACAUGUGAAAAUUACAUGCCGACAUCUUCCAACAGCACUGCACCGAGUACAAUUACUAUGAAAUCAAUAAACCACCCUGAGCCCGUGCUUAUUCACCAGUUGUACAAGUCCGUUCACUCCCAAUUGACAUCAACUAAAGGUGCGAUGAUACAUCCCAAUCCAAAGUCAUGUUGCAUCCCUCUUUGUAUUAAGCAACCCCCUCCUGUCGCACCCAAUCUUCCUCGAUAUAGCAGCCAAUAUACCAAAUUAAGCACGUAGACCUAGUCACUGUCCACCAUGAAUACCAAAUCACUCUAACUUCCCCCAAGGCGUGUAGCUAUCCCACCACAGAACCCGUAUGUUGCUCUACCACUCUCCCACUUUGGUCAAAUCCUCUCUUUUAAGAAACUGCUCGACUUCUAUUUCCUUACACUUGGCCUUCUAAAAGUUUAACCACCGUAAGACACCUCCCAUAUGUACUUCCUCACCCUUCACUGCCCAAUUAUUUCCUUAACUCAAAACUUAUCUCUGUAGCACCCGAACCAAUAGAUCGCCGCCAACUCUAAACCUCCCCGAAGAUCAUCCUCCUUGAGCCACUAACUUUAGGAUUACCGAUUCGAUUCUGAACCACAGCACAUUGCGACAUUUGACAACCGCUUCCCGGGCACCAUACACACUACUCUGCCCCAAAGGCAAUUUGAAAAAGGCCAUAACACCGGCGAACCUAACACUUUCAACAAGAACGAUGACACCACAUCACAGAUGAAAAUCCCACCACGCUCAAAAAUACCAAGUUUCGUUACUCCAUCAAUCCAAACCUGAACAUUCUUAGUCCGAUUGCCUUUCCUCCAUUGGAAAUAAAACACUAAACCCUUGAAUCAUGCAUUGAGAAAAACCUCAUUUCAAAUCAUUCACUGCCCCUACACAUAGACAAGUAUCCUACUAUUACUCAAACACUAUGCGAUAGCAAUGCACGAAUCGUCAUAACAAUCAAUGCCAAAUCUCAAAACCUUAGGUAAUACUGAUACUGAGCUGCAACGACAGAACGGCUUUCCGCAAGGCGACGACAAUAGCCCAAUCAAAUAUGCAUGGAGAAACCUCCUGCACCACAUCUGUAGUACCAUUAAAAUUCCUCGAUUCCCAAUUUAUAACAAGCGCUUCACGUCACAUAAGAUUGAAUAGGAAGUAAAUGAAGUCAUAAGCCUCAAAGGAAUCAAAUCGCACGAUGAGGAAUCAAGAUGGAAGUGCUUCUAACAGAUUCGCGAGACUCUACUAGACCCGCUCAUGACUCGUGAGACCUAAGUGAACCUAGUGCUCUGAUACCAUAUCAUCACGACCCAAAAUCCAUUAAGGGUCGUGAUGGCGUCGGACACUGCUGUCAGGCAAGCCAAAAAUAACUACUUAAUUUGGUAAUCAUUUUAAUAUUUCUGAAAUCAUAUUUCCUUCAAUUAAAUAGUAAAAGAUGGAAUUUACAGAAUAAAUAAUAAUAUUUUUAACAAUUUCAAUACAGGACAACCUAUACUCACCCCAAAAUCCGGUGUCACAAGCGCAUGAGCAUCAACUAGGAAGUAAAAUAAAAUACAGCAUCUGUCCGGAAUACAAAUUGGACAGGAAUAAUAUAAAUACUCUGAAGGAGACUCUGUUGGCUGCGGAUCGUGGUAUAGAGUGCAGCUCUCCUAAAUCCCUGCAAUAACCGUGUCUGUGCGCCCACAAGGCCACUAGACUGAUAUGUACCUGCACAAAAAUGUGCAGCAAGUGUAGCAUGAGUACGUAAAUCAACACGUACCUAGUAAGUAUCCCGCCUAACCUCGAAGAAUUAGUGACGAGGGGUCGACUUCGACACUUACUAUGGGCAAAAAAUAAAGUAUCAAUGAUAUAAUUAAGCAUGAAUUACGUAGAACGGCUGUAAGCUCAAUAUUCAUGAAAUAAGUAAACAAUUCUUUUGUUAAUAAGAAAUUUCAAAAUUUAUUUUCGUCAUUUAACAUUUUUGUAUCUCGGGCCAAUAAAAGCAAUAUCAAUUAUUAUCAACUCUAGAGAUAUAUUAUGCGCAAAUCAUGCUGAGGUCGUACGGCCCGAUCUAACAUAAAUAUUUAAAUUGUGCACUGCCGAGGGUCGAACGGCGUAAAUCAUAGAUGCAUCUAUCUGCUACCGAGGCGUUCGGCCCGCUCCACAAAAUAGAAAACACAUUAAACAACCAAUUCAAGAGUUAUUAAGGGGCAAAUAUUUCAAGAAUUUCAAAUUCUCAUUUAACGGUCAAGUAGAUGAAGUUUAACCUUUUUAUAAUCCCCUUAUCGAAUUUCUAAAUGUUUUAAACAAUUCAAUUAACAAGUAGGGCGCACACAUCGCAAGUACAACAUGAUAUGGGUCCUAGACUACCCGGACAUAAGUAUAAUAGUAGCUACGCAUGGACUCUCAUCACCUCGGCAUACGUAGCGACCACAAAUAGAAACACAUAAUGAUUUGAUUCACCUUUGGGGUUAAUUCCCUCUUACAAGGUUAGAAAGGAGACUUACCUCGCUCCGAAAUUUCAUAACCGGCUCCCAAGCCCUUCCAACAACUCAAAACGAUGCCCAUCGCUCCAAAACUAGUCAAUAAAGGUGCAAAUCCAUAAAUAUAUACUCUAAUACUCAUUAUAAAUCAAUUUACAACAAUUUCCAACUCCGCUCGAAAAGUCGAUAAAAGUCACCCUCAGGCCCACGCAUCCGGAUUUCGAAAAUUUUUAAAGACAAACACUACGCAUAGCACUACGAACUCAUAUAUAUAAUUUAUUCCCAAUUCCAUGUCCCAUUUCAUGGUCAAAAUCCAAAAAUACCAAAUUUCUAGGUUUUUCUUCAAAAUCCCAAAUUUUUUACAAAUUUCCAUGUUUGUAUCCAUAUAUAAAUCAAGUAUUUAACUUACAAUAGGUGUGAAUCACUUACCUUGUCAUAGAUGAUGAAAAUCUCCCCUUGAAACUCUCCAAAAUCGCCCCUAACAAGUGAAAAAUGGGAGAAAAAUGAACCAAAGUCCUGUUCUUAAAUCAAUCUGCCCAGCUGACCUUCCGCACCUGCGGUACAUCAGCCGCAUCUGUGGCCAAAACCUCGCACCUGCGCAUAUCUUCUUCCCAGCACAGCUCCGCACCUGCGAUGUCAAACGCGCCCCUGCGGUCUCGCACAUGCGGAGACUUUCCGCUUUUGCGACUCCAGCUGCCAGCUCGCAUUCCUCUUCUGCGGAGCUUUCCUCGCAUCUGCGGGCUUGCAGAUGCGGAAACAUUCUCGCAUCUGUGGCCAUCCCAGCUCCAUCCAAAUAUCGCUUCUGCGACCACAUCGUCGUACAUGCGGGCUCGCACCUGCGGCCCUUUUCUCGCAGGUGCGAUUGCACCAGAUAUCGGCUGCCUCAGCAUUUCUUCCAAGUCUAAACUCGAUUCGUUAACCAUCCGAAAUCUACCCGAAACCCUCGGGACCUCAACCAAAUAUACCAACACAUCCCAAAACAUAUUAUGAACUUAGUUGAGCCUUCGAAUCACAUCAAACAACGCUAAAAUCAUGAAUCGCACCCCAAUUCAAGCUUAAUGAAAUUUAGAACUUCAAACUUUUACCUUCGAUGUUGAAACCUAUCAAAUCACGUCCGAUUGACCUCACAUUUUGCACACAAGUCACAUUUGACAUUACAUACCUACUCUAACUUCCGGAAUCGAAAUUCGAAGCCAAUACCAAAAAGUCCACUCCCGGUCAAAUUUCUCAAAAACCUUUAAAUUCCAACUUUCGCCAAAUGACCUUUAAAUGGCCUACGGACCUCCAAAUCUACAUCCGGACGCGCUCCCAAUACCAGAAUCACCAUACGGAGUUAUUCCCAGGCUUAGAAUUUUAAAUGGACAUCGAUAACAUUGAAAUACACUUUAACCCAAAUUUAUAAAAUCUUUCAAAAAUGCCAACUUCCAUAAUAGGCACCGAAAUACUCCCAGGUCAAUCAAAACCCGGUCCGGACAUAAGCUAAAGUCCAAAAUCAUCAUACAACCCUGUUGGAACCUUCAAAUCCCGAUUCUGAGGUCGUUUACUAAAAGUCAACCCUUAGUCAAUUCCUCCAACUUAAAGCUUCUAAAUUUAGAAUUUUCUCUCCAAAUCAAUUCCGAACUCCUCGAAAUUCAAUUCCGACCACACGCACAAGUCAUCAUACCUUACAUGAAACUACUCAAGUUCUCAAACCGUCGAACGACGCGCUAAAGCUCAAAAUGACCGGUCGGAUCGUUACAGGUAUUGAUUGGAUAACUUAGAAUUGAGAGCUAUAAUACACCCCAAUCAAUAAAAUAAGUGUUAACGUAAUUAACCUAUUAGGCGAACACCUAGGCAAAGGUUACAUCCCUAAGCUUUUUACCUAUUUGAAAAUAGCUAAAAAUAAUUAGUCAAUUUCUAGCUUCAUUUCUCUAGUUGAUUAUUGAUAGUUUAGUUUAUAGAAGUAAUUUGUAAAACCAACUUGAUUGGAAGUGUAUUUAAGCCGUUUUAUCUUCACGCGUCAAGUAUACACCCUAACACCCAUUGUUAGCUCCCUGAGAAAAUCGACCUUGACCCAUAGUUGGGUACUAUUCUUCCAAUAACCUCUUCCACUCAUUGUUGAGUGUGGAUUGGGAGUGGAUCAAUAAUCAAUUUUCUUUAUCCAAAAUAGUAAUAAUUGGCUCUUCCAGAGCUCUCAAUUAAUUUUGUACUGCCACAUAUUCACCAACAUCCAUAUGGUGAAUAUCUCUUUCAAGGAGAAAUUUAUACCAUUAUGGUCAUGGUCAAAAUUAUUAUAGGCAAGAUAUGUUGCUUCAAUAACUUUUCCCCUAUAAUAAUCACAUUGCCAUAACAUUUUAGCAUAAUCACAAUAGGUACAUGAUCAAUGAUAUUCAUGCCAUAAUCAUGAAAUUAUUUUCUUAUUUCAUCUCAAACCUCCUUCUAGAGGUGAGUGUGGUAUAUUCACAACCUCUAGCAUGUUCAUAUUCUUCCAAGAAUAAAUAUGUAUUCAUAAAUCAUAUGUUGUCACAUUCACAUCAUGAAUGGACUAUAAUCAUCUAUAUGUGUUUUACAAAAUCUCAUGUCAAAUCUAUGACAAACAUUAAUUUCACAUAGUGAAGGAUUAUUUUGAGAAUCCUUAUUGUUCUCAUUACCACAAUGAGGACGAUUAUAAUUUCGUCUAUUGCCACGUCCCCAUCCAUUGAUGCCUUCACAGUAAUAAUUUUAUCUUCUUUCAGACUUAUCACAUACUGCAACCACAUUCUCUUAAGGGAACGAGAAUAAAGCAUAUUUAAUGGGACGAGUUUUCACUUCUUGUGCUCAUAAUCAUACGUGAAUUUGAUCAUGGCAAGACAUAGAAAUUUUACCAUUUCGGGUGAUUAUAAUUUCUCACAAACUCUAUUAGAGUAAUGAUAAAAUUUUAUUAUCUUUGUUUGUAUUUAAAAUCAAAUUAUAGAAUUUCAAUAAUGUAAAAGAGAAAAAUAAAGUAAAAUACUUACCUUAAGUCCAGAAUUUUUCUUGCAGGAAGUUCAUGGAACAACUGACAAUCUUUAUGCUCAAUAUUAUGUAUGAGCUGAGUACCAUGCACGUAUCCCAAAGUCAGGUGACCGAAGCAGAUGCUUAGUAUAGGAAUAUUAAUGUAUUCACCCCAAGAGCCUCACGCAAAUUCCUAUAUCUUCUCUCCCCGGGUGGUUUAAUUUCUCAAACACUAGACAACUAAUUAAUAGUAUAUCUAUAAAUCAAAACUACUGCCCUCUACUCAAUUGGUUAGAGUCUCGUGUUGAUAACGCGUUAUAAAAUAAUAAAAGAAGAAGAGUAUUAUAGAGAAAAGUAGAGAGAGAAUUCUUGUUGAUUGUGAUAAACUUCAAUGAAAUAGAACCUCUUUAUUUAUAGGGAAAAUGUGACUUGGCCACAAAGUAACAAACCCUAAAAUCUCUCUAAAAUAUAGACAUUUACCUUAAAUACAAUUCUAUUUAUAACAAUCCUUUAAGUCUUACUCUGCUUCUAUGCUUGCAUUUUCAUUCUUUGUGCUUUAUUUUUUUCAAUUUUUUUUUUUUUGCAUUCUUUAAUUUAUUCUUUUCGAGUUAGUUUUUGAUUUUAGAAUUUCUUUCGUUGUAGUUUAGAUACUGUUUUGAAAUGCUUGUCUCUAUUCUGGCUAUUUAUAUUACUAGUAUCAUGAUACGCGCGUUGUGCGUGAACACUAUCUCGAUGAGUAUGAACUAUUAAAAAUUAUAAAUUAUUAUAAUAAAAAUUAUAUUUGAGUGCUAAAAUAAAAGCUAAAGAAAAAAAUAUGAGUUUUUGAAAAUAGUAUUUGUUGAUCCUAUCUCGUUAACACAAUAAACAUAGAAUUUAUACCCCAUAUAAGCCCUCAAUCAUAUCAAUUAAUAUAUUCAACUUAAAAAUUAUUGAAAAUUUUAUAAUAUCGAUACUGCAAUUUCACAAGUUAUGAUUCUUCAUUUUUUAUUUUAGCAAGAACGCAUUAACCCUUGAAAAUUUAAGAGUUAUUUUAUUCCGUUAAUUUUUUUGGAAAGCAAUAUAUUCUUAAGUUCAUCAUAAAAAGAUACAAACAAAGUCAAGUAACUGACAAAAGAUGUCCUUUUUUUCUCGAUGAGAAAAUACAAAUUGUGCUAUUACUUUAAUCCAUAAGAAAAAAUAUAGUAAAUAUUUCAACAAAUUAGUAAGGAACUAAUCGUCUAUGAUUGUAAUAGAAUUACAUAUAAUUCACGGAUUCUAAAAAGACGAUGUUAAUACUAUCCUAGAAGCAUUAAAUUAAAAUAUAAACUUUAUGUUAAAAUCAAAAUUAGAUUUAGUUCUACAUGUUAGACAAAAUCUUAAUGCUUGAAGAAAAAAUUAUUUUUUCCAAAGGAAUAAAAGUUGAUGUGCACAUCAAUUUUGACUCUGUGGCAAUGAACUCUAUAUAACUCACUUUAUAAAAUUUUAGGGUGUUAGGUAUCUUAAAUAAUUAUAUUUUUAUUAUCUUUAUUUUCUCGAACAUCAACAACUAUUUUAAUUCUUUGACAAAAUUUGUUUUUCAAAUUCAACACAUGACAAAUAACCAAAAUGUUAUUUUCAAAAUAAUUCUUCCAACCAACACUAACAAUAUUUUUUCAAAGCCAAAAUCUUCAUUGUUUUUAUAAAUAGAAUAUUUGGCUUUAUUCUUUAUACUUUCAAGCUUCAUAAUCUAUUAAAGACAUUUUGGUUUGUUUGUAUCUAGAGGAAGAAAAGUACUCAUAGUUGCAACAUUAAGUAUGUCCAUCAAACGUUCUUUUUUGGAAUUAUUAGGAUUAUUAUUCUAUAUGGAAGAAGCAUACUUAUAAUUACGUGGUAGUAAUUAUUUUAUUCAAUUCAAAUAAGGAGAGAUUUAUAAAAGCUUGCAUGAAUUUAAAUUCUUGAAUAUUAGAACUUCUUAGAUAGAACAAAUAAGCAAAUAUUUAAUAACCAUAAUUUUAGUUGAGUUCAAAGUCCUAAAUAUUAGAAAAAUAAAAGUCCUAACUAUUAGAAAAAUAACUGAAUUACUAUUUUGUUUGGUGUAAAAUCUAACUUUAAAGAGUGAAAAAGAGAACGAUGUUUUACUAAGGUGAUUCAUACUUUUAAUAUAGUAUAGAUAUAGAUAAUGAGUAUUUGUAAUUUAUUAUCUAGUUAGGUUUUUAAAUAAUAACUUUAUAUUACGUCCUUUUAAAUGUUUGAAUUACUAGGAACUAGAAUAUCUUUUUACAACUCUAAGUAUGUUCCAUCAUAGUCAUGUUAUAGGUGUAAUCUACCUUUAUGUCUUUUGCUUUUUCAAGUAAAAAUAUAUGCUUAGACCACGAAUCUUACCUUCUGAACAAGAAACAUAUCAACUAGCACGUAGCACAAACAAACCAAAAGAUCCCACCAUAUCCAACCACCCACCCUCCAAACCUACAUACCUCCAUAAAUUAAAUCUGUCGUCACCAACUACCCACUUAGACUACGAAUCUUACCUCUCACCUCUCUCACCCUUAAUGACAAAAACAACCAUGUCAAUCACCCACAAUUUAUCCCAAUUAUUAGGCAUGAAAAAAUCAGACUAUACAGUCCAUGGACCCAAUCUGUUAUUGUCAAACUACUUGGACCAAAGGUGUCCUACAACUUCCUAAAAAAUAAAUAUCACAACCCAAAACCUAACCUGUCGUGAUGGUGCCUAUCUCAAUACUAGGCAAGUCGACAAUCUCACUAAACCACAUAUCUUUUAAAUUUGAAAACAUAAUGAUUAAAUUUAGUGGAAAAAAUCUCACGAGUACAAAUAUAAAUACUCCCAAAACCUGAUGUCACUGAGUACAUAAACAUCUAAUAUGAAUACAAGUCUGAAAAAUACGGUUUAUAAUAGUCUGAGACCAAAUACAAUGAACAAGGAGAUAGAGAAGGAGAGGCAAUGUUGGCAAAAUAUGGCAGCUACCUCUGAAUCUCCAAAAAAUCAACUGUACAAAGGAAUCAAUACCCGCUAUGUCCGAAAAUACCUGGAUCUGCACACAAAGUGCAGGGUGUAGUAUAAGUACAACCAACUCAGCAAGUAACAAUAAUAAAUAAGGAACUGAAGAUAGUGACGAGCUACACAGUUAUAGAUCAUUUUAAGUAAUUCCAGCAAAGAAUAGACACGCUUUCAAAUCCGGCAGUUUAAGUCAAAUCAGUUUUAUACAGUUCAAGUUCAGGUAAUUCGGAUAUAAAAUCUUUCAGAAAUUUCACAACAAUGACAGAUAGCAACUAAGUGCAACAACAAAUAAAAAGCAAGUACAGCCUCUCAGGGCAACAGUCACUCAACUCAUCACAACACCUCAAUCACUCGGCUCUCAGUCCUCAGUACUCACACUCAAUAGGUACCUGCGCUCACUGGGGGUGUACAGACUCCGGAGGGGCUCCUACAGUCCAAACGCUAUAAUCUGCACUGACAACUCAUGUGCUAUAAUAUCAAUAUCCGAAUUCGCACGGACAACUCACGUGCUAUAAUAUUAAUAUCUUGAUCUGCACGGACAAUUCACGUGUUGCACAGACAACUCACGUGCUAUAGUAUAAUAUAAGAAUUCGCACGGACAACUCACGUGCUGCACGGAUAACUCACGUGCUAUAGUAUAAUAUCUCACAAUCAGGCCCUCGGCCUCACUCAAUUAUAAAUCUCUCCAGUCUCUCAAUCUCUCAAUAGUCAUGAUAAUUAUCCCAAACAACAAUAAUAUGAUGCAUCAAUAAUGAACAAUAGAGACUGGGAUAAAAUAAAUAAGUAAAUUGCGACUGAGUACAAAAUAACAAUUUAGCAGAUAAUUCAACAUGUACACGACCUCUGUCGUCUUUACAGCACCAACACAUAGCCUAACCAUGAUUCACUGUCAAAUUUUUAUAGCACAGAAAGGGCACAUAGCUAACAACAACCUUAUUCACUUUCUAGUUUCACAGAAUGGACCAAGUCUUAAUUUCCACGGUGCACACCCACACGCCCGUCAUCUAGCAUGUGCGUCACCUCCAAAAUACUCGCAUAAUAUAAUAAUUCGGGGUUUCAUACCCUCAGGACCAUAUUUAAAACUGUUACUUACCUGAAACCGCAUAAUUCUUUAUUUCGCUAUGCCUUUAUCUCGUGAAUUGGCCUCCAAACGCCUCGAAUCUAGCCACAAUGUCACGACCCAAAAUCUCACCCAUCGUGAUGGCGCCUAUCUCAGUACUAGGCAAGCCGAUAAUCUCAAUAAACCACCAUAUCCUUUGAGUUUGAAAACAUAAUAUCUAAAUUUAGCGGAAGAAAAACUCACAAAUACAUAUAUAAACACUCCAAAAACCCGGUGUCACUAAGUACACGAGCAUCUAAUAUGAAUACAAGUCUGAAAAAUACGGUCCAUAAUAGUCUGAGACCAAAUGCAGUAAAUAAGGAGAUAGGGAAGGAGAGGCAAGGUCUGCGAAACAUGGCAGCUACCUCUGAAUCUCCGAAAAAUUAACUGUGCGAAAGAAAUCAACACCCGAUAUGGCCGGGAAUACAUGAAUCUACAUACGAAGUCCAGGGUAUAGUAUGAAUACAACCAACUCAGUAAGUAACAAUAAUAAAUAAAGAACUGAAGAUAGUGAUGAGCUACACANNNNNNNNNNNNNNNNNNNNNNNNNGGAUAUAAAAUCUUUCAGAGAAUUUCACAGCAAUAACAGAUAGCAACUAAGUGCAACAACAAAUGAAAAGCAAGUACAGCCUCUCAGGGCAACAAUCACUCAACUCGUCACAACAAAUCAACCACUCGGCUCUCAGCCCUCAGCACUCACACUCAAUGGGUACCCGCGCUUACUAGGGGUGUACAAACUCCGGAGGGGCUCCGACAGUUCAAGCGGUAUAAUCCACAUGGACAACUCGCGUGCUAUAGUAACAAUAUCUGAAUCCGCACGGACAACUCACGUGCUAUAGUAUAAUAUAAGAAUUUGCACGGAUAACUCACGUGUUACACAGACAACUCAUAUGAUAUAGUAUAAUAUCUCAUAAUCAGGCCCUCGGCCUCACUCAGUCAUAAAUCUCUCCAGUCUCUCGGGCUCUCAAUAAUCAUGAAAUCGGCCCAAACAACAAUGAUAUGAUGCAUCAAUAAUGAACAAUAGAGACCUAGAUAAAAUAACAAGUAAACUAUGACUGAGUACAAAACAACAAUUUAGCAGAUAAUUCAAUAUGUACACGACCUCUGUGGGUCCCUACAGUGCCAAUAUAUAAUCUAAACAUGAUUUCUAACAUGAUUUAUACUCAAAUUUCUACAACACAUAGAGAGCAUAUAGCUAACAACAAGUUAUUCAACUUUACAGUUUCACGGAACGGACCAAUUCACAAUCCCCUCGGUGCACGCCCACACGCCCGUCACCUAGCAUGUACGUCACCUCCAAAAUAAUCGCAUGACAUAAAAAUUCGGGGUUUCAUACCCUCAGUACCAGAUUUAUAACUAUUACUUACCUCAAGCCGUAUAAUUCUUUAUUCUGCAAUGUCUUUUCCUCGUGAAUUGGCCUCCAAACGCCUUGAAUCUAGCCACAAAUAAUUUGAUUCAGUCAAUAAAAUUUAUUAAAAUUAAUUCCUUGAGAAAAUACUAAUUUUCCAACAAAGCCCGAAAUUUAGCUCAAAAUUUGCCCGUGGGGCCCACGUCUCAGAACCCGACAAAAGUUAUAAAAUCCGAAAGCCCAUUCAACCACGAGUCUAACCAUACCAAUUUUUAUCAAAAUCCAAUCUCAACUCGACCCUCAAAUCUUCGAUUUAAACCAAGAGGGUUUUCUAAAUUUUCCAAAUUAAUUCACCCAGUAAAUAAUAAAAAUAGUCAUAGAUUCGGGUAAUUUAACCAAUAUUGAGUUAAGAACACUUACCCCGUUGUUUCCUCUGAAACUCUCCCAAAAAGCGCUUCUUCCCGAGCUCCAAUCCGUCAAAAAUGAAAAAAUUUCAGAACUUAAACUCUCUGCCAAGUCAUUUGCUCUACGCGAUCACGAACAAUCACACAUGAUCGCGAAGAACAGUUUUCCACUGCCCAGGUUUAACCUUACGCGAUCGCGAACAAUCACACGCAAUCGUGAUGCACAAGAUUCCUUCUCUACACGAUCGCAUCCCUCUUCACGCGAUCGCAUAGAACAAACGCGUGGCCCAGCUUCCUCUCAAGUUUUCCCUACGCGAUCACGGCCUCUUCCACGCGUUCACGUAGCACAGACUGGCCCAACUUACGCGAUCGCGGUUGACCUCACGCGAUCGCGAAGAACAAAAUCAACACUGCCUCAACUAAGCCUACGCGAUCGCAUCUCAAUCUUCGCGAACGCGAAGAAGGUCUGAAACACUAGCAAACAGCAGCUACCAGCAGUGCCAAAAUGAAGGAAAAUAAUCCGAAUACCAUCCGAAACACGCCCGAGCCCCUCAGGACCCCAGCCAAAUAUACUAACAAGUCCUAAAAUAUCAUACGAACUUAGUCGAAUUUUCAACUCACAUCCAACAACACUAAAAACACAAAUCACACAUAGAUUCAAGCCUAAUGAACUUUGAAACUUUCAAUUUCUACAAAUGACGUCGGAACCUAUCAAAUCGCGUCCGAUUGACCUCAAAUUUUGUAUACAAGGCAUAAAUGACAUAACAGAGGUAUUUCAAUUUUUAGAAUCGGAUUCCGACCCCGAUAUCAAAAGGUCAGCCCCCGGUCAAACUUCCCGGGAAAUUCAAUUUUUGCCAUUUCAAGAAUAAUUCUUCUACCGACCUCCAAAUAAUUUUUCGGACACGCUCCUAAGUCCAAAAGCACCAUACUGAGCUAUUGGAAUCAUCAAAACUCUAUUUCGGGGUCGUUUACACAUAAGUCAACAUCCUGUCAACUAUUUCAACUUAAGCUUNNNNNNNNNNNNNNNNNNNNNNNNNNNNNNNNNNNNNNNNNNNNNNNNNNNNNNNNNNNNNNNNNNNNNNNNNNNNNNNNNNNNNNNNNNNNNNNNNNNNNNNNNNNNNNNNNNNNNNNNNNNNNNNNNNNNNNNNNNNNNNNNNNNNNNNNNNNNNNNNNNNNNNNNNNNNNNNNNNNNNNNNNNNNNNNNNNNNNNNNNNNNNNNNNNNNNNNNNNNNNNNNNNNNNNNNNNNNNNNNNNNNNNNNNNNNNNNNNNNNNNNNNNNNNNNNNNNNNNNNNNNNNNNNNNNNNNNNNNNNNNNNNNNNNNNNNNNNNNNNNNNNNNNNNNNNNNNNNNNNNNNNNNNNNNNNNNNNNNNNNNNNNNNNNNNNNNNNNNNNNNNNNNNNNNNNNNNNNNNNNNNNNNNNNNNNNNNNNNNNNNNNNNNNNNNNNNNNGGACAGGUCGUUACACACAAAUAAUUCGAUGCAGUCGAUAACAUUUAUUGGAAUUAAUUCCAUAAGAAAAUACUAAUUUUCCAACAAAAUUCGAAAUUUAGCUCAAAAAUCGCCUGUGGGGCCCACAUCUCGGAAUCUGACAAAACUCACAAAAUCCAAUAACUCAUUCAAUUACGAGUCCAACCAUACUAGUUCCACUCAAAUCCGACUUCGGAUCGACAUUCAAAUCCCAAAAAUUUAUUUUUUGAAAUUUCUACAAUUUUCCCCAAAUUUUCAUCUCAAAAUACUAAUUGAAUGAUGAAAACAAUGAUAUAUUCAUGUAUGUUAAUCAAAUCUGAGUUAGAAUCACUUACCCCGAUGAAUUUCUUGAAAAACCCACGAACAAUCGUCACAAACCGAGCUCUCUAGGUCUCAAAAAUGAAAUAAUACCCUAGGCCUCGGUUAUAUAGUACACCCUCUGACCUCCCAAUGUGCGGUCCGCAUUGCGAUCGUACAUUUCCAAGUUCUACGGUCGCACAAAAAUUGUGCGGCCGUACUUCACAGCCUCUCCACUACCAGGCUUUGGUAAAUUGGCCAUAACUUUCUCUACAGAUGUACAAAUGAUGAUAUAUUUAUCUUUCUGGAAAUUAGAAACGAAGGGCUACAACUUUUAUUUUUAAAUCAUCUCCAAAUUCCUUGUGGAUCAAAAGAUAUAAGCUUCCGAAAUCGGACCAGUGAACCUGCAGAACACCCUGAAGUGCGGCCGCGGACAAAAUUGUGCGGUCCGCAUUUUUCCUCUGCGGUCCAUAUAUUUUCAUCUACUGCAGCACAUUUUCAUCUGCUACAACACUCAAAAAUGUGCCUCAGCACAUAAAAUUGUGUGGUCCGUAUUUCCAACGUUCCAGAACAACAUCAGAGUACCGAAAUGCUCGGACUCGCUCAAAACUCACCCGAGGCCCCCGAGACCUCAAUCAAAAUACACCAACAAAUCGUAAAACAUCAUACAAACUUAGUCGAACCCUCAAAUCACCUCAAACAAUGCUAAAACCAAGAAUCAUACCCCAAUUCAAGCCUAAUGAAAAACUAAUAAUUUUCAACUUCUACCUUCAAUGCCGAAACCUAUCAAAUCAAGUCCGAUUAACCUCAAAUUUUGUACACAAGUCAUAAAUGACAUAAUGGAGGUAUUCCAAUUUUCAGAAUCGGAUUCCUGCCCCGAUAUCAAAAAGUCAACUCCCCGGUCAAACUUCCAAACUUAACUUUCUAUUUUAGCCAUUUCAAGCCUAAUUUAGCUACGGGCUUCCAAAUAAUUUUUCGGACACACUCCUAAGUCCAAAAUUACCAUACGGAGCUAUUGAAACCAUCAAAACUUCAUUCUGGAGUCGUCUGCAUAAAAAGUCAAAUCGGUCCACUCCUUUUAUUUAAGCUUCUAAACAAGGAUUGUUCUUUCAAUUAAAUCCCGAAUCAUCCGAAAACCAAAGCCGACAAUUCACACAAGUCAUAGUACACAUUAUGAAGCUGCUCAAGGCUUCAAAUUGUCUAAAGGAGCGUAUAUGUUCAAAACGAUAAGUCGGGUCGUUAUAAUAAACUACACACCAUCUGGCAACCAAAAGAACCACUCAAUCUCAUCGAUUUGGGUUACUAUUACUAUCUUAUCAAAUUCACGGUUCAAGAAACUUUCCAAAAAGUUCUGCAAAAAUGGCCUUGGUUCAUCGGUUUACGAUAUCUAUCGAUUCGUCACUCGUAGCCCAAAUUUAACCCAUCUCAAGCCCAUACUCCUUUUUCCACCAUUUGGAUCCGUUUACCACAACUUCCUACGGAAUACUGCGACCUCCAAACUUUACAAAAAAUUGGAAACUUUUUUGGUCAACUUCUUAAAAUUGAUGCCUACACCAUGCAAACCACUCGAGGACAUUAUACUCGUUUAUGCAUUCUAGAGCCUCUUGAUAAGACUCUACCCAUUGGAAUCUUAAUUGUCACUCAUCUACAACCCAUUCACUACGAAGAAAUGACCCCACUAUGCAAGCUCUGCGACUGCCUAGGACACAUUUUACACUCUUGCCCGUCAAAACUCUCAAUUGGACCCUCCAACAAUGCUAAAGCCCAACCUCAUGAACCAAUCGUGACCAAUGAUGACAAAAGCCUAUGGCAUACAGUCACUUUUCCAAAACAAUACUAGAACUACUCCACAACGUACCCAACAUCCCACCGAACCAAACACACACAUACCCCCCACUUCCCCUAUAAUUACCCAAAAACUUGCCUCUCAAGCCACCUUUAUUACCCACAGUAUUCCACUUUUCAAUUGUUUCUUUUUUCCACCCCUGACCCUACCAUUGAUAAUAAUCAUUAUUCUCAUAUUCCUAUUUAAUAUGUUCCCCCUCCUUAUGACCACACAAGUUCUCAUAUGGAUUUACAACAAAUUAUCCCACCCUACCAUGUUUCAUCUGACAAGACCCCACCCCCACCAUAGCAAUUGCAUCACCUUUUUCAUCAAAUAUAAGUAUGCAUCAAACCUCUUUCACACCAACAUGUCUUCCCUAUUUCUUCUACUACCCACAUUACUACGAAAACCAAGGCUAUUUCUCCAAAUCAUUUCUUAAAUACGGCUGCUACUACUCAUCAUAAAAAACAAGACCAAACCUACUACAACACCCAAAACCCUACUACCUCUACUUCAACAGCAUCAUCCAUACCCAACCCUCUUUCACAAUAUCACCACGCCUCCAACACAGUCAACCAGAUCCAUAUCCUUAUGCCCUCAUCUACUAACACCACACCACAUUACAUCAUACCCUACCCAAUUACGAUCACCCACUCUGAUAAACUUACUCCGUCUGCUACAGGUACUCAAGUGCCAUCGGAACUCAUGAACGCUCAACAUUUUUCGGUCACCUUGUCACCGCCAAUGCAAGGUAAUGACUCAUCCAUAGCUAUAAAACCCAAUAAUCCCAUCCAUACAUCACCACAUCUGCUAUCUUCUUCACCCAACACUCCUCUUUCUACUAACAAUGCAUCGCCACUACCCUCCAAGACAUUGCCACCACAAGAACAGGAACCAUGUACCUCACAUCCAGAUCAACAACUACCACCUUUCACCUCCACACUUUCACUACCUCUCUCACAGCCCCUCCUACUGGGUGCCCCAAUAUCACCGCCACCCCCUUUCAACCUUGUACCACUACCACCACCAGAACAUCCUCUAGUGCACCUGCCGUUAAACCUUCUCUUAUUCCAGCAACAAGUCACGACAAUACUAGACCACAACGACCUACUGAUGACGUUUAUCUAGGAUGGACUACCAGACAUCCAUCAGCAGGAUCAUGCUAUGCAAAUCCUCCAUCUAUAGGAUGUUGCCGCUUUGGAACUCAACAACCAACUUACUUAAGCUCAGCAAUAUUUCCUCCACUUCAACUACUGCCGCCAACUUUGAAUAUACCCCCACUUCCAUAAUUCUAGCCCUAUUACAAUGGCCAGCCUCAACACGUAUUCCUAGAAAUGAUGCACCACGCUCCACCAUAGCUGGACAUCCCUCCGCGACCACUGACUCUGCCUCCAUCACCACCAUUAGCCACGCCAUCAUCGGACAUUGAAGACGAAGAUCAGAACCAUCAGUCUCUACAUUACACAUUUAUGGAGAGACUGAAUCUGAACAACCUCUCACUCUUUCCAUGCAAGAAAACAUCGAAAGAAGGUACUUGAUUUUGGAUCCUCCAAUGUUGGAGAUGACCUUCUUGAAUAUCCACCUCGACCCUUACUCUGUGGACCAGAAGUAUGUCAUCUUCUUGAUACCAACACUGCGUCCACCACCACUACCUCAGGAAGAGAUGGCAAACAACCAUCAACUCAUAAUGAAUUUGGCAAUGGCAUUAGUACUGGGAGGGAGCUCAUCCCCUACGACAAAUAGAUCUAUGAAGAUCAUGUUGUGGUGGAGCCGUGGCGCCAACUACCUAGAUUUUAGGCGUAACUUGCAUUUUUUGUUUAAUUGGAAUAACCCUACUAUUCUCUGUCUCAUGGAGACUAGGAUAGAGGACCAUACCUCUCUCCUCAAUGAGUUUAACUUCACUGAUCGUAUCCAAGUUUUCGCUCAAGGAUACUCUAGUGGUAUUGUCAUGCUCUGGCGCGCACAUGACCUCAUUGUUGAUCCAAUAGCAAUUACUGCUCAGGAGCUUCAUGCUUCUGUCCAGGUAUCCCCUACUAUACCUAUUUGGUAUAUCUCAUUAAUAGAUGCUAGCACAUCAUACCACAAUCGCCAAACACUAUGGCACAACAUACAACAGUUUGCACACGCUCAUACAAAUGCAUGGACAUUAUGUGGUGAUUUUAACGAAGUUUGUAAUACUAAUGAAAAAUUUGGGGGAAAUCCUAUUAACACUAAUCGCUCUGAAGCUCUUAAUAUGUGCUUACACAAUGCUAACCUGAUUGACCUAGGCUUUCACUAGCUCGCGUUUUACUUGGAGUAAUAAACUAAUGACUCAUAAUAAACUAAAUGUUCCCGCACUCCAAUGUUCUUCAUUUACCUCGUACACAUUCCGAUCAUUGCCCCUACUUUUCGGUCUUCAUAAAGCGACUACUAGACCUCCUCCUACAUUCAAAUUUGAAAUCAUAUGGCUCACUCAUCCUGAAUUCCAAUCUGUGAUCGCCACUCACUGGCAUCACACCUCUACAUAUUCUCAAGGCAUACAUGAUUUUGCUGAUCAUGUUCAACACUAGAAUAAACAUACCUUUGGUAAUAUUUUCUACAAGAAGAAAAUCCUCAUUGCUCGCAUACAUAGUUUACAAAAAAUAGAUCCCACCAGGCAAAAUAGCUUUCAUUAUAACCUAGAAAACUGCCUUCAUAUAGAUUUCCAAACUACACUAAGACAUGAGGAGGAAUUCUGGAAACUAAAGUCAUGUAUUAAAUGGCUAAAUGACGGUGAUGCCAAUACCAAAUAUUUUCACUUGUCUACAACAUAAAGAAGAUGAUGCAACUGUAUUAUCAAUCUACAUGACCACGUAGGGAAUUGGACAUUCGACACUUCCAUAAUCAAAACUACUAUACUACACCACUUCACUGAUCUAUAUACCACUGAAUUACUUUUAUGUUACCCUGAAUACUUUACCCCAUCCACUAUCUCCAUUUCCCUUACAAAUCAACAACAACUAUCUCGCUCACUUACACUUUCUAAAAUACAUUCCUCCAUUUGCUCCUUUAAACCUUUCAAAGCCCAAGGCCCUGAUGGCAUACAUCCUGUUUUCUUCCAACGCUUUUGGAACCUUAUUCAACAUGCUAUCAUCCAAACCUGCAUGGAUGCUUUCAACAAUUGCUCCAUCCCCCCUUCACCUCAACCAAACUUUUCUCACCUUAGUCCCAAAGAUUAAGCAUCCUUCCAAUAUUUCCCAUUACCACCCGAUUGGACUUUGUAAUACGAUCUACAAAUUAAUCACUAAAAUACUGGUUAAUAAAAUUCAGCCCUUUCUGCCAACAAUAAUACACCUCACUCAAUGCAGUUUCAUUCCUGAAAGAUAGGCUGUAGAUAAUGCCAUAAUAGUACAAGAGGCAAUUCAUUCCUUCCGUAAAACAAAGGAUCGCUUUGGCAAAAUGAUGCUAAGAUUAGAUCUAAAAAAAGCGUUUGACCGAUUAGAAUGGUCAUUUAUUUCGUACUCUCUCCAAAAAUUAAAUUUUCCUACCCCUAUUAUUAACCUUAUUAUGUCUUGUGUUACUACAUUGUCUAUCUCUAUCCUAGUCAAUGGGACACCCACACGCUUUUUCCAACCUUCUCGUGGUAUCCGUCAAGGAGACCCCUUAUCAUCCUACUUAUUCAUUAUUUGUAUGGAAACUCUUUCUCAAUUGAUUGAUGAAGCUACACAACUGAAAAAUGGACUACUAUAAGGAUUUUCCGACAAGGACCAACUCUUUCUCAUCUCAUUUUUUAUGACGAUCUUAUUCUCUUUGCUAAAGCAGACUUACAAAACACUCAUGAUAUCACUAUCAUAUUUCAUCACCUUUCUAACCAAUCUGGCCAACGUAUCAAUUUUUCAAAAUCCAAACUCGUAUUUUCAAAAAAUGUAUCGUAACACACAAAUUAAUUUAAGUUGUACAUUAAAUAUUCAUACAACAUCUAAUUUCAGUAAAUAUCUAAGUUUUCCUAUGCCUAAUUUCUACCCCGAAGUCAGCUGAUUAUCAGUAUAUUCAGGAUCGCAUGAAUAAUCAUCUUCAAGGUUAGAAAAUAAAAUUUCUUUCGCUAAGUGGCAGGGCUACCCUCAUCAUAUCUGUACUUAACUCCAUACCCACUUAUGCCAUGCAAACUAACAUACUCCCACACAAAUUCCUUCAUCAUAUUGAUCGUAUCAAACGUCAUUUUUUUUGGGGUUCCACUGCAUCCCACACCAAAUUACACCUAACUAAUUGGGACCUCGUUACUACACCUAAGUACCAUGGUGGAUUAGGGAUUCAAAAAUUACUCCUAAGAAUAUGACUAUGUUAUUCAGCGUAACAUGGCGCUUCACCCAACACCCAUCAACUUUAUGGGCCAUGAUCCUUCGAGGUAAAUAUUAUCACCAUCGUAGUUCACACUAUCACUGCAUCUCUUUUACUUCAAAACCAUAAGAUUCAUACAUUUGAAGAGUAUCACCAAAAUAGCUCAUAUAUGCCAUCAAGGCACUGUAUGAAAUAUAGGUAAUGGCCAAAUCAUUAGUCUUUGGUACGAUCAAUGGAUCUCCCCCAACUUCUCACUUUGUCAACUAAUUCAAGGACCCCAACUCUCCCAUGAAUCUACAUUGCUGCUUAGCCAUAUCAUCCUUCCUUCAACCUAUAAUUUAUCAACGUUAUCCUUUGAACUCCCUACCUCUAUCUCUCUCCUUAUCCAUAACACAUAUGUGCCCUCUUCUUCUACUCAUAUGAAUUUAAUACACUGGCAACCAACCUCUAAUGACUUGUUCUCUACUGCCUCCGCCUAUCGACCGAUUCUAGAAUAUACCUACACUACCCAAAAUUAAGCAUUUUCUCUGACUUCUCCUCCAUGGUAAGUUACCCACUGCUGCUCUUCUAAACUCUCGUCAUAUUCUUCCUCGCCCUGCAUGCUCCGUUUGUGGCCAUGCUUGGGAAGAUGCUUCACAUAUAUUUACCACUUGUUUACCCGCUAUCCACAUUUGGCAAUACUUUGCUAUUUUCGUCCCCAACAACAACCCAAUACAUGGCUUCAACGCAUAUGCACUGAUACUGAUGCUACUUACAUACAUCACCGUAUUGCUAUUCCUUUCCCGAUUCUCGUCCCUUUUAUCGUUUGGCAUAUUUGGCUGACACAUAAUCAUAAUCUUUUUAAUCGCUCAGCUUUACCUGUAUUUUAUCAUGCGAUUCUCACUCAUGCUAUUGAGUUUAACUGAUUAGCCACUACUUCACAACAGCCUAAACCCACUACAAUCAUUCAUGUUGGUUGGUCUCCUCCCCUUACUAGGUAUAAACUUAAUAUUGAUGGCGCUUUUGACAAUCACUCAAAAUAUGGAGGAGCUGGUGGUGUUGUCAAAGACUCUUCUGGCAACUGGAUUAUGGGCUUCUCUAAGUCUUUGUAUCUCACUAAUGUCCUACAAACUGAAUUAUUAGCUAUCCACUUUGGCUUAUAGCUUGUCAUUGAACAGAAUCUCACACCACUUGCUGUGGAGACUGACUCACAGGUGUUAGUCACCCUUCUAUCGACGACCAGUUCUAAAUACUCACAUUUAUUUGAUGAAUGCAGGCUGAUGCUCCGUAAUCCACAAAUCCAUGAGAUCCAACACACAUUUCGGGAGGGGAAUGGAGUUGAGGGUCAAUUGGCAUGUUUUGGCAAGCAAAGGGCUUCUGAACUACAUCAUGAUGCUAUGAUUUUUGAAACACCCCCCACUUUUAUAUUGUCUCGCUUAAUGUUUGACUUAACGGGAACUAUAAUCUCGCGUUCAGUAUCCUCUAUGUACUAGUACUUUUCGUUUUUAAUAUAUCAAUGCGUGUUAUGACAAAAAAAAUGAUGGUGAGUAAUUUGGAAAUCUAGCUCGAAUAAGCGCAAAAUGAAAGAAGAAGAAGAAGAAGAAGAAGUAAUAGACAAGGCAAAAUAAUACUACUGCUUAAUUAGGAGUAAAAAAGAUCGAAAAGGAGGAGGAGGAAACAGAAGGAAACAGAAGUAGAAAAUCGUCGGUGAAAUUAAAAUUCACCAAGAACACAUGUAAGUCAAUUAUUUAUGAGAUGUUGCAGAUUGAAAUUAAUGCACCGAUGACGUCAAUUAAUAUAUACAAAGUUAAUAGCAGGAAUAUUACGAAAAUGAUAGUAUAACGUUUACUCUAGCAGGACAUAAUGAUUUAUCACAAUCAUCACAUGUUAGGAUUUGUUAUUUUUCGUUUUUGUCAUAUCGAUGAUAUAACAAAAUAAAAGUUCAAUCAAGCUAUGUCAAUAUUAGACAGACAACAAAUCCGUGUGGAGUGCAGCUGGGUUAAUAGUUAUAUUUACACCGACCCAAUAAUACUACAUAUUUUCAAAUAUAUUCUUAUUACUAAAUCAUAAUAGUAAUUUAAUGCAUAUUCUCAUAUAAAUUUAUGACUUAAUCGAUCAUAAUAAAUUAGUCUGGUUUAACAUAAGCAUCAGAUGUACCAUGGUUUUUUUAAUUCAAUAAUUGGUCACUCUUUCUAUGUGAGAAGUGUGAACCGUGAAUAUAAAAUGCGUCUCUGCUUGUGUGAACUGUGAAUAAUGAGUGCAAAUUAAAGGACGUGUCUCAUAUUAUAAAAAUUGGGAUACACGUUUUCUUCUUCUCUUCUUCCCCAGAAGACUGGAACGAACCUCAACAAGAUAUAUAUAAGCAUUUUUAUUAGUACCCAGUGACACACUACAUCUCUCAAAAUAGCAAUAUAGACAGGAAAUUAGGGAGAAAUGGGAAACUGCUGCCUAAAGCCUGUAGAUAAUCUUUCUACCACUAUUAAGCUUUCUAACCCUCCUGCAGGUAUGUACCAUUAUUUUGGUUUUGCAAUUCAUCAGAUUCUAUCAAAACAAUUCAUAUUUCCAAUUGGAUUUAUCUAUGUCCAUUAAUGCCAAUGCAAAUGAUUUUUUUACAAAAUCGGUGUAAUUUAACUUGUUGUAGAACAUUCUUGUCUUAUUUCAGGUUACUAGCUAGUUCUAUUGAUUAUGACUAAUUAUCUUUAUUACCUUUAAAAUACUACCGAGUAUAGCGGAAUAGACUCUUCAUUCUUAACCAAAUAUCUUGAAUUCGGUAUUGGAAGCUCUUCCCUUUUAGUGAGCCGCGAAUUCAAAUUAGUCAAUCUAAUAGAUUGUUGCUGCCCAGUAGUUAGGAAACAUAUGAACUUUAGUGAUAUGAUAGUGUAAAAACAAUUCAUAUAGAACUUUUUUGUGUAUAUUUUCAGCCCUUGAUUUAAAUUUUAUUAUGCCAGCAUCCAAGAAACCUAGUACUUCUCUCAUCAAUAACGCCAAGGUGGUUCAUGCCGAGGGAACCACGAACGGUGGCGGCGGCGGUGGUGCUGGAAAAGAGGAAGUGGCAACAAGUGGGAAAAUUAUAACACCCAAUUUGAAAAUGUACAGUUUUGCGGAAUUGAAAAGCACAACGAGAAAUUUUAGACCAGAUACAAUAUGGGGGGAAGGAGGAUUUGGUAGAGUUUUCGAAGGUUGGGUUGAUAACAAGACAUUAGCUCCUUCUAAAGUUGGCAUCGGAAUGGCAGUUGCUGUCAAAAAAUCUAAUCAAAUAGCCUGCAAAGUCUCAAGGAAUGGCAGUAAAAAUUUAAGUUAUAUAUACGGACAGUUGAAAAACUUGUUGGAGAAAGUUGAUCAUAUAUUUCAACAGUGAAAAUGUUAUAAAAAUUGAACACAUUUUUAUGAUUGUGUGUGCAGGCAGAGGUAAAAUUUCUGGGAAAAUUUAGUCAUCCAAAUCUAGUACAACUAAUCGGAUACUGCUGGGAAGAGAAGCAAUUCCUACUUGUAUAUGAAUACAUGCAAAAAGGAAGUUUAGAAAAUCACCUUUUCAGAAGUAAGAACCUAUAUAUAUAUAUUUUUUUUUAUCCACAUAUUUGUUACAGAAUAUUUGAUAAUUACAAGAAUAUGUUAUCAAAAAGUUUGACACAAAUAUUAUUGUCGGAAAACUAGAAGAGGGUGCAGAAACACUUUCGUGGGACACAAGACUUAAGAUAGUAAUAGGAGCAGCUCGAGGUCUAGCUUUUUUGCACACAACAGAGAAGCAAGUCAUUUACCGCGAUUUUAAAGCUGCCAAUAUUUUAUUGGAUGGGGUAAUUUCUUUUUCUCUUAUUUGUUUAAAAGUUCAAUAGUAACUUAUUAAUUUUCUUGUUUUGAAUUUCAACUUUUAAUUUACGAAUUAUACUGUAUAAUUAACAAAGAGAUUAAUUGUUCCAUAUUAAUUACUUGGGGCAGGAUUAUAAUGCCAAGCUUUCUGAUUUUGGAUUGGCUAAGUUGGGUCCUGCAAAUGGCAACUCACAUGUGACCACAGGAGUUGUUGGUACUUAUGGGUAUGCAGCUCCAGAGUACAUGGCCUCUGGUAAUUUUUACCCUCUUACUACUUCUACCUCUUAGCUAAACAUAUGAUCCCACAAGUGGGGUCUGAAAAAGGAUUGAGUGUACGCAAUCUUAUCCCUCCCUAACUUGUAUGAGAUAAAGGGACUAUUUCCAACAAAAAAAAAAACGUUUUCAAAACAACUACUAAAAUGUAGUACCAAAAUCUACAUUUUUAUAGUCAAAUUGCCUAGUGUAUAGAACAAUAUUACUUAAGUGCAUGAUUCGAAGCUCAUUAAAAGUUUUUCUCUUUUGAUUUUAUUUUUCUUAUUCAUGAACCACCCCUUCUUCAUUAAAGAAAAAAUUUAGAAAAUGGGGCUAAAUCAACAAGUUAUGGGGAGAUUGGUUUUAUGACUCAUUAGAAGUGUUGUUUAGUUAAUGACCUUUUUUGACAAGAAAUAUGAGAGAUCGAUAAAUAAAUAGGAAAUCUUGUAUGAUCAUUUUAUUUUAACUUGUAAUUGGUCAUAGAAGACGUUUCCUCCUCUUUAACUCUUUUAUGUGGGUGCUAUAUGAGCAAGACCAAUUUUAGCCCCAAAUAAAAAACAAUAAUACAACGUAAGCUCAACAUGUUUGCGAUAAUUAUUCAAACAGUCGUUGACCUUGUGCUACUUUAUUUGGAACAGGACAUUUAUACGUGAAGAGUGAUGUGUAUGGUUUUGGCGUUGUAUUGCUGGAGAUCUUAACGGGCCUCCGGGUACUGGACCUGAACCGGCCCAAUGGAGAACAAAAUCUAGUGGACUGGGCCGAACCGUUAUUACCAGACAAGAAGAAGCUAAGGAAACUAAUGGACCCAAGGCUAGAGGGAAAGUACCCUACAAAGGCUGCAUUUGAAAUAGCACAACUAGUACUCCAAUGUCUUGAGCCUGAUCCUAAAACUAGACCUUCCAUUGAACAAGUUUUGGAGUCUUUGGAAAAAAUUAACACCAUCAAGAAGAAACCUAGAGAAUGCAAUGCCACCCACAACGUUCGCCUCUCCACGUUAAGAAAACUGUAAUUGGUAGCAACACGCACCAUUCACCCAUCAAUCGAAGCUAUUGAAGACGACCUGGCGUGUAAAUAUAUAUUUCUAAAGAAUUUUCUAAAUUACAACAUCGUUAUAGCAGGAUAGCAUUAUCUUUCAUUUUUCUUCUCAUGAUUUGCCCUUUUAAGUUACACUUUGCCUUUUAUUACUUGAGGGUCAUGUUUCCCUUUUUAUUACUUGAGGGAAAACAAAUAACCUUUGGGAAAAAAUUAUUGUCAAAGUACUCAUUACUCAACCUCACUUCUCCUCCCCCUUUUACCUUCUUGCCCUCUUCUCUAUGUAAGGCAAUCUUAAUUAAGUAAGAUCUAAUGGGUAGGCAAGUAAUACUGAACAGAAGCGCAGAGUAGCACCAAAAUGAGCAAGUAUGACAUAAUUUUGGCACAAAAACUUGAAAGUGUGAAACAAGGUAACAUAGAAAGAAGAUGACCGCAAUACUUGAACAUACAUCUGGACCUUAUUCAAGUGCAACAUAUAUUGUGUCGAAGUAAACACAAGAUAUCGAAGUUUGGUACAAACAGAACAUAAAAAAAACAGUACACUUUAUAGCACAACAAACAAACGUAAUGUUUUUCUUGGUUUAGUAUGCAACUUGAAACGUUUUCCCAGUAGCGUUUUCAUCUUAGCUUCAUCACAUUGUAGGCUUUACAGUGAGACGAGAAGCGACCUUCUGACCACAAGACUUGUCAGCCUGCAAUGAAUCCGCGCAAAAGAUUAGUUUUCGUUUCCCGCUCUUAAUGUAAGGAUAAAGAAUCAUGCGAAAGAAGAAAAACUCAAACCUGAGACAAGUAUGAUAUCCAUAUACUGCGUAUCUCAUAAGUGACUCGGGGAUCAGAUAAAUGCUCAACCCAUUUGCUAACAUAUCUGUCUUGCCUGAAAUAGUACAAGUACUCAAUUAUUCUGCAGGUUCUUGAGAGAGGGAAGAAUUGGCGAUAUUAAUGUUAUAGAACAACCAAAUUAAAUUACCUGUCAGGUUCCCAGGAUCUGUAUCUCUCUCCUGCCUGCUUGAAGUUGUUCUCUUUUUCAAUGACACACUAAAACACCAAUAAUAUAUAUGUGAGUGAAGAUUAAACUCAUUUAAGAAUACAACUCCCUGCACUGAUUAAUGAUUAUGAUGAACAAUAAGUAAAGAGGGUCUCACCAUUUCACGCCUUCCUGUCAAGACACGAGAAGGAAUUGGGUACUGUUCGGCAUGACGACAAGGAUCAAACCUUGAGGGCAAAUAAUCCACCUGCAACAUCAAGUCACAACAUCAGAAGAGUACUAAUAUGAACUUGCAAUUAGCCUUGGUAAGUCAAAAACAUUAGUAUACCUCUUCAUCGCGAUGCAUGAAGUUCAUAGCACCAUCGCGGUGAUUAUUGUGAUGAGCACACUUGGGAGCAUUAACAGGAAGCUGCAUAUAGUUUGGUCCAAUGCGGUGUCUCUGAGUAUCAGCAUACGCGAAUAUCCUGGUCUGGAGAAGCUUAUCCUCCGAAUAGUAAACACCAGGGACAAUAUGGCCAGGGUUAAACGCGAGCUGCUCAUUCUCAGCGAAGAAGUUAUCAAUGUUCCUAUUCAAUACCAAUCGACCAACUGGCAUCAAUGGCAAGAUAUCCUCAGGCCAGGUCUUGGUUACAUCAAGAGGAUCAAAGUCGAAUUUGUCUACAUCCUCAGUAUCCAUAAUUUGGAUAAAAAGUUUCCACUCGGGAUAGUUUCCAGCAGCAAUCGAGUCGUAGAGAUCCUUGGUGGCGUGGCUAUGAUUUGUACCUCCGACCCUAAUAGCUUCUUCCUCCGACAUGCACUUAACACCACAAGUUGGCUUCCAGUGAAAUUUCACAUAAUGUGCUUUCCCAGCCUUGUUUAUUAAUUGAUAGGCGUGAACACCAUACCCUUCCAUGUGUCUGUAAUCUGUCGGGAGACAAACAUCAUCGAAGAACCAAGCGAAAGUAUGCAAACUCUCCGGAAGGAAAGAGAAGAAAUCAAGGAUCCUCCAGUAUUCCUGAAUGUGUGACUUUGGAUUUGGUUUCAGUGCACGAAUCGUGUCAGGGAACGAUUUUGC